GCCACCAAUUUGAUCUUGUAUGAGCACAGUGACAAAUCCAGGGUCAGAAUGUGUUGCUAUGCCGAUGGACAAUUAUGGUUGAGGGCAUUCAGGGUAGUAACCAUUCCCAAUAGUCAUUUCCUCUACACAACCUAUGUCUUUCAGGUAAUUGGGGUCAAGCCCUAAAGCUUCGGAUAGAAGUUCAAACAGUGUCCCCUGUUUUCCACAUUAGGUUGUUGUAUGCGAUCAUUAUCUCUCUGCAAAUUACUAAAGACAAAAAAUAAUCACUACUAAAAGAAAGGGAGAAUGACAUUUCGACUUUUAGAAAUUAUUUUUUUAUUGGGGUAACAACUAGAUGAAAUGAGAGUAAUAAAAACUUAUUAGGAACCCAAGUGAUGCAAAAAGUUCUAAGAAAGAGGCAGGUGUUAUCCACUGUAAAAGAAAUAAAAUCUAUUGGUCAUCGUCCACAUACCUGCAAGCUUCAGGAAAAUCUUCAGGAUUUGAAAAAUCGCGACCCACAACACAACUCAAAUUAUCUUUCCAAAAGAGGGUUGGUGCACUAUACAAAUUUAAAUUUGAACAAUAUUUAAUUUUUUUGGAGUAAUCACGAGAAUAAUAUUUCUGCUUAACCUCAACAUCUUGUUGAAAAAACCAAUGGAUCCCAUCAAUGGCAUGAUCCAAAUGCUUGUUGGGAUUCCAUGAUUGAUCACUUGAAAGAAACCCCACUUCUCACGAGCACUUCUAAUUUGGUCAAUUACCUGAGAACGCAAACUUGAAUCCCUGUGUAUUCUUUUAAGGUCUAUGAUAGGGAUGCUGAUUUUGGGGUCCCUGCAGAUUGGCUUAUCAUCAAACUUAUGUUUAGUGUGAUGAUCUUGAAUGAUGAUCUGUGGAAUGGUUGUGAUCCCAGCAUCUACGAGUCCCUUAACACCAGCUUUCGUGUCAUCAAAAGCUUUCCACUCGCUAACUCUGUCACAAGUAAUGCUUCCCAUUGCUUGGUGAAUUGUCUUUUACCUGGUGAAUUAUGAAGUACAAAUGCUGACUUGCGGGUGAUUGCUUUUGGUAUAUGCCGUUUAUAUGAAUAUGAUUCCUAGCUUGCCACGUGCAACAUGUUGAAAUAUAACGAUAGCAUGAAGAUGUGGAAAUUUGUAAAAUUUGAUCCUGCGUUAUUUAUCAUGAUUAAAUUAAUUAUAAAUUAUCAAUAAUAGUCAAUUCCGGGGACCACCAACUACUGGGUGGCACAUCACAAUAAUAAAUUAUCAAUAAUAGUCAAUUCUGCAUUAUUUAAUAUUUAUGUGGAUAAAAUUUCAAUUAGCUACACUACAUUGUUGUUUGAUAGUUAACGUUUCACCUUCUCCAUUUGUAAAUAUUAUUAUGGACUUAUAGUGUGGCUUAAAAGCUAGAUCUUAAAUGAAAAGAAAGCUUUAAUGGUGAAAUAAAAAUUUAAAUAAAUGAUAAAGGGAUUAAAGGUUAACCUAAUGUUAACAAAAAUAACUGCAAAAUAUACAUGUUUUAUCAUGUUAAUUGAUGUUUUUCCAUUAUGCACAUAAAAAAGAUCUAUUUUACAAUUGUUUCUGUUGGCGUUGGGGCAGAUUUUUUUUUAGUCUAAUUAAGUAUAUCAUAAGUUAAUAAUAGUGCGUAUUUUAACUUUAAUAAAUUUGGCCACUUAGAUUUUUAAUUUUGACUCCUUCCCUAAUCAAUCAAGAAAAAGAAUGCUUUUCUCCAUAAAAAUUAAAAUAGAAAAUUCAGCAAGGACAUAACUGCGGAGAUGUUUGAUCCUGGAUUUAUAUAUCAAAGCAACAUCAAAAUUAUAAUAAUACUUCCUUGUUACCGAGAAGAGAUAUAUUCAAGAGCACUAGCCUUAUAAAGCCUUAACAAUACUAAACUACCUACAUGGAAUCUAAUGCGUACAUGCAAUGCUUUCUAAAGUGAAACUGUCGCUUGAAAAUAGAAUUCAUGUUCAGCAGCCUCCCUCUAUCCGAGCUCCAAUUUUAUAACAAGGAAGCUAAAUAAGAUGAUUUAGAUGGCAUCGGCAUCUGUAGUAUCGUUUGUCUGUAGUCCCUCAUUAUCUACGAUCUGAUCGCUCCCUAUAGUAUUGUUUGUCUGUAGUCCCUCAUUAUCUACGCUCUGAUCACUCCCUAUGUAGAGGAUCGACAAGAGAAAAUUGUAGCACACGUUCACAGCACUAAUAACUGUUAAACUCUUAUAGUACUUGUCAAUCCUACUAUAAUCCAAGGUUUCAGCAAACUCGCCUUUGUUUGCCAAAAUGAAAAAGAUGUUAAAAAUGCUUCCAAUUCCGACGAAAAAAUAACUUAUUGCUGAUCCAUGGUACUCCAUCCGUUCAGGAAAAUGAGAGCUCGAGUAUUCAUCACAUCCAUACCAAGCAAGCCCUUCCAUAAGACCUAAUAGACAGAAUUGUGGAACAAGCCAAAACAUGCUCAUAUUUUCCAAUUGUUUGAGCUUUUCCAACCUGCGAACCUCAACCUGCCAUGCCACUACACAGCAAACUGUAGUCAUCACCAUUCCAAUGAAUGUUCUCAACACUUGAGCUUGUCUCUUUUUAGUUUUUGGAACAAAAUUGGAAAUUAAAUUUUUUGACAGAUAAGAGAUCGUUGCACGAAUUAUCCCUUUAAAAGUUCGUAGAAAGAUUAAGUAUCUUUCAGAAAUCAUGUUGGCUCCCUGCUCAGGAAAAAAUGUAUUUCCUGCUGACAGAACCAAUCCAAACACAAUGAAGCUAGACCACAAUGGCAACAAUUUAAGAAGAGAUUUUGACUCCCUGACCUGGGCCACAGUGCAAAGUGUGCCUGCCUCUUCUUGUUCGUUAGAAGUACUUGAUGUCUCUAUAAUUGCCGCUUUGUCUAUCCAUCUGCAAUUCAAAGAAUUAAUUUAUUGGUAAUUUUUUAGGAAAAUAGAAAGCGACAGCUCAUGGUUUGGCAAAAUGAUCACACAGACGCGUUUAUGAAUACGCCCUUUUGGACAAAUCUUGGAGGUCGGUGUGACUAUUCCCGAACACAAAAGGGUAUUAAUGUGUCCAUAAAGAGGUUUAUAUAAUUAUUAAUAAAAAUAAGAGGGUCUCCCCGACAAUUUUGCCAGACCACGGGCCGGGUGUGGGUGUAUACAUGUUAGGCAUAUACCUGAGUAAUUUGAUUCUGGGUGACAAGUGUAAUACGUUUCCCUCAUCAUUACUGAAGAACAGCUCCGGAGAAAGAGGAUAAUUGAGAUGCUUUUUCUUCAGGGAGGUUUUAAUAACGCGGAUUAUAGCAAAACGGUCAAUAGGAGGUAUUUGUCUACUAUGAUAAAAGGGAAUACCCGACAACAAGAGGAUCAAACUGCCCCCCAUAAACAACAAUGUGAACAUGAAAGUCUUCUUCCAUGUCUUAAUAUUAUUUGCAUAGAAUGCCGCAGCUGCACCACAGCACCAGGCAAACCGCCACCACACUCUUUUCUGAGCCAUUACUUGAUCCUCAUUUGAAUUUUCUGUUCUCCCUCCUUUACCAUGUUCUCUUAAUUGAUCGGCAAGAAAUGGUCCCAAAAGAGGCGCCGCUCCAACUUCACCCACUGCUAACAGGAUAAUUCCUAUCAUGUUGAGUAGCUCAAAGUUGGUUUCUGAAAAUUCUCUGGACGCUGUACAGAACAAUAGCCCCAAUGCCUGAAACGAAAAUUGUUGGAACUAAUUCUAUAGCAUGACAUUAUGAUCCUAGAAAUGCUUUUCUUAAUCAUUAUUAUAAUCAAAGUGGAGCCAAAAUGAAUUAAUGUCACAUCAAUUGUAAUUUAACUAUUGAGAUCUCUAGCAUUAUUUUUAUAAGGGUAAAGCUCCUAAUAUCCUCUUAUUAGGUAUGUGUGUGUAUAUAUAUAUAUAUAUAUAUAUAUAUAUUUUUUUUUUUACAUGCUGUGAAAUUUAACAUUUACUGCAAAAUAAUAAAUUUUUAAUUCAGCUCAAAGUACUAUAAAGUCCUGGGUCCGCCCCUGAAUAUAUAUAUUGCUUGCAAUGAUAGACAUAUGUUUUAAUUUCGUCUCUGUUUAGAAGUUUAGCAAAUUCAAAACAUAUUAACUUACAAGGAUGUAGGAGACAGUUGAAAAAAUGAGGAUUCUGAGAGGACGAAUGGCAUAACACGAAAUCCAGGCGGCAACAAUCGUAAGAGUUGCUAAUAUUACAUCCUGAACACUCGUAAAUAUUGCAGCUUUCUGAAGUGUGAAUACUUUUGAAUAUUCGGAGUCGGAGAAGUAAGUUAUCAAGACGCCCACUAUAGCCAAGUCUACGAGUUUGCGGCUUAUCAACAAACCUGGAAUCAAAAUAAUCAUUAGAAAAAAUGUUCGUGCUCACUAAAAAAAGCUUACACAUGAGGACUGCAAGAACAACGUGAGAGAACUAUUGUCAUGUUUUUAUAAUUUAGCCCAACCUAAUCAAAGAUCUUAAGUACACCUCUCUUAACUGAAAUUAUUCUAGGGGAUUAUCUAUUUAGGAAUCUCAAAGUUCAUGAGCUCUUAAUACAUACACACAUACAUAUACAUACAUACAUCAUCAUGUUGUUAAAGUAAUGAUGUUAGUAAAAUACAAAAAAAAUAUAUGUACAUGUAUUAAAUUGUAUGGUUUAACAGUAUUAGUACAAAUAAAUAAAUUACAUGAUUUUGUAGUGCAUUGAAAAUUAAUUCUAUUAAACUAUACAAUUUACUAGUGUGUCUCCAUUAAAAAAAAUAAAGACCCUCAUAUAUAUAUAUAUAUAUAUAUGUAUACAAGUUUAUGUUCUGAAUAAAUACAUUUUUAAAAGAUAGGAUUACCUAAGGCCCCACAUGCAAAAUUACCUGACAGAAAUGCAGCAGCCUUACAAAAGCAGACGUAAUAUCGUACCCAAGUUAUGAACCUGUUUUGAAGCUUCAACAGCUGAGAAAAUGGAAACAUUGUAGUUUCUGAAACUGCUUUUAUCUGCAAAGACUUCUACUUGUGAGUUGUGAAUCCCGAGACGAUGAAGAUUUUGUAAUUAUGCCAAAGUCUUUUAGGUAGUUUAUUCAAAUUAAAAAAUAAUAAGUCGCACUUCAAGACCACCUAUUGGUCACAUCAAGACCACCAUUUGGUCACAUAAGUCUUCUUUUUUUUCUUGUGACUUUCAUCCAGCUACGGUCCAACAGGUGCACCGUGCCCCUCUUUUUGACAGCACCCCUUACUUUCUUCUGUAUUUAUAGUUUAUUAAAGUAAUUUCUUUUUCCUCUUUCUUUCACCCCUCACCUUUACAAUCUUCCAAUUUUUUCCAUUUUCAAUUAAACCUGUAAUCAACCAAUUGCAAGCAAUAAGAAAAAAGUUGGCAAGCUAUUUGCUCUAUAAUACACAAGUAAUUAGGGGUGGGCAAAAUAUCCGACCUGAUCCGACUCGAAAAAUUUUAGAUUCGAAUCGGAUCGGGUUGUUAAUAUAACCCGAUCGGAUGAAAUAUUGCAAACCCGAUCGGGUUGUGAUCGGAUCGGAUAAAACCCGAUCCGAUCCAAAAACCUGAUCGGGUUGCUAAAAAAAAAAAAAAAAAUCUAUGGCCAAACACACACACACGGCACACAGCACACCACACAUAAUCACACAAAUCAGUGAAAUCAAAUACUCAAAAGGUUACACUUUACAGUUUACACAAACACAAAACACACAAAAACAAAAAAAUCACAACACCCAACCCGUGAACCCACCCUCAAGAAGCAAGAAAACAUUCUCUCCUUCCCGCAAUCUGCUGCUGCCGUGUUGCGAGUCCGGCCAUCUGCUGCUGCGUCAGCGAUCUGCUGUUGCCGUGCUGUUGUCAUGCUGCUGCCGUGUUGCGUCCAGCCAUCUACUGUUGCGUCCACGAUCUGCUGCCGCCGUGCUGCGUCCACGAUCUGCUGCCGCCGUGCUGCGUCCAGCCAUCGCGAGGAAACUGCUGCGCGUCCAGCCAUGCGCAAGCUGCUGCUGCACGCCCACCGAUCUGCUGCCGAAAACCCAGCCGCCGAUCUGCUGCUCCAAGGCUCAAGCUCCAACCCGACCCGAGUUUCUCCCUUAGUCCCUUAUGUGUUUUGAAUUUUGAAGCUUUCAUGGUGUAUUGGUAUAUAUGUUUUGAAUUGACCCGUUUAAUUUGACCCGAAUUGGUUUAAUUUGACCCGAAUUUAAUAUGAUCCAUUUUUUAUUCGAACCGAUUCAACCCGAAUUCAACCCGAUUUUUGACCUGAUCCGAAUAUAUAUCGGAUCGGAUCGGGUCGGGUUGUAAGUUCGGGUUGUAUUCGGAUCAAUGUUUGCACAACCCGAAUAACUCGAAACCCGAUCGGGUUGACCCGAACCUGACCCGAACCCGAUUUUGCCCACCCCUACAAGUAAUAAUGAAUUGAAGUUUUUAUAUAAAAAAAUUACAUAGAUGUAAUUUUUUUACGCACACUAUUUAUCAUCUACAAUGAAAUUAACAUGUAAGUAAAUUGCUUUUUUUAUCUUUUAUUAUAUGUAUUCUUCCCCUUUCUCCCCCGUAUGUCUUUUCAUUUUCUCUUUGAAUAAUCUAACCUAAGGCUUUCUAAUAAUUGGUUUAUUGUUAUUAUUUUUAUAAGUAAACCUUCUCUUUGUUAUGUCAAUAGGUUUAUUUAAAAAAAAAAAAUUCGUAAAUGACCAAAAGUGAGAACCUUAAUAAAAAUUCAAAACCUAUCUUAGUUUUUGUUGUCUUUGUUAAUGCAUCUUGCAUGUUUGAUGUCUUAAUUAUAACUUGUGAGAGUAAGUACUGUAAUACAAUGAUGAUUAAUGAUUAUUACUAAGAGUAUUCAGAGAAAAAGAAGUUGGUGUAAAAUUUUAUAAACUUUGAGUUUUCUAAAUUUUCACUAAACAAUAGGGAUUGCAUUAUUAAUAACUAAAUAAACACAUCCAUAACCUUGAAACUACAUUUGUGUAAGUUCUUUCUCUUUGUAAUGGUUACGAAGACUGACAAUUUUCUAUUGAAGUUAUUUAUACAUGUAAUUCUUUUUCAGCAUGUAAUACAUUUAGGAAAUGAGUAAUGAUUAAGUACAAACACUUUUAGAUAAACAAUGUUGUACGAACUUAUGUGAUAUUUUUUAGAAAAAAGGAUCUGAACAUCCUUAAGAUUUUAAAAAAUGGUCAUUUAUACUUUGAGUUUUCAAUACAGAACAUCAAGACACUUUUUGACUAUAGUAUUCUUAAUAGAUAAUAACAAAAAAUAUUGAAUUUAAACAUUUUAAUAAAUAUAAAUAAAAUUUAAAUAGUUUAAUAUGUCUAGUAGACUAAUAAUAUUAGAAAUUUCUAGUAGACUAAUAAUAUUAGAACAUUUCUUAAUAUGUAAAUAAUUUUUAAAAGAUAAAUUAGUAUAUUUAUUUUAAUAAUAUAUUUUUACUUAUUAUAAAAAUUGUAAAUAAAUCUUUAGGUUAGAUAGAUUUUAAAUUUAAUAAAAUAAAUGUCAUGUACUAAUAAUAUUAAAACUAUUUUAUAUAAUAUUGAAAAUAAUUUAAAUUUUAAAUUUUAAUAUUAUCUUUCGAUUUAUUUUGAAAUUUAGUUUAAUAUAAUUUAAUGUUGUAAAGUAUUAAAAUAUUUUAAAAAUAUUGAAAUUAUUUUAAAAUGUAUAUAUUGUUACAUUUAUUUUAAUAUUAUACUUCUAUUUAUUAUAAAAUAUUAAAAAUAAUAUUUUAAUUAAAAGGGAGUUUUGGUGUCUCUUACUGAAAAAUAGAGUGUACAUAAUCAUUUUUUCAAAUUUUCAAGGGUGUACAUGUCAUUUUUCUUACUUUUUUAUAAUCAAUUGAAUAAAAAAAAAGUCAUUUGGCCACAUAAAUUAUUUCUAAUUUAUAUUUUCAAUCAACAAAUCAUAAUGUGUCAUAUCUAUUUGUAUAAGUAUUUAUGAACAUAAAAAAUUAAGUUUAGGCACUAGUCGGGUUGGAAAUCAACUCAUCCAAACCCAUGUAUAGUGCUAGUUGGGUGAGUUGGACUUAUCUCGAAGACCCAUUUUCUGUCUUUGAAAUAUCAAUAUGAAAUUAAAAUAAUUAAAAAAUAAUUUAAUUGAAACAACUAAAGAUAGAAUACAAAAUUACAAAUAAUAACUAUCCCUGAAACUUCAUUGUUAAUAAAAAUAAUUAUUUGUAUAGGAUCCUAAUUACACCAUAAAAAGUAAUAGGAUGAAUUCAAGAGUUGGGUUUGAAAAUUUUCAACACCUAGUAAAUAUAGUGCAUUUUCUCCACCCCUAUGAAAUUAGGGGUUGGCUUUCUACUUGAUUUUAAGUAGCGAAAAUGAUCAAAACUACCUUAUUGUUUGUUGAAACUAUAGGGUGAAUUUAAGAGUUGGGUUUGAAAGAUGCAAUAUGCUCAUAUGUAUAUAUGAACAUAUUGCAUCUUCACUAUCUUAUCCCCAGAAUUUUUGCACCAAAUCGUGGUAUAAGAAUAAAAAUUCGCAACUCGAAUCAACAAAGUAUAUCACUAAGUUAUUCUGCAAGCCGCCAAAUUGGAAAAUGUCCCAAAUAAUUAAUUAACCACAGCGACUUGAUAGCUUAACUUUUUCCAACGCUGAGAGUCCUUCAUUCUUCCCUAUUGAGGAUUGGUUAUUGUAAACGUCUGUUGGAGUAACAUGGGGAUAGUGCGGAUGAUUUUUUUCGGAUAGCAACUAUUUAAUUGGACCAUAUUGUCUCGAGCAACUGUUAUUCAUAUAAAAAACUUCCAAUUGAAAUCGUUGAGCCUCGCCUUCUUGACAACACUCUGUGAUAGGCACUCUUGAACGCGACACUGGUAAUCAGCUGCAUAAACAUAUAAAAGAACACUAUAAUUAAGUUAUAUGAUGGAUUCAUAAUAGUCAAAGUUGUGCAUAACAUCUACUUGCCUGCAUCAUGUAGCCUAAGUUUACAACUAGAGCCCCGGAAACUGGGGUAAUAUCAAACCAUUGAUCUUCACAAAAGACUUGGAGGCCACAAUUCGAUCUUGUAUGAGCAUAGUGACAAAUCCAGGGUCAGAACGUAUUGUUACGCCAAUUGUCAAUUUCGGAUGAGGGCUUUCUGGGUAGUGACUAUUCCUAAUAGUCAUUUCCUCUACAGAACCUGUGUCUUUCAGGUAACUGGGGCCAAACCCUAAAGCUUCAGACAAAAUUUCAAACAGAGUGAAUUAGCAAUUGACGUUGUUGGAGAAAAAUCAAUUUUUAUUUUUUUUUUAAAAAAAAAACUUUUUAGAGUCGAUCUCAUACAAUAUAUAAGAAUUCAUAAUUUAGAAAUUAUACCUUGAAAAUAUGAGAAAAUGAACAAUCUUUGCUUUUUCUACUGAAGUGAAACUAGGCUCCCAUAUCACGAUUUGUCACCACCACACCUGUUAGAUCAUAAUCUGUCACCACCACGCUUGUUAGAUCACGAACUAUCACCAAUGAUUUUCUAGAUUAUGACUCAGGUUUGAUCUGCACUUGACGUGUGGGUGCUUUUAUCACUACCAAUAGCAACUAGUAUGAGAAAAUUUUUCUCUCAAGAUUAAAGAGAAAUAUUCUUUUUCUCUUAUCUGUAUAAUGUGGCCUUAUAUCUUUUCAAGAGAAAAUAAGCCCUUUUAUAUCUUAUCUAGUGGAAAUCCUAAGCUCUAUAUUUUUUAUUUUUUAAUUCUAUUAACACAAGGCCCCUUACACAUAAGCAUAUUACAUGGAGCCUCCUACUAAAUAAUAUAUUUAGGCUUUUAACCCAAAUAGCUAAUUAUCUUACUUAUUAAUCCAGUAGCGGCGCAGUCAAUUAAAUGAGCUAACCCAAAGAUCAUUUGAGAACAUACAAUAGUGGCUACAAUAAUUAGGCAUGUAAUCAAACUAGCCCAAUUAUUUAAUUCUAAAUCUACUCCACUAAAAGAUUGGAACUGACUUCCACAAUUGUAUGCUUGAAUAAUAAUUCAUCCCAAACAACAUUGAUUUCUUUACUGCAUAAUCCUUUGUACCACAUCAUUAAUUAAAUUGAUAUCUCAACUGUCCAAUCAAUUUAACUACAUCUUGUUCCUUGAUUCUUACUGGUUUUCUCUAAUGAUCAUUUUCAACAUACUAAAUAUGUCGACACACUCUGACCAAAGAAUUCUAUGAUCAAGUGCCGAAAACCUAUCAAGAGAUGUGUUGUACAAAUUCUAUAUUGUCAAUCUAUAACUCCAAUACUCAUAAUUGGUCUCAUCAAGAUACCGGAUAAUCUUGACUACAAGUAUGUGUCGUGCCCAUUGGUAAUUCAAAUGGAAUAACAAUUAUAAUCAUGAAAUCAUAAUUAACUCAAGAUUAAGAUUGCAGUAAAAUCCACGUCUAUGAGAUUUAAUAAGUCUGACAGUAAUUACAAAGUUAAUUAAAUCUCAUAUGUUAUCUUGUUCAAUGUAGUCUUACUAUAUCAAUAAAUUCAUACAUGAAUAAGACAAAUCAUUCAAUGAAUUCAUUACAGUCUAUACCUAAAUAAAGUGCCCAACUUUAUUUAUCAACUGCGAAUUAAAUUUAUUUAAUCAUAAGAUAACUUGUAUUUAUGUCUUCUAUAAUCCACAUGGUGAUUCUUGUACAAAUUUAUUGAACUCGCAAGUGCACGAAUAUAUUGUAGAAUAGAUUAAUGGUGACAAGUGUCGAUCCCACGAGAAAGUGGAUUUUAAUUAUGUGUAAAAUUAAUUUUCUAUGAGGGUGGUUGGAUUUGUGGUGAAAAUGAUUUGGAAUAUUCUAAACAUUAAAUUAGAAUGGCAGGAAUAAAUUAAAGGAAAAUCUAUUGAAAUAAAGCACUUGGGUAUCUGGAUCUGCAUUAACAUGCACCAUGUGCUAAAUAUUCCUUAGUAAUGCCAAUUAAAUCAUGAGGGGGGUUUCUACUCCUCAUGAACCACACUCUAAUCAAUAUGGUGUUAAGGGCUUAUUGUGGCAAACAAUAAUAACCUUGUACUAGGGAGUCGGUUAAAUCAGUGCAGUAUCCAGACAAGAUUAUUACUAUUUGUCGACGAAAAGUCAAAAUAUCAACAAUAAUUAGAGGAGAAGAGAAAGUAAAUUUACUAAAUAAAGCCCAUGACACAUGUUGAGACUUCACCAACCCAAACUUGAAAGAAAAUUAGCUACUUAUAAUUGAACUAAGGGUAAAAUGAGAAUUUAUUAAAAUACAUAGAAAAUACAAGAUGGAGAAGGAAUUACAGAAAAUAGGCUCAAAAAUGAAUUCAAAAAUGCCAAAUUAGGGAGGAGCCCCCCUUUUAAUAGAUACACUGAGUAAAUCAUGGCCAUCAGAUUAAAAACAUUUUGGACGCUCAAGAUUGCGCCACGUCAUCGGUCAACAGUACGUGGUUUGACCACGUGGUUUGGUUGUAAAUAAUCUCGUGUAUAUGCAUGUACCGUACGCACUAUUUUUUAUCCACUAACAUGCUGCCACGUCACCGAUCAACAGUACAUAAGAAUUUUAGUCUAAUAAAAUCGUGACAUCUCAUCAGUCAAUACCACAUCAUCAGUCAAUGCCACGUCAUCAUUUUGUAUAUGUGAAUAGUGUCGUGAACAGUAACAUGGAUAGUAUCGUAUCUGUGAAUAGUACCGUACAUGUGAACAAUUCCAUUUUUCCUUUUAAACUCCUCCUAAGAUUUUCGACUGUCCUGAUCUCAAAAGUGAUGUCUGUUUUGCUGUAUGAUCUCUCGUUCAUUGUGAAAUGACCAUGAUGCCCCUAAAAUACAUAAAAUAUUUAAUUAUAAUAUAAUACACAUAAUUAAAUCAUAAGGAACUUAAAUACAUAAAAGUAUGAAUGUUAGUGAAACUUGAAGUGUAAAAUGACGAUUUUCUCCUUCAUAAAUAUACACUUUCUAACACUCAAAAGUGAUCACAUAAAUACAUAUAAUAUGAUUAAAUGGACUUUAAUCAAAAUAUUAAUGCAAUUAAGAUAUUUGAAUAAAAUACCUUAUUUAUUUUAUUAAUCAGAAAAAUUGUUUAUUACAAUUAAAUAAACACUUAUGCUUUUAAAGAGCAUAUUUUCCCAACAGGCGUAUCUCAUAAAGCCAACUUCGGUGGUUGGGGUAUCCUGCCGUGCAACACUGUAUCUCUUAUAGUCAACUUUUACGACUUGGACAAUUUGUAUUUUACCGAUUGUCCAUUGAAUUAAUUUGUUUUUGCUGAAAAUGAAUAUUAAAAAAAGAUUAAAAUAAAUAAAAUUAUAAAUAAUUAAAAUCACAGAUUGUCCCAGACCACCAAUAAAACCUCUAAAACUAAAAUUAUAAGCUCCUCCGUAAGAUCCACCAUUAUAUUUCUUAUUACCACUAGCAUUCUUUCAAGGAUUAAAAUGGUUUUGAGUUACAUUAGCUAACAAGUUAUGUGUGACAUCACUAGCAAUUUUACCUCUUGUCUGUUCAACUCUAUUCUCCUGAUUUAGCAGUAAAGAGUAAAAUUCAUCAAGGCUGAUCUUAUCACCUCCAGCUAACACACUGAUAACUAAAGACUCAUAAUCAGAUGAAUCUAGUCUAGUCAAAAUAUAUUGAACAAAAUCACUUAACUCAACAGAUUUUCUAGCUAAAGCCAGACUGUCAGACAAUCUCUUCAUUUUAACAAAGUAAUCAAUCAUAGACAUUGAUCUUUUUUUGAGUGUUUGAAUAUGCAUCUUAAAGGCAUUAUUCUAGCUUGAGAUUGUAAAGUAAACAUACUUGUGAGUGUAUCCAAAAGCUCUUUAGCAAUGGAGCAAUGAACGAUUGUAGCGAGUAGAUUUUGCUGAAUAGAUGACAACAUCCAACUCAAAACUAAUUGAUCUGUCUUCAUCCAGGCUGUGUAUGCUGGAUUGACCUUUCGAUUUUCAGUAAUAGUUGAGGACCAACUUCAGUGCUAGCUAGUGUGAGAAAUUACUCCGAACAAGUUUGAUCACCAUUAAUGAAAUUAUCCAGAUCGUUUCCUUUGAUGGAUGUUAAAACCUGAGUUUGUCAGACAAUGAAAUUAUUAUGAUCUAGCUUAACAGGAUUGAUAAAACUAUAGGAUCCAGAAAAUUGAUUAGAACUGACCAUUGUAGGCUCUGAGAUCAUGAUAGAAUUUGUAAUAUAUAUGUCUGGAAAGCAAGAAAAUUAAGGAGAAAAAGAUAGAAAGAAAAGAAGAAGAAUUUAGAAUAUGUUAAUUGUUCAUUACAUUACAAAUGUGAUUAUAGCCUUUGUAUUUAUAUUAAGUGAAAUGCUUAACUAUAAUUUGUUAUAACUGGAAUAGGUGCUAAACAGUUCGUUAGCUAGAAGGCUGAGAUGGCUAACUAAUUAUUCCACGUUAGCAAGAGCACUCAUGUAUGGUCCUCAUCCGUACUGUAAUUAUCAUACUCUGUAACAGUUCUUCUACAUCUUCUUGCUCUUCAGGACCAAGUGUACUUCGUGGGUCUAUAAUUGCUGCUUUGUCUAUCUAUUUGCAAUUCAAAGAAUUAAUUUAUUGGUCAUUUUUUUAGGAAAAAAGAUAACGAAACAUAGUUGUUUGGUAAAAUAGUCAUGUGAACUCUUUCUUCAAAACAUAUAUAAAAACAAACCUUGGAGAUCAGUAUUGUCUAUGUGAUAAUUUCUAAAAAUAAGAGGUCUACCUGACAAUUUUUUCAAACCAUGGGAUGUUGGUAUAUACUCUUUAAGUAUGUACCUUAGUAAUUUGAUUCUAGGUGACAAGGGUAAUUCAUUUUCAUCAUCAUUACAGGAGAAUUGAUCUGCAAAAGAAGGAAAAUUUAGAUGCCUUUUCUUCAGGGCAGCUUUAAAAAGACAGAUUAUAGCAAAACCGUGAAUAAGAGGUAAUUGUUUACUAUGGUAAAAGGGAAUACCCAACAGCAACAAGGCCAAACUGCUCCCAUAACCAAUAUUGUGAACCUCAAAGUCCUCCGUCAUGUUUCCAGAUUAUUUGCAGGGAAUGCUGCAACUACAUUACAACACCAGGCAAGCUGCAGCUAUACUUCUUUUUGAGCCUUUACUUAUUUCUCAUUUGGAUUUUUUGUUCUCCCUUCAUCACCAUGUGCUCUUAAUUGAUCGACAAGACAUGGUCCUAAAAGAGGCCCCAUUCCAAAGUCACCCACUGCUAACAAGAUCAUUCCUAUUACGUUGUGUAGUUCAAAUUUAGUUUCUAAGAAUUUACUGGACGCUGUAUAAUACAAUAGCCUUAAUGCCUCCAACAACAAUAGUCGGAACUAAUUGUAUGGCAUAACAUUAUGAUCCUAAAUAUGCUUCUUAAUCAUUACUAUAGUUAGGAGCGGAACAAAAUUGAGAUUUAGGGGGCCAAGUGUAAUUAAGGUAAUUAUUUCAGGAUUAGAGAGUAUUAGUUAUUUUCUGGGGUUAGGAGAUGGGGUUCACGUUUAUGAAGCCACCAUAUAAAGAAAAACAACUAGUUUGAAAGUUGAAAUUACAAAUUUAUAUAGUGUGAGAUUAUUUCAACCUACUAAAAUAUAUGUUAUUUUAAAGACUAAUGAGCUUGCGGCUUUGAAAAGGUUGGAAUGUUAUUUGGUUGGAGAGGGACUCGGUUUCAACUUUAACUUGUCUUACGAGUACCAAAUUCAAGCCGUCGUAGCAUCUGCAUAUCAUAUAGUUGAAUUGUUUGAGAGCCUAAAAGUCAAAUAUUGUGGAUCAUAUCAAAUGCCAAAUGUUGGAUAAUCUUUUCCAAAUGUUGGAUAACAAGAAAAGGGAUGCACACAAGACCGCUGACUGAAAAUAGAAAUAAUUGGACAAAUAAAGCCCAAACCACAACUCAUCAUAAUCUUUUUGUUACUAAUGGAAGCUAAAAGCACCUGAGUUAUCAACUAUUCACAUUUUCUAUUAGAUACUGAUGCUUGAUACAUUCAUCAUGAUAUCCAGAAACAAUAAAAUUAAGCUAGUACAAAGAUAUCUAAAUGAAGAUGAUAAUAUCAUAGGCAAGAUAUGGUCCAAUUGAUUAGGAAAAUCAAGCUAAGGUAAUUUUUUUUAAUACUAAAUGCUUAAUUAAAAAGGACAUCAUUAUAUGUUUUAUACAUGCACAAAUUGUCAUUUAUUUGAGGCAUGUCUAAUAUUUAGUAGAGUGACAAAUAUACUUGAAAAUGUAUAAAAAUUAUCAAAUAAUAUGUGAGAAAUAUAGUUAUUUUUGUUGUAAUAUUAAUGCAAUAAACUUUUAUCGUAUCAUAUCGGCAUGUUUAAAGAGGAAAAAAAAAACUCAGAGACUCAAAAAUUCCAAACUUUAAUGUGUAGCUGGCAUUUAUUUGUAGGCUCAAUUGAAGUACAGAAGUCACAAUUCCAAACAACAAACAAGCUAUCAUCACUAAUCCACCAAAUUGGAAAACAUCCUCAAUUAAAUUAACCACCGCGCCUUUCCAGCUUGAGUUUUUCCAAUGCUGAUAGUCCUUCUAUUGAGGAUUGGUUAUUGUAAAUAUCUUUUAAGGUAAUUUCAGGAUAGAGCGGAGGAUUUUCUUCGGAUAGCAACUCUUUAAUUGGACCAUAUUGUCUCGAGCAACUGUUGUUCAUAAAAAAACUUUCGAUUGAAAUUCUUGAGCCUUCCUUUUUUGAUAACACUCUGUGAUAGGCACUUUUGAACUUGUCAUUGGUGAUUAGCUGCAUAAACACACAAUAAAAAAAUCCACUAUAAUUAAGUUACAUGAUGGAUUAAUAAUAGUCAAAGUGAUGCAUAACAUGUACUUGCCUGCAUCAUGUAACCGAAGUUUACAACUAGAGCUCCGGGAACUGGGGUAAUUACGAUCUGCAGUUUUCUAAUUUAACUCAUGCACGCUCGAGGCUUUUGUUUACCCUAGUUUUCAGUAUGAAAAGAGGCGCGCAUCACAUAAUACGGCGGCAAAGAAUUAUCAUUAGAAAAAUUGGAGAGAAAAAGAAGAAGAAGAUCAUAAUUCAAGGGAACAGCUGCAACAUCAUUGAAGAAUCCAGCAGAGUUAUUUGGAUUCACUUUUUGUCGUUCUCGACUUAUACCUUUCUUCUUUCUCUAACUAAUCUAAUGUAUCUCAUGAACAAUAUGUUGCUGAUUGUUUAUCUCUUUCAGAAUAUGAACUAAACUCGCUUGUAUUUGAGUGACAAACAAUCUAAUGGGUUCUUGACUGUUCUUAUGAGUUGCUAUGUCAUUGCUGUAGCAUUUUACUCUAGUAGCUAUUAUUAUAACUUUUAUUUUGGUUGACCACCCAUUUAAUGGUUCAAGUUAAGAUAGGACCAUAAAAGGGCAUGUCUUACUGGAUAUUAUUAUAGUAAUACUUGAUCUUAAUUUAAGUUUCCUAGAUUACGUUUAUCUUGAAUCCCAUAAGGGCCAUACUUAAAGUUAAGAUUUGUGAUAAACUAGACAUAAGUAUUCACCUUGUAGGGUGGAGAGAAUGGAUGUUCAUAAUGUCAUGCCAUAGGUAAAAUAGCAACUGGCCAUUGUUAAGAUGUUUACGGGUAUGAGACUUCCAAUAUGCGACAACUGAGGAUGCAAAUUAAAUUCUGUCCAGUGCUAUAGAAAUUAUUGUAGCAACUGGUGUUAACUUGAUGAAAAGCAGUUAACCCAUAAAAAGAGUUUGAUCAUUCAACUACCUUAUUCUCAUUUGAUUCUUCGACGCAUUUUAUUUAAUUUGUUUCAUUACUACAUUGUUUAACUUUAUUCUCUCACAAUUAUCAAUUUCAAUAGUAACCAACUUUACAUUUGUUAAUUUAGGAAUCAAGUUAGAUUACACUAUCGUGAUUGCUGUAGCAUUUCUAGUAAUAUCAAUCCUUGUGAAGACGAUCUUAAAUAUUCAUCACUUUAUUACUUGUUCUGUACACUUGCACAUUGACAUAAAUAAAAUUUGAUAAAAAAUACCAACAAUGAGAUAGGGGUAAACUUCAGGAUGUGCUGCGCUUUUUAAUUGUUGUGUAGAUUCUUUUGAUUCCUAUCUCUAGUGGAGAACCAGAUGUGAUUUUGUGAGACCUUUCUCCUGAUGGUAGUUUUUCUUUGAGGACUGCUUCAAAUAUUGUGCAUUGGACAAUGCCAAGUGAUGAGGCUUUUUUUGUUAUUUGACAGCGACAUCUUUUCCUGGAUAUCUUUUUUUCUCUAGAGGUUGUGACACAAAUUCUUGACCACAGAUGAUGCCUCGUGUUCGGGGGAUUUCUGCAUAGUUUCUUAGUAUCUUUGUGGUCGGGCUUAUGAGACUUCUAGGUAUUUUCUUUCUUGGUUGCCCUCGAGUUAGGCCAGUUUGGGUCCAUUUUCUAUGUACUCUUGGUUUGCGCUAUGUUGCUUUUCUAUUCCCCCGUACUUUAUUUCUUAAUUGGUAGUGAUGUGCCCUUUCUUGGAGCCAUAUUCGAGUUCUUCUUCCUUGUUUCAUUUUGUGGCGAGUUUAGAAGGCCUGUAAUGCAUUGAAGUUUGACUCAAUGGCCUUUUUUGUUGAUGCUGUUAUUUAUUGGGCAAUGUUGGAUCUUAGGCUUGCUGGUUCUGCCUUUGGUCUUAAACCAUCCCAACUGUGAGGAGUUCUAGGUUCUCGAUUUGUAAAGUUCUUGAGAGUUGUUGUUUCAUCCAAGAGGCUGAUUCUUUUAGUUUUUUGGCAGUGGUCACCACCUGGGGCGGUGAAGCUGACUAUUGAUGGUUGCUUUAGGAGUAAUCCUAGGAUGGCUGCUUCAGAUAGUAUUUUACGUGAUGAUUAGGGUGUGGCUUUGGCUGCUUUUGGUUCCUUCCUUGGGCGCUCACUGAUCUUUCAUGCAGAAUUCAUGGCUGUUUUUUAGGGGUUAGAGUUGGUGCUCAGCUCCAUUAUUCUGUGCUUGACGUAGAGUUGGACUCAACCAUGGUGGCUUCUUGGAUUCUUUUCUAAGGCCUUGUUCAUACGGACUAUACCUAUUCUUUGCAUCGGGUGUGUAGUUUGACAUUUUCUUCUACUUCGUGGUUAGUCAUGUGCUUCAGAAGGUUACUUCUACUGCUGAUUUCUUUGGCCUGCACUCUUCAAGGUCAUUUGUGUUUCUUGGGUUCUCAGGAUAUAUUUGCUAGCUUAUCUAAUAAUCUCCGUUUGGAUAUGUGGGUAAUUUCUCGUAUCAGGCAAUAGGAUUGCUUAUUUAUGUAUUCCAUUUUUUAUCUUGUAUUUUUCUCUUUUCCAUUCUUAUGUUCUUGCAAUUGCGGUUUUGAUUUAUAUUCACCUCCUUAUGUAUUUGAUUCAUUCUAUGAUUUAUAUGAAAGAUAGGAGUUCCACCUAACCCCACCUUUUUGUGGUUAAAAAAAAAAGAUCAGGAAUUCAACCUAGAUCAUCAAGGUAAAACAUCAAAUAGGUUGUAAAUUUAACAUAUGAACGUAAAAGCUUAACAAAACAUUUGAAGUUGCUUGACAACAUAGAAAUACAAGCAAAAAGAGAUGCUAAACAACACAAAAUUUUGAUUGGGUGGGAGUAUUGUUCAUGCUAGCAUAAUAAUGAGGUGCCUGAGAAUACCUAAGACUUUCUUGAUAAAUAAUAUCAUCUAAAAGGUUAGGAAUCACAGAUAAUUGUCCACGUAUGAACAAACCUAGCUCAAAAUGUGAAAUGUGUUAAGAUUUUCAAACAUUUAAAUUAAUAGUUAAUAAUUUCAGACAAAGGAUUCUUGGAGACCUUAAAGUUCACUGAUUCUAUCUUAUGGCUCAUUGUCUCUCUCAACAAUUUAAUUUCUAGAUUAUUUGGCUCCUAUCUAUUAAAAGACAACACCGUUACUAAAAUUAUAAAUUAUAACAGUUAAACCUAAACCUACGUCGUUUAGCAAUUUACGAAAGAAAAAAAUAUAACAAAAGCCAAUUGUUGGAGUAGCAACGUGCCAACGAGAAAACCUCAAGCCAUGUAAUAUCAUGUGUCAACAACUAAAGAAGAACAAACCACCACCCUCUAGGUCGUCGCUGCACUAACGCUGGGCCCGAUUUGAAUAGUUAGAAGUUGUAACAUUAAUUAGGGAAUGAGGGCAAAAUUUUGGACUUCGAUUUAAUAAAAUUGAUUUAAAUGAGUCCCAAUAGAAAUAUGAUUAUAAAUAUAUCAAUAAAAUUAUGACAUGUUUAAAAGAAAAAAAUUAUUUUCACACAAAACAAAAAACACAACCCUUGGAUGUGGGAUGUGUCUAAAAAAUAAUAGGGUGGAAAAAUUAUCACCCUCAAAUUAGAUAUAUAAAUAUUUAAUGUUUUACUCUUAUAAUUUUAUAAUUGUUUUUUUAAAUAUUAGUAAGAGAAAGAUAGAAAUUAAUAUAUAGACAAAUCGAGUCCUUUAUUUUAUUAUUCAUAUCCAUAAAAAGUAACCACUAUGCUAGUCCCACGAACUUAGCAUAAGACGGUAAUUUAGAAAAAAGAAAAAAAAAAAGGAACGUUUUUAGACACCAAAACAAAAGCAAAACAAGCACAAAGCGAGACAUACAAACAAAUUUUAUGCUACUGCAUAGGGGUGUUCGUGGAUCGGAUUUUACGGAUUGGAUAUCAAUCCAUAUCCGAUCCAUGAUUUUGCAGAUUAUAAUUUUUCAAUCCAAUCCAAUACACAGAUUGAUAAAAUUCAAUCCAAAUCCAAUCCAUACAUCUGCGGAUCGGAUGCGGAUUUGACUCAAUCCAUAUCCAAUCCAUACGUCUGCGGAUCGGAUGCAGAUUUGACUCAAUCCAUAUGCAAUCCACCAUUUUGCGCAUUAGUUUUCGAAUUAAAAAUUUUUAGUUCUCUCCAACUAAUGAAAUAAAAAAAAUCUAAUAUAAAAAUAAUUUUGCUACUAAUUAAAUUUAAAAUUGAAUAAAAUUUAAAUAAAUUAAUUGUUUAAAUAAAGCUAAAAUAAUAUAUUUAAAGUUUUAAAAUAUAACACAUCGAGACUAAUUAUUCAAAUAAAGCUACAAUAAUACGUUCAAAGUUUCAAAAUAUAACACACAAAGCUUAAUUGUUCAAAUAAAGUUACAAUAAUACGUUAAUAUAACACCAAAAUUAAUUAUUCAAAUAAAGCCACAAUUAAUUGAAAAUGGCGAAGUUUUGGAAACCAAACACAGUUUGAUCCUUCACCAAGGCUGUUGUGCCUGUCGAAAAGUGGUGAUUACGGAGCCAUUCACGAUGGGAAUCAGGAGAAGCCGUACGGGUGGCGAUCUUGAAGGUUGUGAUUGUGAAAUUGUUCAAUUGGAACCAAUGAAUGUGAAGUGGCUCGAUGGACUUGGGAAAGAAGAUGGCUUGCUCUCGCCAGAAUCGCGCAGCCGAUGUCCUUUAAAUCCGUGUCGAGAGUGUAUCCAACCAGUAUUAAGUGUUGCUAGUGUGUAUGACGGUGGGGAAGUUUAGGGUUUUUUGUUUGUAAAUUGGUUGUAACUUUACGUUAUGUUACUUUGCUUUUGCUAGUGCGUGUGACUUUGCUUUUAUUUUGUUUUACAAUUUUUACAAGUUAUAUUUGUAUAUUUGAUUAUUUAAUUAUUUUUCAUUUUAUAUUAUUAUUAGGUAAUGGCUAAGAUAUGUUAUAAUGUUUAGUAACUAUGUAAUGUCAUAUUUAUAAUUUUUUAAUUAUAUAUAUAUAUAUAUAUAUAUAUUUUUUUUUUUUUUGCGGAUUCACAGAUUUCUGCGGAUUUACAGAAGUAAAUCCAUAUCCAAUCCAUCGACUGCGGAUUUUUAAAUUUUCAAUCCAUAUCCAAUCCACCAAUCCACGGAUCAGAUUUAUACGGAUCAGACGGAUUGAGCGGAUCGGAUUGGAUUCUGAACACCCCUACUACUGCAUUCAAGCAGAAGCCACCAAUUGUUCACGACGGCGUUUGAAAACAACCAACAUUUCAUCCUGAUUGGGAAGGUUUUCUUCAAUUAUAGGGACUUGCUUGAAAGUUCAAGCCACGCAUGCAAGCGAGGGAAUUUGUGUGAUACAAAUAUUUUAACUCCUACUACAUCUUCAAUGACUUGCAACCAAUAAACAAUUGAACCAAAUGCUAGGUCCACUAAGCCAAUAUUGUCUCCGUUGAAAAAUUUCUUCUCUCCCAAGCCAUGCUCUUCAACGUUUUGUAGCAUUUCCAAGGCUUCCUUCGCUGUGUUUUGUAGUUCUUGUCCAGUGCUACGAAACAUUUUCCAAAUGGCAACACCCUGCCACAAAUAUUUUUACAUCAGAUUUUAUCACCGACAUGAUUAAUUAAUAAUAUGUAUAUAAAAGCGAAAAAUCGUUAGACGAUAUGUACACGUGUCACAAUAUCCUUAAAUUAGAGGUUUAAUAAGUUAAUUAAGAGAGUUCAACCACUGAGUUGUAAAAUCUGUCAUUAGCUAGUAAAUUCACUUUUUCCCAAUGCUUCAAAAGUCAUCAAAAUUCCCCGUGAAGUUAAAAACGGUUGUGUUAACUUUAACUUAUUACAUCUUUUCAUAUUUUAGGAUAAAACAGUGAAGACACCAGAAAUUAACAGUUUAGAGAACGUUUAACAAAUAAAUAUGAAAAAGACCCCUGGGUGGCUGGGCUCGACUGGCUAUGAAUUCACUUUCACUUUGCGCCAUCACCCGAGUUCGAGUACAUAUAGAGAAUAAGAGUUGCUGUUUGGCGGGUGGAUUUUCUUAUCCUCGUCACCUCAUCUAGAUCUUAAAAUAAAUCAAUAAAUAAACAAAUUUGAAAAGAAUGAACUUAAUCAUAAACGUGUUUGCCAGAGUUGUGAGCGAACCUUGUCUUCAGCGAAUUUGAUCCAGAAUCGAGCAAGAGCCCUAUCAUAAGGAUUAUUUGGCAUCAAGGAGGGAUUCUGUGGCCACGUCUCUUCGAUGUAUUUGAGAAUAACCAUGGACUCACAAACUGGUUUUCCGCCAUGGACGAGCACUGGGAUCUUCUUGUGAACUGGAUUAUACUUCAAAAGCAAUGCACUUUUGUUUGAGAGAUCUUCGGAAACAAAUUCAUAUGGCACGCCUUUCAAUUUCAGAGCCCAAAUCGCCCUGUAAACAAAUGGACUCGGCAGGGCCCCAUGAAGCUUCACUGCAGCCAUGAUAAUUCUAAGAUUGAAUUUGAAUUAUCGGUUUUUCUGAUCGAUGUUGUGUAUGGCUGUUAACUCAUUACAUAUGUUUCUGAAUUUAUAGUGAUUUAUGGAAUGCACUUUCUUGAGCAGAAAGCUUCAAUUUUCCAUUAAUAAAACGAUUAAUGAUGAAUUCAAAGAACUAGUGCAAUGACUUUAAUUAAAUAUUUUUUUACGUUGUGUGCAACCGCUUUUUGAGGUUAAUAUAAAGGAUAUUAUUUUCUCCUGAUCAAAACUUUUAUAUAAAAAAAUAUAAUUAUGUAAUUGGUAGUUAUUAAGUAGAAAUAAAAUAAAAAAUAAAUUUUGACCGUAAAUAAAUAAAAGUUCAUAUAUGUUAUAAAGAUUUUUUAAAACUCAAAUAAGUGCACCCAAUUCCUAAUUUAAAACGCUAGCCAAUGAGAUCAAUAAUUUGGUCAACCAGUCAGAGAUAACCAUACAAUAAUUAAUCAAAAAUUUGCCAUUUGUUUUACAUUUAAGACCUUUGCGUCAUGCAUGAUGAUCAAUUGAUCAUGGAUCAAUUAGUCAACAAGACAUUUGCCUUUUGUGAAUGUGUUCACAUUGGACGCAAAUAUAAUUUGUUAUAAAAAAAUUGGACUAAAUUAUUUUUUAAUAUUUUUUUAAAAAUAAUACAUCUGAUCCUCGAGGGCCUGUUAUUUAGUUCGUGAAUCUUAUAACAGGACCCAUGAUUUAUUUAUUUUUUAAAUCUUAUGGGUCCCCUAUUAUUUAAUUUGUGGAAUUGACGGAGGUAACUUACAGUUUCAUUUUUGUAAUUUACAGCUUUCAAUAAAUUCAGAUAAUAUUAGGCGGUAAAAGUAGGCCAGGCUGGAGGAGUAGAUCUAUAAAAUUUGCAAGCACUUUGCACUGUCUGUUUGGUGCCCAGAAACACACAUAUUUAUCAUCCACUUUUUAUUUAACGCUGGGUUUUUUUCGACCCAUAAUAAUUUCUCUUUGCACAUCAACUUUUUAAUAAAAACUUUUAUUGUCAAUAAAUUGUUAGUAAUUACUUCACUAAUCCUCCCUUUUUUUUUUGGGCCAAUUUCUCUUUCGCAACUGACAAAAUUUAAUUCACAUCAUGUGAUAGUAUGAUUGCAAAUAAAUUUGAAGUUAUCUCUCGAAAGUUGUUCACAUAUCUUGUGUAUAGAACUAAAGAACAAUAGCAAAACCACUAUCCUCUAGCCGAUCGCUGCUAUUAGGACGGCAAAAUUAGUUGUAAAUAUGUAAAUUUGUCUAAACCCAUCUACAAAAAUCUGUCCACUGCCAAUAAUUUUGUAGGUUGCGGAUAAGUUUGAUAUUUUAAAUUUAAGUUCGUUGCAGGUUACGGAUGGAUUCAGUAUUGAAAAAAAAUUGGCGGGUAUCUGCCGACUAGCAUUUUUUUAAUUAUUUAUGUUUUUAAUUUUAAUCACAAAGAUUGUCUUAAAAAAAUUUAAUCAAAAAAUAUAGUAGUUAAAGUUAUUACUCUAAUCUUCCAAAUUCCUAAACCUAACCUAACUCAUGACAGUUGCACACCCUACUCCUUCAAGUAUGUAUGUAUGUAAAUGUAUACACAUGCACACACACACAAAAUAAGCUUUUAAUAAGUAGAUUUAGUAUUUUUCAAGUUUAAUAUUAAUGAUAUGUUAAGUUAAUUUAAUUACUUUUGUUUGUUUCUCUUUAAUGACUUGAACUUAGUGAUUGCUGGCUAAGAUUUGAUUUUUAUUUAUCUAAUUAAUGGUCAAUAGUUGUCCAAAAUAUAUUUGUUAUUAUUAUUGACAAUACUUAUAUAUUGACUAAAAGAUAGAGUAAGGCAUUAAUUUUAGUAAUAAUUAUUUGCCUACAACAAAAAUAUUUUGUGUUAGAAUGAUAUAUUUUGUGUAUUUGUUUUAAUAUUGAAACUUUAAUUUCUCUUUUACAUUGAUGAAAUCUAAAGUUGAGUAGUUUAUGUAGAUUUUUUAGUCUGUUACUAUAAAGUUAUAUUUUGAAUUAUAUAAUUUAAAUUAUUAAAUAUAAUUUUUUAAUAUUUAUGAUUUUAAAUAUAAAAAUUUAUUAAAAAAAACUACUACAUGUUAUGGGUGGAUUUGCUAAUUAUUAAAAAUUAUAGCGAACGAACUAAAAAAAAAAGAAGCAACCGGUUACGGGCGAAUUUAAUAAUGGCAAACUCAUAAUAAGCGAUACCAUUACCAUCGGCAGCUUCUAUAACGCAGGGCCGGGGGCGGUCUUGAAUUGUUAGAAGUUGUAACAUUAAUUAGCAAAAUUUUCAGCGGCAUCCCUGAAGUUUAGCAUAGAAUUAGAUAUAUCCCCUUGUUUUCAAAAUUAGUCUCUGAUUCCCAUGUUGUUUACUUUAUUAUUUUUUGUUUUCAUUUCAAUUGGAUUUAUAACUUUGUAAUGUUGCGCCUUGUAAAAUGUAUGCUUAAAACGCGUGCUUCUUAUUUUUUAUAUACUGCUAAGAGAAUUUGAGAAUAGAAAUAUAUAAAAUGGUGUCUCAUUUAUUAAUUAUUUAUAUCCUCUAAAUAGCACCUAACAUGCAGCUCACUUCAAUGAUAAAAUUAAUUAAACAAAAUAAAAAAAAAGCAUUUUUAACACCAGUACAAAAACAUAACAAGUGUACAAGAAGACUCAUUAACUUAUUUUAUGAUAUUAAAUUCACGCAGAUACCACCAAUGUUUCUCGACCAUGUUUGAAAGAGACCACCAACUCAUGCUGACUUGGAAGAUUUUCUUUAAGUAUAUAAGUGAAAGUUAUUACUCUAGUCUUCAAAAUUCUUAAACCUAAUCUAACUCAUUACAGCUGCAUGCCUUGCUCCUUUUAUUAUAUGUAUAUAUUUUAAGAUGAAUACAAUAACUUUUUAAUAAGAAGAAUUUUAUACUUUUCAAGCUUAAUAUUAACGAUAUUUUAUUUUAUUUUAAUUACUUUGAAUUGUUUUGGUUUAAUGACUUGAACAUAUUGAUUGUUUGCUAAAGUUGAAUUUUUAUUUGUCUAAUUAAUUGACGAUAGCAAUUGUAUAAAAUUUACUUAAAAAGAUAAAAUCUUAGUAGAUUACAGAAAGAUUUAGUAAUGACAAACAUGUAGCAGCCAAUACACAUUACCAUCCCCAACAGCUGUAAUAUGGCCAUGGGCAGUCUUAAUUGUUAGAAGGUGCAAAAUUAAUUAGUAAAAUGUUCAGCGGUAUCCUUGAAUUUUAGCAUAGAAUUAGAUAUAUCCCCUAGUUUUCAAAAUUUGUUUUUGAUUCCCCUAUUGUUUAAUAUAUAUAUAUAUAUAUAUAUAUAUAUAUAUAUAUAUAUAUAUAUAUAUUUAUUUAUUUAUUUAUUUAUUUAUUUCACUUGGAUAUAUAACUUUGUAAUGUUGCGCCAUAUAAAAUGUAUGCUUAAAAUGCAUGCUUAUUACUUUUUAUAUGUUGUUAAGAGAAAUUGAGAAUAGAAAUAUGUAAAAUGGAGUUUCAUUUAUUAAUUAUUUAUAUCCAUUAAAUAGCACCCAACGUGCAGUUCGUCUCAAUAGUAAAAUUAAUUAAACAAAGCAGAAAGAUUUGUUUUAGCAUCAGUAAAAAAAAAAAAAAAAAAGCACAAAGCGAGAAUCACAAACUUAUUUUAUGAUAUUACAUUCACGCAGAUGUCACCAAUGUUUCCCGAUGACGUUUGAAAGCGAUCACCAUCUCAUGCUAAUUUGGAAGAUUUUCUUCAAUUACAGGGACUUUCCUGAAAUUUUCAAACCACUUAUGCAAGCUUGGGAAUUUGUGAGAUUCAAAUAGUUUCAUUGUUAUAGUGCAAUUUAUGCACUAGUUUUGCAUUGUUUACUUCCCUUAAUAUCGAUGUUUUGCACUUAAUAAUAGUGAUUUACUUGUGUUUUACUUUUGUAGGUGCAAUUCUAUUGAUUUGUGAUAAAAUUGAGCUAUAAGAUGAUGUUUAAAGAUGAUUGUUCUCUUGGAGAAAUUUAGGGCGUCAGAAGAACUUUGUUGACAAGGCGUGGGCGCGUGCUGUCAACUGCGGACCUGCAAUUUUUAGUUUAACGUGUUUUGUAUUUUUGGUUAUUUUUGUAAUUAUGAAUUUAAUAUUUCAGAUAUUAGUAUUUUAUUUUAAAUAGAACUCUAAAAGAGAAAAGAGAGAGAGUAUUUAAGGGAGGAAUCUAUUGUGAAAACGAAGAGAUUGGGGGAAAAAGAAAGAAACCCUAGAUCUAAACUUUUCUCUUCUCUCUAUGAAGAACUAAACUUAUUUUUCUGGUUGAAGGUUAAUAAAGCUUUGAUUCAUCACUACUGCGAGAUCUUUCUUAUGCUUUAAUUGUUUUAUUACUUUUUGGGUAUUUUUUUUAUUUUCUGAAUUAUUAUUAUGAUUAUGUUUGUUAAUUAGAUAAUUGGCCACUAUUUAAAUAUCAACUUAAUCUAUUGUCAAUUAAAUGAUUCAUCGUAUGAAGAUUUUAAUGUUUGUGACAAAUAACAUAGCAGAGAGUUGUGUUGUGAGAAUAAACAAUCUAAUUUAAAUGAACCAUCGUAUGUGUUUGUUGAUUAGGAUUUGGGUCUCUCUGGUUUUUCAGGCUGUCAAUUGAUUAAAUCCUAUGAUCGUAUCUAGGGUUGUCUAUUGAUUAGGGAAAUAACCAACGGUCGUACCUUGGUUAUCGACUAGUUAAGGAGAGAUUGGCUAUUAGAGGGUCUCAGUAGCUAUAACCGGUCUAUUCAUAAGAAAUAAUAAUUUAUAUUUGAAUCAAUGAUCAGUAGUCGAAUCAAGCUGAGUUAAUUCCUUUAACCAGAGCUUUCUCCAAUUUGAAUUACAACUUUAAUUUGCAUUCUUGUUAUUUUAAUUUGAUUUUUAUUAUUGUCAACAAAACCCCCAUUUUAUGUUUUACGUUUCAAAAGGAUUUAAAUAAUUACCGAUCUCUGUGGACAUGACCCUACUCAAUCACUGUACACAAUUUAUUUAGAGUAAGUAUUUAUUUUUGUUGGCUUCGACAACCAUAAAAUUUUGGCGCCGUUGCCGGGGAUUGGUGUCAUUUAUUUAAUCUUUUUUACGUUUUACUUGGUGUAUGGUUCGUUCUUCUCGUACAGGUACACUUUCGUUUGAUCCUGAAAUUGAGAAGACAGCUCGCCAGCUAAGACAGCAGACGAAGCUAGCUAAGUAACGAUCCUCGUCGCCUUUGAUUUCUGAAACAGAUACGGUGCCUGAUUUGGUUGAAUCAUCUAGCGAUUCAGAAGAACAAGUGAUGGAUAGAUUUGCACCUGUAGAAAGAACUCUUAGAGAGUUAGUUGAACCAGACUUGAAUCAGCAACCACUUUGCAUUCAAUAUGUAGACUUGGAGGUAAAUUUUGAAUUAAAGUCUGGUCUCAUUCAUUUAUUACCCAAGUUUUAUGGUUUUGCAAGUGAAGAUCCUCAUAAACAUUUCAAGGAGUUUCAUGUUGUAUGUUCAAGUAUGAGACAACAAGGCGUGACUGAAGAGCAGAUUAAGCUGCGUGCUUUUCCUUUCUCUUUAGAUGACUAGCUAAAGACUGGUUGUACUACUUGCCUCCUGGAUCGAUUACAACGUGGAAUGGUUUGAACAAGCAGUUCCUCGAGAAGUACUUUCCUGCUUCAAGAGCUGCCAACAUCAGAAAAGAUAUUUGUGGGAUCAGACAACUUCCUGGGGAGACUUUGUAUGAGUAUUGGGAGCAAUUCAAACAAUUGUGUGCCAGCUGUCCUCAGCAUCAGAUUUCUGAUCAACUUCUUAUUCAGUAUGUUUACGAAAGACUAUCAUUAAUGGAGAGGAGUAUGAUAGAUGCUGCUAGUGGAGGCGUGUUGGUGAACAAGACCCAUACUCAAGCAAGGGAGUUGAUCUCAAAUAUGGCUGCCAAUGCACAACAAUUUGGCAGUAGGCAAGAUCCCACUUCAAGGAAGGUGAAUGAGGUAAAUAUUUUUUCUGUUAAACAACGUUUAGAUAAACUUACUUCUUUUGUGGAAAAGUUUGUUGUAGGUAAUGUGCAAUAGGUAAAGACUUGUGGCAUCUGUUACAAUAUGGGUCAUUCAACUGAUAUGUGUCCUACGCUUCAAGAAGAACCCGUUGAACAAACCAAUGCAGUUGGAGGAUUUCCAGGCAUGCCUCAGAGGAGGUAUGAUCCUUAUGCACAAACAUACAAUCCGAGGCGGAAGGAUCAUCCCAACUUUAGCUAUGGAGUUAGGCCGUCAGGAUUCCCACAACAGUAUCCACCAAGAUAACUAGCACAUCCACAGUCAAACUCCAAGUCAGGUAUAUCUCUUGAAGAAAUUGUUAAAUCACUUGCGACUAACGCUCAACAAUUUCAACAGGCAACUACAACAAGCAUUCAGAAUUUGGAGAGCCAAGUGAGUCAAUUGGCAACUACGAUGAGCCGUCUAGAGUCUCAAGUAUUAGGGAGAUUGCCUUUACAAUCUGAGGUGAAUCCCAAGCAAAACGCUAGUGCCGUCAUCCUUAGAAGUGGGAAGGAGUUGUAAGAGCUUAGUAAGAAAGUGACAGAGCAUGUAGAACCUGAGCUUGAAAAGAAUGAAUUGAUGCUUAAAUCUCAAGAUACGCAACCCACCAGAGCGAAACCCCUACCUAUUGUGAUACCUCCUCAUUUUCCAAGCCGGUUUGCAAAAUCUAAGAAGGAGGAACAAGAGAAAGACAUCCUUGAGACAUUUCGCAAGGUUGAGGUAAAUAUUCCCUUAUUAGAUGCUAUAAAACAAAUACCUUGAUAUGCUAAAUUCCUUAAGGAACUGUGCACCUCUAAGAGAAAAUUAAGAGGAGAUGAAAGAGUUCACAUGGGGGAGAAUGUUUCAGCAGUUCUCCUAAGUGCAAGGAUCCAGGUAUGUUUACUAUCCCUAGCAAAAUUGGUAGUGUUAGAGUUGAGAAGGCUAUGUUAGAUCUAGGAGCUUCUAUUAAUGUCAUGCCUUGUUCUAUCUGUUCGUCUUUGAAUGUUGGUGCAUUAAAAGAAACUGGCGUGAUAAUUCAAUUAGCUGAUAGGUCUAAUGCAUAUCCUGAUGGGGUAUUAAAAGAUGUCUUAGUACAAGUUAAUGAGUUAGUUUUUCCUGCUGAUUUUUAUGUACUUGAUAUGGAAGAGGAUAACUCCUCUAAUUCUGUCCCAAUUUUGCUAGGAAGACAUUUUCUUAAGACUGCUAGAACUAAAAUGGAUGUACAUAAAGGGACUCUUAUUAUGGAGUUUGAUGAAGAGGUUAUAGAGUUCAAUAUGUAUGAUGCCAUGAAAUAUCCCAGUGAGGAACAUUCGGUAUUUUCUAUGGAUGUUAUUAACCCUAUAGUGCAGGAAGCUUUUUAUUUGGAUGUUAAAGAUUCAUUGGUAGCUGCUUUAAAUAACAGUUUGGACCUCAAAGGAUUGCAAAAGGAUGAAAAUGAGUUUGUUUUAAAUUUUGUAUUGCAAGAGAUAAUUUAUGAAUUAAAUUCUUUGAGAACUUUAACUCAUCAUAUGUCUAAUAUUGAAUUACCUUCAUCUCAUGCAAAACUUCUUCCAUCUAUUUUGCAGGCACCGAAAAUAGAGCUUAAACCAUUGCCGAGUCAUCUAAAGUACACGUUUCUAGGAGAUGAUGAGACACUUCCGGUGAUCAUCUCUUCAAAGCUUAGUACUUUAGAGGAAGAGAAACUUAUUAGAGUGCUGAAGGAUUACAAAAAGGCUAUUGGGUGGACAAUUGCAAAUAUUAAAGGGAUAAGUCCGUCCACGUGCAUGCAUAGAAUACUGCUGGAGGAAGAUGCCAAACCUUCAAUUCAAGCUCAACGUCAUUUGAAUCAACUCAUGAUGGAAGUAGUGAAGAAAUAAAUUCUAAAACUUCUUGAGGCAGGUAUAAUCUAUCCAAUUUCGGAUAGCAAAUGGGUAAGUCCGGUACAAGUGGUACCGAAGAAAGCUGGUAUAACAAUUGUUGAGAAUUCUUAAUGUGAGUUAGUACCUACCCGAGUUUAGAAUGGGUGGAGGGUUUGUAUUGAUUUUAGAAAGCUUAAUUCACUCACUAGGAAGGAUAAUUUUCCUAUUCCUUUUAUUGAUCAGAUGCUUGAAAGGUUGGCAGGAAAAUCUCACUUUUGUUGUCUUGAUGGCUAUUCAGGUUUUCAUCAGAUACCAGUUGCGCCUGAGGAUCAGGAGAAGACUACCUUCACAUGUCCUUUUGGAACCUUUGCGUACCGACGUAUGCCAUUUGGUCUUUGUAACGCUCUCGCCACUUUUCAAAGGUGCAUGGUCAGUAUUUUUUCAGACUAUGUAGAAAACACUAUAGAGGUAUUUAUGGACGAUUUUACGGUCUAUGCUGAUUCUUUCGAUGAUUGUCUCUAUAAUCUGAAGAAAGUACUUGAAAGAUGCAUUGAAACAAACCUUGUCUUAAAUUAUGAAAAAUGUCAUUUUAUGGUAGAUCAAGGCAUUAUUUUGGGUCAUGUAGUCUCUGCUAGAGGCAUUGCGGUAGAUAAAGCUAAGAUAGAUGUUAUUAAAUCUUUACCUUAUCCCACAUGUGUGCGGGAAGUUCGUUCUUUCCUUGGUCACGCAGGUUUCUAUAGAUGAUUUAUCAAUGAUUUUUUGAAGAUAGCUUAGCCUUUAUGCAAGCUUCUUCAGAAAGAUGUGACGUUUGAUUUUAAUGAAGCAUGCAAAGUAGCAUUUGAUAAGCUCAAAGAGUUAUUGACUUCAACUCCAAUUAUACAGCCACCCGACUGGAGCCUCCCUUUUGAGAUAAUGUGCGACGCCAGUAAUUAUGCUGUUGGUGCUGUUCUCGGACAAAGGGUUGGAAGAGCUGCUCACGUGAUAUAUUACGCAUCAAGAACACUUGAUAGUGCUCAGUGUAAUUACUCAACAACGAAAAAAGAACUUUUAGCUAUUGUUUUUGCUUUAAAAAAAUUCCGUUCAUAUUUGUUGGGUACUAAAGUGAUUGUUUUUUCUGACCAUGCAGCUCUCAGAUAUUUACUCGCCAAGAAGGAAGCGAAACCGAGACUUAUCCGCUGGAUCCUACUACUUCAAGAGUUCAACUUGGAGAUCCGUAACAAGAAAGGAACAGAAAACUUAGUUGCAGACCACCUUAGUAGAUUUACCACGUGUGAAGAAGCAACACCUUUGAAGGAUGAUUUUCCAGAUGAGCAUCUCUUUGUAACUAAAGGUAUGGUUCCUUGGUAUGCUGACAUUGUCAAUUACUUAGUUACAAGAACACUACCUAGUGAUCUGACGAGGUCUCAAAAAGAUAAAAUUAAGAACGAUGCUAAAUACUAUGUUUGGGAUGACCUUUACUUAUGGAAACAUUGCUCUGACCAAGUCAUCAAAAGGUGCGUGUCUGAGUUUGAAAUUCCUUCUAUUCUUCAGUUUUGUCACUCAUAUGCAUGUGGUGGUCAUUUUGGUCCCAAAAGGACAGCAUCCAAGGUGUUAGAAUGUGGUUUAUUUUGGCCUACUUUAUUUCGUGAUUCAUACAUGUUUUGUAAGUCGUGUGAGAAUUGUCAAAAGACUGGUAAUUUAAGUCAUAGAAAUCAAAUGCCACUUACCCCUAUUCUUGUGUGAAAUAUUCGAUGUGUGGGACAUUGAUUUUAUGGGACAUUUUCCCUCAUCUGUUGGCAAUGCUUACAUUCUUUUAGCAGUGGAUUACGUUUCUAAGUGGGUAGAGGCUAAGGCCACCCAGACUGACAAUGCUAAAGUUGUUGUAGAUUUUGUCAAGUCUAAUAUUUUAGCCAAGUUUAGUGUACCAAGAGCGGUGAUAAGUGAUAGAGGCACUCAUUUUUGUAAUUGAGUGGUGAGGUUUUGUUCAAAAGAUAUCAUGUUACUCACCGAGUGUCUACCGCCUAUCAUCCACAGACAAGUGGACAAGCUGAGAUAUCAAACAGAGAAAUCAAGUUUAUUCUUGAAAAGACAGUUAGUCUAAAUCGAAAGGAUUGGAGUUUGCGAUUAGAUGAUGCAUUAUGGGCGUAUCGCACCGCAAUUAUUGUAACAAUGCUGAAGAGGAAAGCAUCAACUUCCAAGUCAUCUAAAAAGACACCCGUCGCAAAAAAAUCCAAGAUUGCCGCUCCCACUACGGUUCCAUGGAACACAGUUUCAGAUUUACGCCAAGCCGUAAGACAAAGAUCGAAACAUGGAAAAGGCAUGAGUGUUUUGCCACUUGCGGAAUCCAAUCUCGGAGGGUGCCUCGCAUUCGCGACUCAACAAGAGAAAAAGAGGUACAAAGAUAUUUCCAUGCGCAAAAUACUUCCAGCUAAGUAUAUUCAUUACCUGACUCUUGAAAAAUUGAAUGUUAAGGAUAAUUUUGAUUCUUUGAUAGAUAAGAUUGGGUUGCGUAAGUUUGUUGAUGUUGAUUGUUUGGGUUAUGUUGAGUUGAUUAGGGAGUUUUAUGCGACUUUUCAAUUUAAUAUACCGAAUGAUUUUACUUUGCAUAUCCUGGAUGUCAUAAAGUUUAGGUUAAUAGGACGAAAUUUUUCACACUCUAUCACGGAUUUUAACCUAGAUUUAGGAUUCAUUGAUGAUGAUUAUUCUUUUAGUGAUGCAUAUUUAGGAACAACUUGUGACUUUAGCGAAAAUUUUGAGCCUUAUGGUCUUUAGUGUAAUUUAUUUGUUGAUCACAAUGCCUAUGACCCGAGUAAAUCAAAGAGUUCUUUCUUACGUGAUCCUGUUUUGAAAUGUGUGCAUCGAUUCUUAGCAUAUAAUUUUUUAGGAAAGAAAGAUCACUUAGUAGUUUUCUCUAAAACUGAAUUUUAUUUUAUCUGGUGCAUGUUAAAUGAUGUGAGGCCUAAUUUAGGUUUUUGGUUAGCGGAUCAAUUUCAAAGUGUGCUUAAACGGUAUAGGACUUUAUUUCUUGGUCCAUACAUUACUCUGUUAGCUAUAAACCUAUGUGUGCUUGAUCCUGACAAUAAUGAUUUGCAUCCUGCUUGCAAAAAGGAAUUUUUGGAUAUGUCUGUGUUUGAAAAAACAGGUGUGGUCGAAUUCAAGGAGGGGAGAUUUCAGUUUACUGAACCAGGACCCACUCAACCUCCAAAGAAGCUUUAUGCUAGGAGUGGUGCUACCUCUGAUGACGAGUUUGACGACGACACUGCUGCCCCGCCAACUAUUCAUUCUACAUCCGCACCACCUUUGAGCAUUCAGUUAGAGAAAAUGGAGCACAAGCUAAACAAGAUGGAGCAGAAUUUGGCCGCAUACUUCAAGAGUGUGGGAUUUAUCUCACCAUUUCCGCCAAGCCCAUAGAUGUUAUGUGGAUCAAAGUUCACAAUUCAGGGAAGUUUUUUUUUGCCUUUAAUCUUUUAUCUUUACGCUUUAAUUUUUAUGUGAGCUUUGAUUAUCUUACAUUAGGGACAAUGUAAGUUCUUGGUGUGGGGGAGGGAUUUUUGCAUUAUUGAUGUCUGGAAAUAUUAUUUUCACUCUACUCAUCCUUAAAUGAGUUUGGAGUUAGUAUGUUUCAUAUAAUAUUAUUUUUCUUUUGUUUUCUUUCUCACUACUCUUUUUCCAUCUAUCUCAAAUUAUUUACAUCUAUUUUUUUUAUUCUAUCAUACUCUUUCAUACUAACAUUUUAUCUUCCACUUUUUAUAUUACUACAUACAUCUUUCUCACUUCUUAUCAUUUUUACCUUUCCUUUUAUAUAUCACUCCUACCUUCUUCUCAUUCUAAACCACUAUUGAUGGUUGAUUCAUUUGAAAAGUGUACAUGAUUUGAUGGCAAAUUUACCAACUUUGUGAGGAUUUUAGCCUAUGAGCAACCACUUUGCUCUAAUAUUUUUGUUAUGUGAAUAUCAAUCUUAGUUUGUUUAUUCUAGAACUUGCUUUGUUAUGCAUGUUGAAGCCGUAUUACGGGAUUUUAUGCAUUAAAAUGAUAACGGCAAACCAUUUACAUUUUUCUAUUCUCGCAUUUUCUUUUUUUUUUCUCUACCCGAAGACCUUUAUUUACUAUCUUUGUUUGAACCUUAACCAUUACCCAUCUAAUUCUCUCCGUCUACUUAACCAUGUUUCUUCUUUUUUGAGCUUCAAUUUAAGGAGAUUUUGGGACUCAUUGUGUGGAUAUAUUUUGUUGCUUUUUCUACCUUGUAUUAAAGUUUCUCAAUUAGAUCAACAAGCAUUAUACUUGAAUUAAAUUGUGCAAGGUUCGUUUCUUUUGUUUGAAAAAAAAAACAAAAAAGAAAAAGAAAAAGAAAAGAAAAAAAGAAAAGGAAAAAGAAAAAAAGAGAAAAAGAAAAAUCGAAAAAAAGAAAAAAAAAAUGUUUACAUUCUUGGUGACUUGAGUAGAAAUAAGCAUUUUGAUAUCAUAAGUUCAUUCAAUGAGUUCAUUCUUCUCAUUUUGAUCUCUUUUUCUUUCGUAGACCUUUCUUUUUCAUUUAACCUAUUUAACCCCAUUACAACCUUUUUAAGACUCUUAGAUUUUUGCAUUUUAUUCAUGUUUUGUGGAUUGUGAUGUGAUAUAUGAGCAAGCUUAUGGUAAUAGCAUUCUUUGAUUUGAUUUGAAUGCAUAAAUGAUACCCUAAACACUUUGAGUGCAUGUAACUAUGGCCAAUGGGCCGUGCCGGCUGUCGGCCCACAAUGGCUCGUGGGCCGGCACGGCACGACCCACCAAUUUGGUGGGCUGUGCCCACCUUUUUUCCAGUUGAGCCCAGCACGGCCCACGGCACGAACCCGCUCGUGUCGUGUCGUGGGCCGUGCCCAAAAAAAGCCCACCAACUUUUUUUUUUAGUGUGCUUAAAAAAGUCCAUGUGCCUAGCGUGCUUUAUUCAAGCCCACGUGCCUGACGUACUUUUUUAUGCCCACCAACAUAAUAAUAAUAAUAUAAUAUUCACAAUCAUAAUCAUAUUAAUUUUUAUUAAGAGAGCAAUUAACAUUUUAUUAUUAGUUUAUCACAAUUUCACAACUAUAUAUUUUAUUUCACAAUAAUCAAUCAUAAUUCAUAACACAACAAUACAUAAAUUUAAUUAAAUUUAAUUCCAUAGAUCAUAAUAAUAAUUAAUUAAAAUUAAAAAUACAAUCCUCGAAUAAUCAUUACAAUAAGUCAUAACUACGAAAUAUUAAUAUAACAAAUCAUAGGUCACAACUUAAAAGUUACAACUAUAAAACACGAACUACGAUCAAUUGACGAAUAACAAGCACGAAAAAAACAUUUAUUAAUCACAACUAUGGAUACGGGAAACGAGCAAGGUUAAUUCUAUCUCAGCUGGUGGCGAGCUAAACAAUUUGACACGUGCCGACGUAAACCCAAGGUGCCGUGGCUGUUUGAAUAAAUAACUUCUCGAUGACAAUAGUUGCACCUCAAGAUCAUCCGCUUGUAAGGACGACGCAAACUAUUAUCUAUUAUUUCCUCCCUUACUGUAGUAAAAUUUUGAAAAAGCUCAUUUAGAAAACGACUUCUGGGCUGAUUUAGCCUAGCGUUUUGUUGAGGUCCAACUACAUUAACACCGUAUUCUUGAGGGUGUUGAGGUUCUUCUGCAUUCAUAUUAUGUUGCUGCGGAUUCAUAAUGAUUUUGGCUUUUAGAAUAUUGGAAAGUUUGAGGAAAAAGAAGAAGAAUAAGAAUUGUGAAGCAUCAUAGCAUAAUGGCGUGUAUAUAUAAUAUUAGAUAGUAAUAAAAAGACAAAAAUUAAUUUUAUUUACUUUGUCGGUGGGAGUAAAAAGAGUAAGUAAAAAAAUAUUUAGUGAAAUAUAAAUAUAGCCGUGAGGCAAGUGCUUGGUUGGCAUGUGGGAAACAAAUCUUAAAUUAUUUAAAAAUCUGCAAUUUGCACGUCUGCAUGUGCACUAUAUGACAAGCUGACAACUACCGUGUUGAAAAUUUGAGUUGAGAAUUUAAAUUCAAAGAAAUAAAGUACUCUACAUAAUGAAUGCAAGCUCCUCCCGUACUACUAGUUUGUUAUUAUAAUAUUAUCUCAUCAACACACUUGUGAUAAGAUUUAUUAACAUUGUGAUAGUUGCGUGAUUCUCUUGUAACAAUGAACCAUAAUUUUUUUUAAUUUAAUAUGUUGUUUUGAAAAAAAAUUAAUUACAAAAAUUAUUUUUAAAAAUAAAUAACAACGGUGCACUUAGAAAAUAAUUUUUUCUAAUUAUUAAAUAAUAAAAAAAUUCUAAAUUAAUUUUAUUACUCACCCAACGGAUAAAAAAAAAUUUGAAUUAAUUCAAUUAAAAAAAUUCUGAAUUAAUUGAAUUACUCACCCAACGGACAAAUUUUUUUUUGAAUUAACAGUAAAAUUGAUAUGACUACUCAAUUUUACAGUAUAAGCAGUCGGACUCUGAUUAUCAAUUAAUGUUUUCUGAUUUUUAAUGACAAAAAAAAUUUAAAUCAAUUUCAUAUUUUCAUUACUCACCCAACGGACAAAAAAAAAUUGAAUUAAUUGAAUAAAAAAAAUUCUGCAUUAAUUGAAUUAAUAAUAAAGUUGAUAUGCCUUUCCAAAAAAAAAAAACAAUAAAGUUGAUAGACUUGACUAGUCAAUUUCACUUUCACAGCAUGGGCAUUCAUGACUCAACAAUUAGACUUAACUAGCUUACAGAAUUUAUAAGCUAUAGACUGCAGCAUCAGCCGUUGGAUGUGGAGUGAGAAACUAAACAAUAGACAAUCGAAUGGUGGGAAUGGGAUGACGGGAGACGUUUGUUACAGUCUUGCAGAAUCGGUACCAUAGAGUCAUAGACAGAUCCCUCAACAAUUAAUUUUUAAUAAUAAAAAAUUCUAAAUUAAACCAAUUGCUCACCUUACAAUUCCAAGUUUCCAACGGACAAAAUGAAUGAUAAAAUGUAACUGUUUAAUUUGCUGCAGCCUUGCAGAGUUGCAGGAAGCUUUGCAGUUGUAGACUUGUAGGUUCGCAGCUUGUUUGUUCGUUUUUGACCGUUAAAAUGUUUACUUUUUUAUUUGCCCGUUUCUAACCGUUAAUAUGUUUACUUUUUUAUUCUAUUUAAACGAUUAAAUUAUUUUCGAAUUCAUCUCACAUUCUCACUUCUCAAUUUCUAAUUCUUUAUCUCCUCGUUAUCUCUCUUAUCUCAUCAGUCAUCUCUAGUCUCUGCUUGCCCAAUCUUCUUUACUACAAUUCCAACGCCUUUAUUUACCAAAACACUAAUUAUAUAAAAUGUCUCACUCUCAUUUCGAGUUAGAUGAGAAUUUUAAUUUUGUUGAAGAGCGAGAGGAAGUUGCAAAUGAAGAAAUUGCUGCACCAGAAUUUGAUCCAAGUAAUAUAUUUAUUGUCCCACCUAAACGAUUGCCACCUACUUCUCAAGCAAGUCAAAGUGGUUCUACUUCUUCAACUGCCUGUCCUACUACUACCUCCAAACGACAAAGAACAUCGAUUGUUUGGUCAUGUUUUACUUUGGAAAAACAUCAAAUCAAAAAAGGUGAAAUGGUGGAUCAAGCAGUGUGCAAAUAUUGUCAAUCUGCUUUAAGUGACAAAAGCAAUGGUGGAACUAGACAUCUUAGACGACAUAUGGAAACUCGUCAGACAAAACACGCGCCACAAGACCCAACACAAACCCAACUCUCACAAUAUGGUUCUGGAUCUUCCGGUAUAACAUCAUUCAGAUAUUCACAACAGAACAUGCGAGAAGGAUUGGCUCGGUAUAUUGCUGUAGCAGAACAACCUUUAACAUUUUCAGAAGAUGAACGUCUAAUAAAUUUUUUGCAAAGGUAUGUUCAACCUCAACUUAAGAAAGUGCCUAGAAAUACAUUAAAACGUGAUUUAACUAAAAUUUUUCAUGACAUGAAAAAACUUUUAAUUAAUACUUUUAUCAAUUUUAAUGGUGUUAUUUCAAUUUCUUCUGAUUGUUGGACUGGUAUUAAUAUGGUUGGUUAUUUUUGUGUGACUUCGCACUCUAUACAUGAGAUUAAUGGUAAAUGGAGGUUGGAAAAAAAAUUGCUUGCAUUUCGUGAAUUAGAAUAUCCUCACACUGGUUCAGUAAUUUAUGCAGCUAUAAUGUCUGUUUUAAGAGAAUAUGAAAUUACUGAUAAAUUGUUUAGCAUAUCAUUUGAUAAUGCAUCUGCCAAUACAGUGGCAAUUGAUAUGUUUUUGCGGAAUAUUUCUACUCUCAUGCCUGCACGUGGUUCAAAAUUUUUUCAUUUGAGAUGUGUGUGUCAUAUUAUUAAUUUAAUUGUUCAAGCUGGUAUGACUCAUAUAAAUCAUUAUUUAGAAAAAAUUAGAGCAUCCAUUUUAUAUAUUAGAGCACCUUCAAGACGUCAACAAUUUUUGGAGACAUUGAAAAUUUUUGGAUUGAAAAGGAGAAAAUUCAACCUUGACAUGAAAGUUCGUUGGAAUUCUACGUAUUUAAUGUUGCUUUCUUGUCAAAACUAUUCUGAAGCAAUUUCUAGUUUUUACAAUGCGAGAAUGAAUGAUGAAGAUUAUCAUAUCACUGAUUAUGAUUGGAAUGUUGCAUUUAAAUUUAUGAAUUUUUUAAAGGUAUUUUAUGAUGCUACUCUUGCAUGUUCUACUGUUUAUGAGCCUACUUCAUGUAGAGUGUUAAUGCACUUGUACAAUAUAAGUUAUACUUUUAAGACUUUUAGAGAGAAUAUUAUGUUUAAAAAUAUUUGUGAUACCAUGGAGGAAAAAUUUCAAAAAUAUUGGAAAGAUAUUCCCCACCUAUUUAUUUUUGCAGUAGUGUUGGAUCCUACAAUCAAGGAAGUUGGUGCAAAACUUUUAGUUGAGGGUAUUAGUGAAAAUUUACAAACCGGACUUGAUACAAAUUUUGAUACAAUUAUGCCCUCUAUGCAUGAACUUUUUAAUUUUUAUCGAAAUAAAUUCGAAUUAAGCAAUACAUAUUCUAAUGUUCAACAAGCAUCGACUUCUUAUAAAAAUCCAGCUCACCUUUUGUUACUCAAAGGUAAGGGUGUUGCCUCUCGUAUUGAUACUAAUCGUAAUGAAUUACAAAGAUAUUGUUAUGCCAAUCUUGAAGAUUUAGCAACUCCUUCACAAUUGCAAAAUUUUGAUAUUUUAGAUUUUUGGAUGGGUAAGAUAUAUUUUUUCCCUAUAUUAUCCAUUAUGGCCCGUGAUCUACUAACCCCUCCAGCUUCAACUGUAGCAUCAGAAUCAGCUUUUAGUACAUGUGCCAGAAUUCUAGAUGAACAUCGGUCAAGAUUGUCAUCAGAGACAUUAGACUCUUUGUUGUGUUUGAAAGAUUGGGAAGAUGCUGAACGCCGAGUGCAACAAGAUUGGCAAAAUGCUUUAAUUAAACAAAUUGAGAGUUUGAAUGUUGAUCAAGAUGAAGUGGAUCCAGAUUAUGCAGAGUACUGAACAUUGAAGCCACUUCCAAAUACUAGAAAUUUUUUUUUCUUGUAACUUUUUGAUACAAUUUUUAUUAGUGAGAAGGUUGUAAAUUUGCAAAUGAUAGAUGGUUCAGUAGGUGCCAACCUAGUUGGGAUGUACUGUUAACUGUAGUGAUGCAAAUUACACCUAAUUUUAUUUGAAUUACUAAUAUUAUAAUUGUACUUUAACUUCAUUUAAUGAAAAUGUAAUUUUUAAUUUAUCAUAAUUUUUCUUGUGUAUAAAAUGGAAAAUAUUUCAUUCACAAAUGAAACGUAUCUCUAUUAAAUAUUAACUAAGUUAUGAUUUAAUAUUAAUAUGAAAAAUAUUUCAUAUAAAAAAUAUUUUAUUAUUAAUUUUGUAAAAAAAUUUAUUUUUUAUUUAUAAUUUAUAAAUUUAUUAUAUUUAUAAUCUUAUUUAUUAAAAUCAUGAUAUUUAGUUAUUUACUUAUUCAUUUAAUAAAUUAUAAACAUAAAUAAAUAAUUAAAUAAAUAUCAUAAAUAACAUUAUUCAUUUAAUAAAUAUCAUAAAUAAAAUUAUGAUAUUUAUAAUUUUAUUUAUUAAAAUCAUGAUAUUUGCUUAUUCAUUUAAUAAAUUAUAAACAUAAAAGAUUAGAAUAUUUAUUUAAACUAAGAUUUAAUAAUUUAAAAUAAUUUUUAAAAGUCUAUGCUAAAAAAUAUAUUAAAACAUUUAAUUUCAAGAUAUUGUACUUUAAUUUCAUAACAUUUUAUAUUUACUUUUUGUUAAAAAAAAUUACUUAGAUAUAUUUUGGCCCACGUGCUAUUAAUGGCUCACGGGCCGCGUGCUAGCCCACUAAUGAACCGUGCUUAUUACGUGCUUUUUCGCGUGCCGUGCUUUGGCCCAUCACUAAUCGUGCCGUGCUUUAAGGCCCGUGUGCCUAAAAUUCUAGGCCCGACACGGCCCACGUGCAUGCCAUGCCGUGCCUCUGCCUCACCGAAACGUGCUCGUGCCGUGCCGUGCCGUACGGACACGUGCCGUGCCACGUGCCGCCCGGCCCAUUGGCCAUCUUUAAGUGCAUGGAGUGAAGUCAAUGAGAGGGCUAUUAAAUCUUGUUGCACUUGAAUUUUGAAUGGAUCUUCUUGGUGGUUGAAGGUUUUUAUUCUAGCUUAUGAGAUUCUAUGCUUUAAAAUCCUUGCCUCUCAAAUGUUGAUUAACUUAAAUUCUUGAGGCAUGCUUGCUUAAAAUUGUUUUUGGAUGAGUUGAGAUGAGAAUUGAGUGGAGAUUUGGGAUUAGUCUUGAGUUAUAUGCUUGAGGACAAGCAUCAUCUUGGUGUGGGGGAAUUUGUUAGAGUGCAAUUUAUACACUAGUUUUGCAUUGUUUACUUCCCUUAAUAUCAAUGUUUUGCACUUAAUAAUAGUGAUUUACUUGUGUUUUACUUUUGUAGGUGCAAUUCUAUUGAUUUGUGAUAAAAAUGAGCUAUAAGAUGAUGUUUAAAGAUGAUUGUUCUCUUGGAGAAAUUUAGAGCGUCAGAAGAACUUUGUUGAUAAGGCGUGGGCGCGUGCUGUCAACUGCGGACUUGCAGUUUUUAGUUUAACGUGUUUUGUAUUUUUGGUUAUUUUUGUAAUUACGAAUUUAAUAUUUUAGAUAUUAGUAUUUUAUUUUAAAUAGAACUCUAAAAGAGAAUAGAGAGAGAGUAUUUAAGGGAGGAAUCUAUUGUGAAAACGGAGAGAUUGGGGGAAAAAGAAAGAAACCCUAGAUCUAAACUUUUCUCUUCUCUCUAUGAAGAGCUAAACUUAUUUUUCUGGUUGAAGGUUAAUAAAGCUUUGAUUCAUCAAUACUGCGAGAUCUUUCUUAUGCUUUCAUUGUUUUAUUACUUUUUGGGUAUUUGUUUAUUUUCUGAAUUAUAAUCAUGAUUAUGUUUGUUAAUUAGAUAAUUGGCCACUAUUUAAAUAUCAACUUAAUCUAUUGUCAAUUAAAUGAUUCAUCGUAUGAAGAUUUUAAUGUUUGUGACAAAUAACAUAGCAGAGAGUUGUGUUGUGAGAAUAAACAAUCUAAUUUAAAUGAACCAUCGUAUGUGUUUGUUGAUUAGGAUUUGGGUCUCUCUGGUUUUUCAGGCUGUCAAUUGAUUAAAUCCUAUGAUCGUAUCUAGGGUUGUCUAUUGAUUAGGGAAAUAACCAAUGGUCGUACCUUGGUUAUCGACUAGUUAAUGAGAGAUUGACUAUUAGAGGGUCUCAGUAGCUAUAACCUGUCUAUUAAUAAGUAAUAAUAAUUUAUAUUUGAAUCAAUGAUCAGUAGUCGAAUCAAGUUGAGUUAAUUCCUUUAACCAGAGCUUUCUCCAAUUUAAAUUACAACUUUAAUUUGCAUUCUUGUUAUUUUAAUUUGAUUUUUAUUAUUUUCAACAAAACCCCCAUUUUAUGUUUUACGUUUCAAAAGGAUUUAAAUAAUUACCGAUCUCUGUAGACACAACUAUGCUCAAUCACUAUACAAUUUAUUUAGAGUAAAUAUUUAUUUUUGUUGGCUUCGACAACCAUCAUUCACUCCCAUUACAUCUUCAAGGACCUGCAGCCAAUAAGCAAUGGCUCCAAAUGCUAGGUCCGCUAAGCCAAUAUCGUCUCCAUUGAAAAAUUUCUUCUCUCCUGGGCCAUGUUUUUCAACGGUUUGAAGCAUUUUCAAGGCUGCCUUCAUUGCAUUCUCCAGGUCUUGUCCAGUGCUGAAAAACAUUUUCCAAACAGCUACUCCCUGCCACAAGAUUUUAUAUCUAAUUCUUAUCACCACAUGAUUAACAAUAUAAACGAGGUAAAAAGAAAUUAGAUAAUAGGUACACACGCAUCAAAGUAUCUUUCAAAGCCUAGACGUUUCAAACUGUCAAAGUAUCUAGAAGAGUUUACCCACUAAUUUUUAGACUAAUUUAUUAUAAUUUUUAGAGCUUAUUCAAGUAGAAUUUUUGUUAGUAAAAUUUAAUUGUUAAUGAAAAUUUUCAUUAAUUUUUUUAAAUAACUUUAAUAGACAAGUUUAUAAAGUAAAGUUAUGAAAUAAAUAAAUAAAAUAAUAUUAUAAAAUAAAUGAUGAACAUUUUAAACUAUUUAACUUUUUAAAAAAUCCUCAAACUUCUAUUUCCAAAAAAUUAAAUUUAAAUUUUUACUAGUAUAGGUAAAAGAAUUUAUUUAACCCCAAAAGUUCUAAAAAUAAAACUAAACAAUAAUAAAAAUUUGAAAUGAGAUUUUUUGAUUAAAUAAACACUUAUUAGUAAUAAAUAAGUCAUAUCAAACAAAUACUUAAUGAUAUAAAAGGAAAAAUAUUAAAAAAAAAUCCUCUUAUUGUUUUAGUAAAUUAUAAUUUUGCUUUCAUGUUUCGAAAGUCCUCAAAAUUCCCCCUAUCGCUAAAACAAUUAUAUUUUAAUAUUUUACCCUUGAUGCAGUAAAAUCCACGAUUAAUUAAGAAAAAUUUCUAAAGGUAAAAAAUUUAAAGUAAUUAACCGAAUUUUUUUGAUAAUUUUCUCUAAUGUAAAAUAAAAGGUUCAUUGAGCUUAGUCGGCCGUGAAUGCAUUUUGCACAUGCGAGGACAUUAGUUUGAGCAUUAAUAGUAGAUAAAAAUUAAUGUUUAGGGAGUCAUGUUUCUCAUAUACAAUGAAAAAUUAAAGUAUAUAAAGAAACCCGACAAGAUUAAUUAAAUUUAUAAACGUGUUAGCAAGAAAAGUUGUGAUGCGAACCUUGUCUUCGGCAAAUUUAAUCCAAAAACGAGCUUGAGCUCUAUCAUAAGGAUCACUUGGCAUCAACGAGGGAUUGUGUGGCCACAUCUCUUCAAUGUAUUCGAGAAUAACCAUGGACUCGAAAACUGGUUUUUCGCCAUGAACGAGCACUGGUAUCAUCUUGUGAACUGGGUUAUACUUCAAAAGCGAAGCACUUUUGUUGUAGAGAUCUUCUUCAAUGUAUUCAUACGGGAUGCCUUUCAAUUUCAGAGCCCAUACUACCUUGUUGCUAAAUGGACUCGCCCAUCCCCUGUGGAGCUUCACUUCAGCCAUGUGUCUGAGAUCGAAUUUGAAUAUGUGUGUGGUUGUUUUGCUUAGCUGAUGAGUUAUUGCAUACGUACAUCUGAAUUUAUAAUGAUUAAUAUUGGAAUAUCGAGUGCGCUUGCUUGAGCAGGGAGCUUCAUAUCUCCAAUUUAUUUAAUAAAACGAUUCAAUCAAGUUGAAUUCAAUGAACUAAUGCUGCGACAUUUUAACAAUUCUGUUAUAUAUUCAACGAGAAGAGGUAUCGUAUUUGACGGGAAUCUCUUGAAACAGUGCUGAAUUAACAAGUAAUCUUAUUUAAUUUGGUCAACUGGUCAGAUAUGGAUUAAUUAUAUAUUUGGCGUUUGUUUUAGGUGCCCAGCUAGCCCUGCUGCUGUGUUUUUUAUAUUAUGAUAUUCUCCUGAGAACUUUGGAGGACUCAUUUACUUUACAAUUUUAGCAUUUUAGGCCCAAUAACUUCAUAUAUAUGACGUUUUGUCCCCCGGCUCCUCCUCUUCUAUAUAAAUCCGAACACCUGAAAAAUGACCAGACCGGAACAACUCUCCGUCUUAAGUCUAUGCAAAUUUUACACACAAGAGAAAGAGAGGGAGAGGGGCGGCCAUGAGAGAUAAUGAUACAGAAAAGAAUAUGGAAGAGAGUUUAUUAAUACCAAAAGAAAGUUUAUCAUCAACAUCCACAACAUGGGAUUUGUUGAGUGGAGAAGUGAAAAAGCAGGGUUACAUAGCAGCACCAAUGGUGGCUGUCACUUUAUCACAGUAUUUGCUUCAAGUUUUUUCCAUGAUGAUGGUUGGUCAUCUUGGUCAACUUGCUCUUUCUAGCACCGCCAUGGCCAUCUCUCUAGCUAGCGUCACCGGCUUCAGCGUCCUUGUAAGUUCUAUAAUCCAUAUAUAGUUAUUUACAAUAUCAAGAUCGUGACACAAGCUUGUUUGUUCUUUCUUUUGAUAGGUAUUUGCAUCAUUGCAUGUGGGAUUUAAACAAACAGAUAUGCCAAAUUUCGGAUGUUAAAAAACGUGCAAUUAACUAAUACCCUGUUUGUAAAAAUGCCAUUAAUUUUUAAAGGACUUGAUUUACUCUUUUUUUAAAAAAAAAAAAAUUCUACAGCUAACUUGAAUUGUGUAAUAUUGUCUUUGAAACAGUUAGGAAUGGCAAGUGCUCUGGAAACAUUAUGUGGGCAAGCAUAUGGAGCUCAGCAAUAUCAAAGAAUUGGAACUCAAAUUUACACUGCAAUAUUUUGUUUAUUCUUAGUAUGUUUUCCGCUUUCCUUUCUAUGGAUUUACAUGGGAAGGCUGCUAGUUUUGGUAGGCCAAGACCCCCAGAUUUCACAUGAAGUAGGCAAGUUUAUAAUCUGGCUUCUUCCAGCUCUGUUUGCUUAUGCAGCAAUGCAGGCGCUUAUUCGAUAUUUUCAGUCUCAAAGUUUGAUCAUUCCCAUGUUCUUAAGCUCCUAUGCCGCUCUUUUUUUGCAUAUUCCCAUCUGUUGGGGUUUGGUAUUCAAGUCUGGACUAGGAAACCUUGGAGGAGCAUUGGCAAUUGGUAUAUCGUAUUGGUUGAAUGUAACUUUCUUGGCAAUUUACAUGAAGUUCUCCACUGCUUGUGCAGAAUCCAGGGCUCCAAUUUCAAUGGAGUUGUUCCGAGGAAUUGGAGAGUUCUUCCACUUUGCUAUCCCUUCUGCAGUAAUGGUUUGGUAUGUUAGUUAUCUUCUGGAGCUUCAUUUUCCCUUCUCAUAGACAUCGUUGACACGUCAUAAAUUUUCAUGCUUCUUUUGUUUAUAAUUUUGCAGCCUAGAAUGGUGGUCAUUUGAAUUGCUCAUUUUAAUGUCAGGGCUGCUGCCUAAUCCACAGCUUGAAACUUCAGUCCUAUCUGUAUGGUAUGUUGACAUAGACUUUGUAUGUGAAAGUUCUAUACAGAGAAGCACCUACCAAAGGAAAUAGAUUUUUUUUCUUUUUUUCUCUUUUUUCCCGACUGCUCAUUAUUUGUCAACUUCUCUGGGCAGUCUCAGUACUAUUCAAACCCUCUCUGCAAUCCCAUAUGGACUUGGUGCUGCAGCGAGGUUUGUUCAUAACAAUCACUUAAAUAAUAAUUGUUUUAUAUCAACUAAUUAGCAGAUUAACCAUUAUUUCCUUCUAUAGUACUAGAGUUUCAAAUGAACUAGGAGCUGGGAAUGUGCAAAGAGCCCGUGUAGCUGUCUAUGCUGUGGUCUUUAUGGCAGUCAUGGAGACUAUCAUAGUAAGUGCAUCUCUCUUUGCCAGCCGGCGUGUUUUUGGUUAUGUUUUCAGCAAUGAGGGACAAGUUGUGGAUUAUGUCACAACCAUGGCUCCUCUGGUUUGUUUGUCUGUCAUCAUGGAUAGCUUACAAGGAGUCUUUUCAGGUUAAAUUAACUUCUUCAACUCUGUCAAUUGCUAAAUAGUUCUCUUUAAGUGGAAAUAAAAUUUUUCAGGUUUCUAAAUUCUUUUUAUUAUUUUUAAGGUGUUGCAAGAGGAUGUGGGUGGCAGAAUAUAGCUGCUUUUGUGAAUCUUGGGGCUUAUUAUUUGUGUGGAGUCCCAACUGCUGCCAUUUUGGGUUUCUGGUUAAAGUUUAGAGGAAGGGGCCUAUGGAUUGGGAUACAAGCUGGUGCUUUUACACAAACACUUCUGCUUGGCAUCAUAACAACAUUUACAGAUUGGGAAAAACAGGUCUGUUUCUCAACAUUUAAUCCCUUAAAAAUUAGAGAAGCUUAUUGGACUAUAUAUGUAAAUAUGUAGCAAUUUUUUUUUUUCCCAAUACGUAUCUGAUACCUUUUGACUGAAAGUUCAAGAUUAAAAUCACUCAGCUUGAUCUGAAAUGGUUAGUAUUAUCAUCUUCUGCAGAAAUGGUUUUGCUCAUUGAGAAAAUGAUAUUCAAUAACACAAAUGCAAACUCAUUUGAAAAUUUUGCCAUUGAGAAAAUGAUAUUCAAUAACAGACAUGCAAACUCAUUUGAAAAUUUGCUUUUUUGCAAGAAUUAUAACCAUUUUCUAGUUUGUUAAUUGUUACAUCUUCUGUGUUUCUAAGGGGUUUCUCAUGUUGCAGGCAAGUAAAGCAAGGAAAAGAUUAUCAAAGGGAAGAUCUUUAGAAGAAAAUAGAAUAGUUUGUGAGUGAGCAGAGUCAAUCAAUGAGCUGAUAUAUACAUUUUCCAGUUGAAAGAGAUAAUCAUUGCUUGAGAAAAUGAGCUGAUCAUAUGUCAAUUGUGUUGAAAAGUCAGAAGCAAAUGCCAACUUUGCAACUGUUAGCAUGAAGGCUUUGGAGAAGCGAAAUCCAAUUUGGUUUUUGUUAGCCGAAAAGAAAGAAUGGAAAAAGGGGAUGUAUUGAAAAUAAUAAUAAUUAUUUAUUAUAUUUUCAAUUAUUUUAUUCUUUGCAUAGUGCCAACAUUUUUCCUAUAAAUAGCUUAGGAUUUCAUUCAUUUGAAAUCAUCCUAAAAUUGUUAAGCUUAUAAGUUUCUAAGCUUUUGAGAGAAGUGAGAGAAGUGUGUCUGGGGAAUUUAUCUUUCCUGCAGAGUGUGAGAGUACUGGGUAUAUUUGGGUUUCUGGGAAGUGAGAUUCGUUACUCAAAUAUUGUAUUCUAUUAAUUGUUAAAUAAACAAUUAUUCUUUCUUGCCUCCGUGGAUGUAGGUUUAAUUACCGAACCACGUAAAUUCUUGUGUCCUUUAUUUUUCGGUAAUUUUUGGUGCGCUUGAUUCCGCAUUCCGCGCACAACAAGUGGUAUCAGAGCCGACGGUUCGUACUUGGGGGGAUACGGUAUUGUUCACGUAUAUGGUACUAUUCCCGUAUACGGUACUGUUCACAUACGGUACUGUUCACGAAUACGGUGGAGACAACCAUUUGUACUUGGGAGACAGUCUAUUGUAAGUAGUGUGUAUUUUUGCAUGUCUAGGAAAGUUCUGUCAACAAAGGCGAUAAGAGUCUAAGGAUUCUGGUUUUUAAUUGGGACCGAGUUCCCGUCCAGUUUCCUGGGAACUUUCCUGGUGCAUUUAUUCACGCGAAAUUAACAUCAUAGAGGCUGUUUUUCCAGUGGAAAUAGUUCGUUGAAAAAAUGGUAGAAGGUGAAACUUCCAGAAUUGGGGAGAGAUCUACCGAGACUAUUUCAGGAGACACUUCAGGUGGGAGGCGAGAUUUGUCAAAUCGCUAUUCAGCACCUAUUAUAGGAGGCCAGAAGAUCGAUGUUGAAAAGUUUGAUGGGAAAAUCAACUUCGGCAUGUGGAGGCGCGAAGUUAUGGAUGCCCUUAUUCAAAUCGAUCUCGAUGUUGUCCUGAAAAAUAAAAGACACUUGUAUGAUGAAGAAAUUUGGGAUCGUAUGAACGAGAAAGCCUGUGGUCAGAUCAGAUCUUGUUUGACCAAGGAGGUGAAAUACUUGGUGAAAGAUGAGGAGUGUGCAGUGACUUUGUGGCGUACAUUGGAAGAGAAGUACCUGGUGAAAAGUCCUGAAAAUCGUCUUCAUGCAAUGAGCCAAGUAUAUGGCUUUCGAAUGAAGUCUGGGGUGUCAAUGCACGAUCAUGUUUCAAGAUUUGAAAAGUUACUUGCUGAUUUGAAGAAUCUUGAUGAAGAUAUUAAAGAUGAAGUCAAGGCUAUGAUUAUGUUACACUCACUACCAGAGGAAUAUAGCCAUUUUGUGACUACUUUGAUAUAUGGGAAUUGUGUGAUCGUCUUUAAAGAUGUUUGCACAGCAUUGACUAGUUUGGAGAUUCGGAAUAAUGAUAAAAAUUCUGAACGAGCAUCGUCUGAAGCUUUGGUGAGCAGAGAUUGGGCGAUGGAGAAACAGAAGAAGCGUGGUGGAAAGAAUUCUUGAUCCAAAUCGAGAAGCAGAAAUAUAGCUCGAGAUGAGUGUGCCUUUUGUCAUGAAAAGGGCCAUUGGAGAAAAGAUUGUCCAAAGGCUCAAAAGAGAGAUGGGAAGAAACCAGCAGCAGCAAACAUGGCACGGAAAGAUGAGAACUCUGAUUAUUCACUAAGUAUUACUCCUGCAGCAUAUGUGGCUAGUUCGAGUGAGUGGAUACUUGAUACAGGAGCAACCUAUCAUUUGUGUCCUAUUAAGGAAUGGUUUACGAAUUUUCGUAAUCUGGAAUCCGGUGCAGUUAUGAUGGGGAAUAAUCAACCUUGUCGCACAAUGGGGAUAGGAACAAUUCGGCUCAAAAUGUUUGAUGGAAUGGUCAGAGAACUCAAAGAGGUUAGAUUUGUUCCAGAGAUAAAGAAAAAUCUAAUUUCUGUGGGUGCUUUGGAAGCUAAAGGUUACAAAGUUACCAUUGAAGAUGGCACAAUGAAGUUUACACAUGGGGCUAUGGUGAUUCUGCAAGGGGUUCGGCGUCACAAUCUGUACUAUUUGAAGGGAGGUACAACUGAUGAAGCAAAUGUUGUUGAGGCGCACAGUGACACCACCAAGCUAUGGCAUGUACGACUGGGACAUGCAGGAGAGAAGUCUUUGCAAACUCUGAUGAGGCAUGGACUCUUAAAAUGUACCAAAACUUGUAAAUUAAAUUUCUGUGAGCAUUGUGUAGUAGGCAAGAAAACAAGGGUCAAGUUUGGUACAGCUAAUCACGAUACUCGUGAGAUCCUUGAAUAUGUUCAUAGUGAUGUAUGGGGACCAACCAAGACUGCAUCAAUUGGUGGAAGCCAUUAUUUUGUUAUAUUUGUUGAUGAUUUCUCUAGACGUGUAUGGGUGUACACCAUGCGAGCAAAGGAUGCGGUUAUAGAGAUUUUCGUGAAGUGGAAGAAAUUGGUGGAGACUCAAACUGGCAGAAAGAUCAAAGUAUUACGAUCUGAUAAUGGGGGUGAAUAUACUUCUGAUCCAUUCUUGCAAGUAUGCCAGAACGAGGGUAUUAAAAGACAUUUCACGGUGAGACAUACUCCGCAACAGAACGGUGUGGCUGAGCGUAUGAAUCGUACUUUACUGGAGAAGGUACGAUGUAUGUUAUCUAAUGCUGGUUUAGAUAAAAAGUUUUGGGCUGAAACUAUGAGCUACGCAAGUCACUUGGUAAAUCGGUUGCCUUCUGCUGCAAUUGGAGGUAAAACUCCUAUGGAAAUGUGGUCUGGAAAGCAUGCACAAGACUAUGAUUCCCUUCGUGUAUUCGGGUGUCCAGCUUAUUAUCAUGUCAAAGAUGGUAAACUGGAUCCUCGUGCUAGAAAAUCUAUCUUUGUGGGAUUCAAAGGUGGAGUAAAGGGCUUCAAGCUUUGGGAUCUCGAAGACAAAAAGUUUGUGUGUAGCAGAGAUGUCACAUUUGAUGAAGCUUCAAUGAUAAAAGCUUCAAGUUCUCAGCAGGUGGAGAACAAGACCACAGAGGUAUUGCAGCGGGUGGAGUUUGAUGCAACUCCAUAUGUACCAGUUAGUUCUACAUCAAAGAAUGGUUCAACUAUGGAGGUGACACCUAAAGUUGAAGAAGAGGUUGUUUCUUCUGAUGUCCCACAAAAUGAAGAAACAAUUGAUGAUGUAGAUGAUGAUGAUUUUAUAGCAACAAGGAGGCCAAGAAGAGAGAUAAAGAAACCCGGAUGGCUUACUAAAGAUAUGGUGGUAGCCUAUGCACUUCCAGUUAUUGAUGAUGACAUUCCCAAUACUUUCGGUGAAGCAUUACGCAGCAAUGAAAGUGAUCAGUGGAAGCUAGCCAUGGAGGAAGAGAUGAAAUCUCUCCAUCAAAACCAGACUUGGGAUCUUGUAAAGUUACCAAAGGGGAAAAGGGCUAUUGGCAAUAAAUGGGUCUACACCAAAAAGCAAGGAUCUCCGAAUCAAACAACUCCUCGAUACAAGGCAAGGCUCGUGGCAAAAGGUUUUGCUCAAAAGGAAGGCAUUGACUACAAUGAAGUUUUCUCUCCAGUUGUAAAACAUACUUCCAUUCGUAUCCUACUUGCCUUAGUUGCAGAAUAUGAGUUAGAGUUGGCUCAGUUGGAUGUUAAGACGGCGUUCUUACAUGGAGAUUUGGAGGAGGAAAUCUAUAUGAUUCAGCCUUGUGGUUUCAGAGUUGCUGAAAAGGAGAAUCAUGUGUGUAGGUUGAUUAAAUCUUUGUACGGACUGAAGCAAUCGCCAAGGCAGUGGUACAAAAGAUUUGAUCAAUUUAUACAAGGGCAGAAAUUCACCAGAAGUGAACACGAUCAUUGUGUUUACUUUAGAAGACUAUCAGAUGGAGCUUUCAUCUAUUUGUUACUCUAUGUCGACGAUAUGCUUAUAGCUUCGAAGAAUAGAGAUGAGAUCGAAAGAUUAAAGAAGCAGCUGACUUCUGAGUUCGAGAUGAAAGACUUGGGUGAUGCACAAAGAAUACUUGGGAUGGAGAUUCAUAGAGACAAGAAGAAUGGGAGCGUAUGGUUGACUCAAAAGUCUUAUUUGAAGAAAGUGCUAGAAAGAUUCGGUAUGGAUGACAAAACUAAACCGGUAUGUACACCUCUAGCUCCUCAUUUCAAAUUAAGCUCUUCUUCAUGUCCUAGAUCUCAAUAGGAGCGCGAUUACAUGGCUCGUGUUCCAUAUGCUAGUGCUGUGGGUAGUCUUAUGUAUGUUAUGGUAUGCACAAGGCCCGAUAUAUCUCAAGCAGUGAGCAUGGUUAGUAGAUACAUGCACAAUCCGGGUAAAAAUCAAUGGCUUGCGGUAAAGUGGAUUCUCCGAUAUCUGUAUGGGACAGUUGAUGUUGGGUUAUUGUUCAAGAAGGAUUGUGGUCAACAAUGUGUUGGGUAUUGUGAUUCUGAUUUCGCUGGAGACCUUGACAAGCGAAGAUCAACAACGGGCUACGUAUUCACAUUGGGUGGAGGUCCAGUUAGCUGGAGGUCGAUUCUACAAUCGACAAUUGCUUUGUCCACUACGGAAGCAGAGUAUAUGGCAGCAACUAAAGCUGUAAAAGAAGCUAUCUGGUUUAAAGGCUUGUUAGGUGAUUUGGGAGUAAUCCAGGAGAACAUUGCGGUCUUUUGUGAUAAUCAAAGUGCGAUAUUCCUUGCGAAGAAUCAAACAUAUCACGCUCGGACGAAGCACAUAGAUGUGAAAUAUCAUUAUGUGAGGGAGAUUAUCGAAGGUGGUGAUGUGUUAUUGAAGAAGAUUGAUACCAAAGAUAAUCCAUCAGAUAUGUUGACGAAGGUAGUUUCUGGAGUUAAGUUUCAACAUUGCUUGAAACUAAUUCAAAUCCUUCGAUUGUGUUAAGAUAUGUCCUUCGGGAAUUAUGAACUACGGUUGGCUUGAUCCCAAAUUUUGGGUACGUAGGCAGUCGGAUAGAUGCAGUCAAUGUGGAUCCUUUUGAGGAUCAUGUGAGGGGUGAAGUUUGGCGGAUCAUUGUCAAUCGGCUCAGAUUUGGAUAAAUUUUCGCCGAGGUGGAGAAUUGUUGAAAAGUCAGAAGCAAAUGCCAACUUUGCAACUGUUAGCAUGAAGGCUUUGGAGAAGCAAAAUCCAAUUUGGUUUUUGUUAGCCGAAAAGAAAGAAUGGAAAAAGGGGAUGUAUUGAAAAUAAUAAUAAUUAUUUAUUAUAUUUUCAAUUAUUUUAUUCUUUGCAUAGUGCCAACAUUUUUCCUAUAAAUAGCUUAGGAUUUCAUUCAUUUGAAAUCAUCCCAAAAUUGUUAAGCUUAUAAGUUUCUAAGCUUUUGAGAGAAGUGAGAGAAGUGUGUCUGGGGAAUUUAUCUUUCCUGCAGAGUGUGAGAAUACUGGGUAUAUUUGGGUUUCUGGAAAGUGAGAUUCGUUACUCAAAUAUUGUAUUCUAUUAAUUGUUAAAUAAACAAUUAUUCUUUCUUGCCUCCGUGGAUGUAGGUUUAAUUACCGAACCACGUAAAUUCUUGUGUCCUUUAUUUUUCAGUAAUACAACAAGCGCACCAAAAAAUUGAUGGCCAAGAAGGUUCCCCAAUCUGAUCUACGGAGCAUGGCAUUUCAUAAAACUCUGUUUCUAGAGAAAAAAAAAAAAAUUAACAGCUUCUUAGGAUUGGAGCAUCAGGUGACUUAGCAUUUCCAGUAUGAAUGAAUUAUAAGAUAGAUGAUGCUGCAAAAAUGAAUAGAGAUAAAAUUAAGCAAGAGAAAAUGUUUGAAUGUUAUUAUUGAAACCUUUUCCAGUGAUUGUAGAGAUAAUUUUCUUUGUAUUGAAACUUUCAGCAUCUGAAAGAUAAGGAAAAUAUUAAAAGAAAAAAGAAAAUUCUUAAAUCUUUUCCAUGUCACUCCAGCAAAGUUGAAUUGUGAUUCUAAACCCUACACCAAAGUGUAAGGUGGCCUGUGGCCUAUAGGUAAUACACAAUUUGACAACCCCAUAUAUUUAGUAAUCUAGGUGGAUGCCAUUAAUUUUUUUUUUUAAAUUUUUGUUCAUUUUUAAUGCAAACAACGCCUCUUUCAUUGAGGCAUUGGAAUAUAUAAAGAUUUGUAUACUGAUUUUGGACCAUAAUUCACAAAUAAUGCGACGCAUAUCUUUCUUUCAGUACUUCUUCAGGAGGAUAAGAUACAGACAUUGUUGUCUUUUUACCUGAAGCAAGUGCAUGUGCAUGAAUUGUUGUUGUCUGUUAAUCUGCUGCCACUUUGCUGCCAAAAAACUUGAAAAAUAAACCAGGAAAAUUUUCAAUAAGCAAAGCCAAACAACUAACCCCUGUUUUAAGUUAUUUUCCUAAGAAAACUUUUAAACACUCAAAUAAAGCACAUAAGUAAAGUAUUUCUGUCACAUUAGCUUUCGAGUGAGGUUUGAUUUACAUUUAUAUCAUAUAUACCAAGUGUUUUUUAUUCUUUUAAUUAAUGUAUAUCACAGCUUGGAAAUUCUAAAAAUUAAUCAUGCUUAAUCUUGAGCAACAAUAUCUGUAAUCAUCAUACGAGGUCAAAAGUGAGGAAAAAAAAGGAAAAGAAAAAGGAAAGAGUUAGUUUUAUGUAUAAAAGUGAAAGGAUCUGUUAUAGACUAUUUCUGUUGCAUGGUUUUCGGAGGCAUAGCAUUGUCCACAGCAUUUGGGCUUUGCUUCUGAUUCAAUGGCAUUUAGAAUUUGGUUUCAUCUGAGAUCAUAUAUAGCUUGAUCCUGAUAUCUUCCAUUUUGGAGGCAUUCAGUUAAAUUGAAGAAGUUUGAUGUUCCAGUUCAAAUUGGGAUUGCUGAAGAUAAUAUAUAUAAUUCUGUAGAGGUUUUCUAAUUUUUAUUUUUAGUAAUGUAUUCAUGUCCUGUCAUUCUUCUUUCUGCUUAAAUCCAAUUGCCCAUGUUGGAAUUUCUUUUCAGCUUUUGUAUUCUUUUUCCUUUUUGUUCAAUAAUGCUAUAGACGAUGCUCUACCAUUUAAAAGAUAUAAAUAACAAAUUUUAUAAAUUUUUACUUCGUCAAGGUGUGAAACCUUAUAAAAUUUAUAAAUUUAACUUAUGAACAGAGAAGCAUAAAAAAAAUGUUUGGAGUUGCUUAAUACCAUAGAAACAAAAGCAGAAAGAGAUGUUCAAGAACAAAACCCAAAAAUUUUCAUCAAGUGGAGCAUCGAUCAUGCCAGCAUAAUAACAUAAUUACAUAAUGCUCGAAGAGCACGCAUGACUUUCUCAAAAAAUAAUAUCACUUAAAUGAUCAAAAAACAGAAAUAAUUAAUUGAUUAUCCAUAUAUAUAAACAAGCCUAGCUCUCAAUGUGAAAUAUAUUAAAUCAGCAACUAUAAGAUUUUCGGUGAUGAUAUUUCCACCCCAUAAAUUUUAUAAACCCACCCAUUUUUUUUAAAAAAAAUUAUUAUAAUAAGUUCACAUCAUUUUUUUAAAAUUUAAAUUAAGAAGAAAUUAAAAAAUUAAUCAAUUAAAUCUAUAUUCAUUUCUUUUUUUUUAAUUAUGUUUCUUUAUUAAAUUUCAUCAAUAAGGUUGCUUUAACAUAAAUUAAUAUGACUAUUUUACCCUUAUAAGGUAAAAGUACCAAAAUAUCUAAAAAUUCACUUUAACUUUAAUAAAAUUUUAUGCAAUUUUUUUUAAUAUUUUAAUGAUAUAUAAGUAAUUGUUAGUACAAUUAUUGUUUCUCCACUAAACUAACAAAAUAUAAUUAGGACAUGUGGUGGAAUGAAAAUAAUUAAAUUUUAUAUAAAAACCUAAGCAAUUAGUUACGAUAAAUAUAUAUAUAUAUAUAUAUAUAUAUAUAGUAAUUUGGUUAUUUUAUAUUAUAAGGGUAAAAUAGUCAAAUUAAAUUUAUCUUGAGGCAACCUUCAAAAGUUAAAGAUUGUUAAAAGCUUAAGUCCAAAAAAUAAAAAUAAAAAUAAAAUUAUAAAAUUGAUUUAAUUAAUUAAUUAUUCAAAGCUUUUAUUAAUUUGUAAUUUUAUAAAAUAAUGUAAAUUUAUUGUAAUUAUUUUAUGGAGGUGGAGGGGGUUUAUAAAAAUAGUGGGGUGGAAAUAUUCACACCCUUCAAUUAAUAGUUAGGAUAAUUUUUAGAUACUUCCCCUAAAGUUUGGCUUUGCUUCACUUUUAGAUCAUUUUUAGAGAGAAUGUAUCAAUCUAUUGAUAAGAGUGAUGAUACAACCAUAAAUUUUUAUACAAAUUUAUCUUGUAUAAAUUUAUUUGUCAUUAAUUCAUUGGUUGAAUAAAAAUGUAAAAUAAUAAAAAUAUAUCACGUGGGUCAAGAGAUAUUUAAUUCAAGUAAUUUUAUCAUAUCACAUUAAUUUAUACAAAAAUUUAUAACUAUAUUAUUAUUUAAUUGAUAAUAUACCCCUUGUCCGUGUAUAUAAGGGUUAGGCACUGAUUAAGUAGUUGCAGUAUUUUUUUUUAAAAAAUCUUACAAAAGCUAUUAUACUGUAACUAAUCAGCUAGUGAAACCCGAGGGGAUAGUAACCCAUUUUCAUUGUCAAUGCCUAGCUUCAUUUUUUUUUUUUUUUCUCACUUGAUGAGUGCUUACCUUCAUUUCGAAGGUCGUGACACCAACUGAUUUUAGCAAAAGCAGAGAUACUUUGUGAUGCAGUAAGCUAACAAGUUUCUGAAAUCAACUAUGUUUUGAACCAAAUUUCGGCGACGACCAGCAGCUGAAAAGCCGGUGAUUAAAGGGCACACUAGGUGCGUAAUUCUAUCAAAUCUUAAAACUGAAGUUAGGUUUUAUUAUUUUCUUGCAUUUUGUUGAAAAUUGCUGUUAGUUAGGUGCUUUAUUCUUUGUUCCCAUUAAUUGAGAAAAAUGUUUAGGGUUUAUAGAAAUUGAAGUAGUGACCGAAUAUAUCUGAAUUGAUUUUUGAGUUGAUAGUCAUUCGAAAUGUUGUGUAAACCAUGCAAAUGAUUUAUUUUUUGAUGAUUUUGGACUGUGGGUUUUGAAUGCUCACUGAAAUUUGCUUGAUAUGUUCUUUAAAUUGAGAAAAAUCCAAGCUUCUUCUAAGAAUACAGAGGUGUUGCUGAGAAAAUGCUUAUGGUGUUGUUUUGUUUCUUUUUUUAUUUUACAAGUGGGCAGUUCAUGUAAGAUUGAGACAGUUGCUCUUGUUGCUUUUUGAUGUUUUGUAUAGACUGAUUCCAAUCACUGAUUUCUGUUGGUAAAUGGAUGCUAUUUUUUUUUUUUCCUUUCUUCACAUAAAAAUUUGUACUUCCCAACAUAAAAUUCAGAUGCUUGCCUAUUGUUUUUUGAGGUUCUCAUUAAGGUGUAAGAGAUAAAUUAAUUAUAGAGCUUGUAGGCAGUUGGUUUAUUGAAGAACCAGUACAGUUGAGAAAGUGUCUUUUGGGACAUCCAUUUUAAUACAAAGAUUAACAGAUUUAAUUACAUAAACACAAGACUUCAUUUGUUUAUCAAAGUAGUACUUCUGAUGCUUUCGUAUAAUGAAUGCCAAAGAGAUGACAUUUGCAAAAAGGCCAUUUGAAUGUACCAAUUGCUAUCCUUGUAAACCUCUAUUGUGAUUCUGUUAUCAUUAUAUGUUGUUUAAUGAUCUGAUGAUUUUGAGAUAUCAAGAUGAGUUUAUGGUAGUACAUGUUCAUUUAGCUACUUUAGGUACUAAUACAUGCAUUUAUUGUAUAAUGCCUACUUAGCAGCCAUAACUACACUCAUUGUUGAAGCUACAGCAACACAAAUGAGAAAAAACAUGCUGAGGAACAACAUUGUCUUUAUAUAAUUGCAUUUUACUCCAUUUUGUUGUGCUUUUUGCAUCAGUGACUUCAAAUCCAUCAUAUCCUUUUGCAUACUCAUCAGCAGUUCAUAAUUUGCUUGACAUGUUCCUAAACCAGCAAAUAUAACGCCUCGAUCGAUAUCAUUUGAGGAUGGCAUCCAAAACUUGAAAUAGCCACAACCAUUUUUGCUAUCCAUACAGCAAUAACAUAGCUUGUUUGGGUUGUCAUCUGAUUCCGCUACCUUCAUAGCAGCUCUUUUGUAGCAUUUACAAAUCUUGUUUGAAAAUCGAAUGAAUUUAAAAUAUUAUCAUUUAUUUUUUUUUGUAGCAUUUACUAAUCUUAUGAUAUUCAGUAUUGUUUUUAUAUAAAUUAAUUUAAAAUAUUAUCAUUUAUUUAUCUUAUUAUGUGAUUUUACACUAUCAAAUUAUUUGUUUUAAGGGGCAUUUUGGUCUUUUCAACACUCAUUUGAGUUUUGUCUUAUUAUAAGAAUAUGUAAUGUCAACAGCAAUUAUCAUAAGGGUAUAAUGGCCUUUUCACUGCUCUACAAACCCCCCCCCCCCCCCCAACCCCGCAGCCAAAAACAAUUUCGCCCCAAAUAUAAAGAUCAUCUACCGUGUCCAAUAAUUUUGGCAUUCAUUGAAAUGUGUACUGAAGGGCAUUAUUGUAUAUUCACUCAACUACCUAACGGGUGCCUAACCUUCAUACAUGGCCAGGGGGUUUAUUGUCAAUAUAUGGAUACAUUCUCUCUAAGUGUGUCAAAGCCAAACCUCAGGAGAGGUUUCUAAAAGUUUUCCUGAAUAGUUAAUAAUUUUGUACAACAGAUUCCUGGAUACCCCUCAGGUUCACUGAUUCUACGUUAUGGCUGACUUUCAAGAAAUUAAAUUCUACAUUAUGACCCCCAGUGAAACAUUGUUGCCGAUAAAAUUAUAAAAUAUAUGUGUAAUACUAGUCAAACCUAAACCUACGUCGUUUAGCAAUUUACAAAAUGAGAAAGACGACAAAAACCGGAUGUUGGACCGGCAACGAGCCAACGAGAUAAGCUCAAGUUCACUGUGUUUUUUAUGAACCCUCUGAAGACCCAAAACUCUAGGUUUGUUUUUUACGUUCCCUAACUGUUUGACUACAUUUUUAUUCUUUGCUACGUUCGUUAUGAACUGUUCAGGCUAAGUGCUCGACGAAAUUCCUAAGUGAGUGUGUAUAAUGGUUUGCUCUUGUAUUUAUUCUGUUAUAGAAGGUUUUGCUUUGGGUGGUUAAAUAGAUGAGACUAGACAUUGAACUUUAUGCACUUGUAUGUUUUCAAGUAAUUGGUUGUUCAGGCACAUGUACUUUGAAUUGCUUCAUUCAUCUUCAGAGAUAUCAUAACUUUUGUUGUUAAUUUGUCUAAAGUGAAGGCUUUUUUAACUUUUAUUUCUUUGAUUUAUUUAUUUAUUGGUGUAUCGAGGUUCUGUGUCUAAACUUUUAUUUGAUAAGUUCUUUCGGACUACUAAUUAGAAGAAAAAAGUGCUAGAGAGUGAGUAUGAGAGGGAAUGAUGUUUGGGCAAGGGGUGAUUGGUUCACUUGGCUCAUGAAGAACCCCAACUAUAAUGGCAUGUAUCAAUUUCGCAGCCUAAUUGGCAGGUAAGCUCAUUUCUUGAUUUCCUUCAUUUUUCACUUCCAUUUUACUGUUUUCAGGUAGCAGGUAAUUUAAAUAAAAGUAAAAUCAGUAGUGAUUUGCUUCAAGUGCAUGUGGAUAGUAUAUCACAUGUGAGAAGAUUGUAUUUGUUAUAUGAAAAUCCUUAAUAACUUUAAUUAAAAAAUAUAUUCUCAAACCUGAUUGUGGAAUGUACUAUUUCUUAAUAUCUGAGUUUGGAUCAACACAUUUUUUGCCAUGCAAUUUGACAAGUUGUCAUGUCCUCAUUCUGCGCUAUUAUAAGUUUUGCCAAUCUGCAUAGGUAUUUUUAUAGAUUGAGUUAAUCUAGUUUCGAGAACAUGCCUUACUAAAGGGCGUUGAGUUUCUAAGUGAAGGCAAGUGCAACUAUAAUUAUCUAUUUCAUAUCCUCCUUGUUACCUCUAAAUUCUUUCAAUAACUUGGGGACGUUAAUCCUAUUAACGACAGCCACAUAUUAUAAGUCGAGAAAACUGAUUUUUUGAUUAUUGAAAAAUUAAAUUUUUUGUAUUAUUCUAUUGUGAUCUCAGUAACCUACCUGUUGCGGUUGUCUUGUAUGGAUCAUUGUUUCUCUUUUAAGCUGUUAUAUUGACAAUUUUUAGCUCUUAUUGCAGAUCUUAAAGUCAUUGCAAGCACAUGCUCCAUUGAUCUCCAUAAAUUCGGAUACAUAUGUAUAGUUAGCUAUUCAAACAACCACACUGGUAUUCAACUUCAAUAUUCAGAAACAUGGCUGAAGUGAAGCUUCAUGGGGCAUGGGCGAGUGCAUUUUGUUACAGAGUGAUAUGGGCUCUGAAAUUGAAAGGCAUAGCAUAUGAUUACAUUGAAGAAGAUCUCUCUAACAAAAGUGCUUUGCUUUUGAAGUAUAAUCCAGUUCACAAGAAGGUCCCAGUGCUUGUUCAUGACAAAAAAUCCGUUUGCGAGUCCAUUGUUAUCCUUGAAUACAUUGAAGAGAUGUGGCCACACAAUCCCUCCUUGAUGCCAAGUGAUCCUUAUGAUGGAGCUCUGGCUCAUUUCUGGAUUAAAUUUGCCGAAGACAGGGUUCGCUUCAGAACUCUAGCUAAUGCGUUUAUAAGUUCAUUAUUUUCAUGUUUAUUUGUUAUUAGAGAAAAUGAUCAGUCCUCCAUUGUAUGUCAAAAUUAAUCAUUUCUUCUUUUAUGUUUUAAAACCUAUCAAAAUCUCCAUUGUUGUUCAAAAAAUUCUGUUGACUUUCAACUUUUUGUGUCUUUUACUAAUUUACCUCUGGAAAAAUUUUUAUUAUUAAGAAGUUGAAAGUUUAUUAGAAUUUUUUUAAUGGCAGGGGAAAUUUUGAUGGCUUUUGAAAUAUGAGGGAGAAAGGAAUUGAUUUACCAAAACAGCAUUGGGGUUUUGUUGUUCAUUUCCCCUGUCAUUUGAUGUAGUGGUUAACCUUUGGUAUAAGGAUGCUUGACAAGGGUAUUUAGGUCCAAGUCUUUUAGCUCAUACGUAUUAUUAAUCAUGUGGUGAUAUUUUGGCAGGGAGCUACUGUUUGGAAAAAGUUUUGUAGCGUACAAGAUCAAGAGAGUACAAUGAAAGAAAUCUUGGAAAUGCUAAAAACCGUUGAAGAACAUGGCUUAGGAGAGAAGAAAUUUUUUCAUGGAGACAUUGGCUUAGUGGACAUAGCAUUUGCUUCUAUUGUUUAUUGGUUGCAAAUAAUUGAAGAUGUAGCAAGAGUGUAACUAUUUGAAUCUCACAAAUUCACUAGCUUACACGUUUAGUUUGAAAAUUUUAAACGAGUCCGAGAAAUUGAAGAGAACCUUCCUAAUCGGGAUGAACUGUUGGGUUUUUUCAAACGUAGCCGUGAAAAGUUGGUGGCCUCAUCCUCAUUGCAUUAGCACAAAAUUUGAUCAUGCAAUUGUAUUGUUGUCAAGAGGCCGCGCUUUGCUUAGUUUUCUAUUGUCUUUUGUGCUCAAUUGGGAGGCCGCCGGUUUGCUGGGUGCUUUCAUAUGGAUUUGAGUUAUAAAAGGGACUUGACUUUAUAUUUAUGAAUUAUUGCAUGUAUUUCGUUAAUUAUUAAUGGACUAAUAGCGGUUAUGUAUUGUUUGGAAGGAAGUUUGAAUGCUAAGAUGUACUAAUGACUUAAUGACGUGUGGCAAAAAAAUCAGUUAAGUAAAGUCAACUUGAUUGAACGAAUGAUAAUAUAGCUCUCAAAAGUUAGAAGAUAAGCUCCCUAUGGAAAAAGAUAGUUUUGGUAAUAUGUCUAACAUUAAGGGGUAUUAUCGAAACUUAAAUUUUAAUGGUUAGACCCAGUAUGUGAACAGUGUGCCAUUAUUUUUAGGGUUAUAUUUUGCUAAGAAUAACAAGCCAAUAGAACUUUAGAGACUUUUUUCUAGAUCUAAUUUCUUGAGAGACUUCUUCAUCUUCUUCAUCCUCUAUUUUUAGGGUUUCUUUCUCCAUUUUAACACCACCAUAGAAAAUCUUAACCAUCUUAUCCCCCAAAGAAACCUCUUCCCUUACUCUUAUCUUGGAAAACUCUCUAAUCUCUAUGAGACUCAUAUCUCUCCCAUGUCAUUAUUCCUCAGAAACAAUCUUUAAUAAGAUUUUGUCAAUAUUACAAUGCAAAUUAUGUAAUACUUCAUUUAUAUAGUGGAUUGGAUAUGAAUUACUCUUAUGGAUGUAGAUCAAAGGGCCAACCACCUAAAAUCUUGUGUGUUCUUUAUUGUUUAUGCUUAUUUUCUAUUUAUUAGGAUGAUGAUAAUGCUCAGAUCGUAUUUCAUAUAUGAGCUCACUAGAGGCAUACCACGAGCUCUAUUGAGUUCCCCAAAUAAGCUCUCUAGUUAAAGCUAUCCUUAAAUAUGCUAGAGCUACUCCCUAAACUCUCUUGAGCUCCGCAAAUCAACUAUUUAAACUAAAUCCCAUGAGCUACACAAAGCUUACCUCCCAACAGCAAAAUACCAAGCUUACCUCAAUUCAUCUUCCAGAUCACCUCAGUUAUUUCUUUUAUCCCUAACAGUAGAAAAACACACUUAGAUUUUUACUAGCUCAAUCUCACCUCAAAUAUAAAUUUAAUUAUUUAAAUUGUCUUUGACCUAGAUCUAGUGAGGACAAUGAUUCAAAUCAGAUCCUAGAGGAAAUCCGGUCAAAACAUGUAUCUAUGUAUAAUAUUGAACAUCAUCCUAACGAUCAAUCCGAAUGCACUUGGAUUUGUUCUUAAUAGUACACAAAAGUGGAAAAAGCAUAGCAAGCAACACUUGCACACACGAGGCUCAAUACAAGUACGAACGUCACAAUUCCAAGCAACAAACAAUGAUCAUCAGUACUAAUUUUUUCUGCAAGCCACCAAAUUGGAAAAUACCGCCAAGUAAUUAAUUAACCACUCUGACUUGCCAGCUUAAGCUUAUCCAAUGCUGAGAGUUCAUUAUUCUUCAAGGAUUGGUUAUUGUAAAUGUCUUUUAGAGUAAUUUCAGGAUAGAGCGGAGGAUUUACUUCUGAUAGCAACUCUUUAAUUGGACCAUAUCGUCUCGAGCAACUAUUAUUCAUGAAAAAACUUCCGAUUGAAAUUCUGGAGCCUUCCUUAUUUGAUAACACUCUAUGAUAGGCACUCUUGAACUUAUCGUUGGUAAUCAGCUGCAUGAACACAAACAUGUUGGUAAUCAGCUGCAUAAACACACACUUCAUAUAAACGACAAUUAAGUUAUCUGAUAGAGAUUCAUGCUCAGGUGUAGACGUUCACAUGAAAUUUCGUGAGGACGAUUCUUUCACAGUAUUGUGAAAGUGUGUGUCCGUACAAGAUUUAGUGCGAAUGUCGCACCAGAGAAUUUUCAAUUCGAUGGAUAGUAUUUCUUAAUAAGUUAUCUAACACACACUUGCCUGCAUCAUGUAGCCUAAGUUUACAACUAGAGCUCCCGGAACAGGGGCAAUGUCAAACCACUGAUCUUCGUGAAAGACUUGGAGGCCACCAAUUUGAUCUUGUAUGAGCACAGUGACAAAUCCAGGGUCAGAAUGUGUUGCUAUGCCGAUGGACAAUUCUGGUUGAGGGCAUUCAGGGUAGUAACUAUUCCCAAUAGUCAUUUCCUCUACACAACCUAUGUUUUCCACAUUAGGUUGUUGUAUGUGAUCAUUAUCUCUCUGCAAAUUAAUAAAGACAAAAAAUAAUCACUACUAAAAGAAAGGGAGAAUGACAUUUCGACUUUUAGAAAUUGUUUUUUUAUUGGGUUAACAUCUAGAUGAAAUGAGAGUAAUAAAAACUUAUUAGGAACCCAAGUGAUGCAAAAAGUUCUAAGAAAGAGGCAGGUGUUAUCCACUGUAAAAGAAAUACAAUCUAUUGGUCAUCGUCCACAUACCUGCAAGCUUCAGGCAAAUCUUCAGGAUUUGAAAAAUCGCGACCCAUAACACAACUCAAAGUAUCUUUCCAAAAGAGAGUUGGUGCACUAUACAAAUUUAAAUUUGAACAAUAUUUAAUUUUUUUGGAGUAAUCACGAGAAUAAUAUUUCUGCUUAACCUCAACAUCUUGUUCAAAAAACCUACGGAUCCCAUCAAUGGCUUGAUCCAAAAUGCUUGUUGGGAUUCCAUGAUUGAUCACUUGAAAGAAACCCCACGCCUCACAAGCACUUCUAAUUUGGUCAAUUACCUGAGAACGCAAGCUUGAAUCCUUGUUUAUUCUUUGAAGGUCUAUGAUUGGGAUGCUGAUUUUGGGGUCCCUGCAGAUUGGCUUAUCAUCAAACUUAUAUUUAGUGUGAUGAUCUUGAAUGAAGAUCUGUGGAAUGGUUGUGAUCCCAGCAUCUACGAGUCCCUUAACACCAGCUUUCGUGUCAUCAAAAGCUUUCAACUCGCUAACUCUGUCACAAGUAAUGCUUCCCAUUGCUUGGUGAAUUAUCUAUUACUCGGUGAAUUAUGAAGUACAAGUGCUGACUUGCUGAUGAUUGCUUUUGGGAGAUACCAUUUAUAUGAUUGCUAGCUUGCCACGUGCAACAUGUUGACAUAUAACGUCACCACGAUGAUAUGGAAAUUUGUAAAUUUGAUUCUGCAUUAUUUAUCAUGAUUAAAUUAAUUAUAAAUUAUCAAUAACAGUCAAUUCCGGGGAUCACCAACCAGUGGGUGGCACAGCACAAUAAUAGACUGGGCUGUGGCUUUGUUUUAUGUGGACAAAAUUUCAAUUAGCUACAGGAUAUUGCUGCUUGAUAGUUAACGUUUCACCUUCUCCAUUUGGACAUACUAUUAUGGAUUUACAGUGUUGCUUAAAAGCUAGAUCUUAAAUGAAAAGAAAGCUUUAAUGGUGAAAUAAAUAUUAAAAAAAAUGAUAAAGAGACUAAAUGUCAACAAAAAUAAUGGUAAAAUAAACCUGUUUUAUCAUGUUAAUAAUAGUGGUAUAUAUUUAACUUUAAUAAAUUUGGCCAUUUCGAUUUUUAAUUUGGCACCUUCCCUGCUCAGUCAAGAAAAAGAAUACUAUAAAAAUUAAAAUAGAAAAUUUGGUAAGGACAUAUCUGCAGAGAUGUUAUAUAUCAAAGCAAUGUCAAAGUUAUAAUACUUCCCUUAUUAAUGAGAAGAGCACUAGCAUAUACAAGAUCGACAAUCACUUAAAUCAAAGCAAUGUCAAAGUUAUAAUACAUGGGAUCUAAUGCGUACAAGCAAUGGUUUCUGGUCACAGCAGCUUUAGGCUUUCAGCUACAGUAUAAAGUGAAACUGUCGCUUGAAAAUAAAAUUCAUGUUCAGCAGCCUCAUUUUAGAUGGCAUCGGCAUCUGUAGUAUCGUUUGUCUGUAGUCCCUCAUUAUCUACAAUCUGAUCGCUCCCUAUAGUAUUGUUUGUCUGUAGUCCCUCAUUAUCUACGAUCUGAUCGCUCCCUAUAGUAUUGUUGGUCUGUAGUCCCUCAUUAUCUACGCUCUGAUCGCUCCCUAUGUAGAGAAUCGACAACAGCAAAUUGUAGCACACGUUCACAGCACUAAUAACUGUUAAACUCUUAUAGUACUUGUCAAGCCUACUAUCACCCAAGGUUUCGCCAAACUCGCCUUUGUUUGCCAAAAUGCAAAAGAUGUUAAAAAUGCCUCCAAUUCCGACGAAAAAAUAACUUGUUGCUGAUACAUGGUACUCCGUCCGUUCAGGAAAAUGAGAGCUCGAGUAUUCAUCACAACCAUGCCAAGCAAGCCCUUCCAUAAGCCCCAAUAGACAGAAUUGUGGAACAAGCCAAAACAUGCUCAUAUGGGGUUUGUGUUGACAAUUCAAACAUUUAUCUCGCCCUUCCAACCUGCGAACCUCAACCUGCCAUGCCACUAUACAGCACACUGUAGACAUCACCAUUCCAAUGAAUGUUCUCAAUACUUGAGCUUGUCUCUGCUUAGUUUCCAGAGCAAUUUUGGAAAUUAAUUUUUUCAACAGAUAAGAGAUCGUCGCACAAAUUAUGGCUUCAAAAGUUAGAAGAAAGAUUAAGAAUCUUUCAGAAAUCAUGUUAGCUCCCUGCACAGGAAAUAAUGUAUUUCCUGCAGAUAGAACCAAUCCAAACACAAUGAAGCUAGACCACAAUGGCAGCAAUUUAAGAAGAGACUUUGAGUCCCUGACCUGGGCCACAGUGCAAAGUGUGCCUGCCUCUUCUUGUUCUCUAGAAGUACUUGAUGUCUCUAUAAUUGCCGCUUUGUCUAUCCAUCUGCAAUUCAAACAAUUAAUUUAUUGGUAAUUCUUUUUAGGAAAAUAGAAAGCGACAGCUCAUGGUUUGGUAGAAUGAUCACACAAACUCUUUUAUAAAUACACCCUUUUGGACAAAUCUUGGAGCAGAGUGACCAUUUCUAAACACAAAACGAUAUCAGUGUGUCCAUAAAGAGGUCGAUGUAAUUAUUACUAAAAAUAAGUGGGUCUCCCCGACAAUUUUGCCAGACCACGGCCGGCUGUGGGUGUAUACAUGUUAGGUAUAUACCUGAGCAAUUUGAUUCUGGGUGACAAGUGUAGUACGUUUCCCUCAUCAUUACUGAAGAACUGCUCCGGAGAAAGAGGAUAAUUGAGAUGCUUUUUCUUCAGGGAGGUUUUAACAACACGGAUUAUAGCAAAACGGUCAACAGGAGGUAUUUUUGUACUAUGAUAGAAAGGAAUACCCAACAGCAGGAGGAUCAAACUGCCCCCCAUAAACAACAAUGUGAACAUGAAAGUCUUCUUCCAUGUCUUAAUAUUAUUUGCAUAGAAUGCCGCAGCUACACCACAGCACCAGGCAAGCCGCCACCACACUCUUUUCUGAGCCAUUACUUGAUUCUCAUCUGGAUUGACUGUUCUCCCUCCAGCACCAUGUGCUCUUAAUUGAUCGGCAAGAAAUGGUCCCAAGAGAGGCGCCACUCCAACUUUACCCACUGCUAACAGGAUAAUUCCUAUCACGUUGAGCAGCUCAAAGUUGGUUUCCGAAAAUUCUCUCGCUGUAUAGAACAAUAGCCCCAAUGCCUGCAGUAAACAUUGUUGGAACUAAUUGUACAGCAUAACAUUAUGAUCCUAAAAUUGCUUUUCUUAAUCAUUAUUAUAAUCAGGAGUGGAGCCAAAAUGAACAAAUGCCGCAUCAAUUAUAACUUAACUAUUGGGAUCUCUAUCAUUAUUUUUAUACGGGAAUGUCCUCUUAUUACUUUUUUUUUCUACAUGCUGUGAAAUUUAACAUAUACUGCAAAAUAAUAAUUUUUAAAUUUAGCUUAAAGUAUUACAAAGUCCUGGGUCCGCCCCCGGAUAUAUUUCUUGCAGAUGAUAGACAUAUGUUUUAAUUUUUCCUCUGUUUGGAAGUUUAGCAAAUUAAAAACAUAUUAACUUACAAGGACGUAGGAGGCAGUUGAAAAUAUGAGGAUUCUGAGAGGAUGGCUGGUAUAACAGGAAAUCCAGGCGGCAACAACCGCAAGAGUUGCUGAUAUUCCAUCCUGAAUACUCGUAAAUAUUGCAGCUUUCUGAAGAGUGGAUACUUUUGAAAAUUCGGCGUCGGAGAAGUAAGUUAUCAAGACGCCCUCUACAGCCAAGUCUACCAGUUUGUGGCUUAUCAACAAACCUGGAAUCAAAAUAUAAUCAUUAGAAGAAAUGUUCGUGCUCACUGAAAAAAAGCAUACACAUGAAAACUACAAGAACAACAUAAGAACUGUUGCCAUGUUUUUAUAAUUUAGCCCAACCUAAUCAAAGAUCUUAAGACAUUGUUGUUAAAGUGAGGAUAUUAAUAAAAUACAAAAAAAAAAUUAGUUUUCAAUUCUAAAUAAAUACAUUUUUAAAAGAUAUGAUUACCUGACAUAAAUGCAGCAGACUUACAAAAACAGACGUAAUAUCGUACCCAAGUUAUGAACAUGUUUUGAAGCUUCAACAACUGAGAAAAUGGAAACAUUGUAGUUUCUGAAACUGCUUCUUUUAUCUGCAAAUACUUGUGAGCUGUGAAUCCUGAGACGAUGAAGAUUUUGUAAGUAUACCAAAGUCUUCGCUAGUCUUCUAAAAAGUAGACCACCUAUCUGGUCACAUAAUAAUGAAUUACUGUACAGCUCAAUAAUUUUAGGUGGUAUGAAACACGUUUGAUGAGACGGUAAUAAUUAAACUGUACCAUGAAUGAUCCUCAUUGAGUAUAUAAUCCGUUUCUUUUUUCAAACAAGAUUUAUGCUUUAAUUUUGGGAGGUUUGCUAAGUUCUUUCUUUUUUGUAAUGGUUACGGAGACUGACAGUUUUCUAUUGAAGUUAUUUAUACAUGUAUUUAUUUUUCAACUUAUAUGUAAUACAUUUUGGAAAUGAGUAAUGGUACAGUACAAAUACUUUUAGACAAAAAAUGAUGUACAGAUUUAUGUAUGGUACAGUACAAAUACUUUUAGACAAAAAAUGAUGUACAGAUUUAUGUAAUUUUGAAAAAAAGAUACUUUCAUCCUUAUGAUUUGGGAAAAAUUUAUCUAGAAUUUAAGUUUUCAGUAAGGGACACUAAAAUUUAUUUUGAUUAUAAUAUUCUCAAUAGAUAGCAACUAAAAUUAUCGACUUCAAUUUUUUUAAUAAAUAUAAGUAUAAUUUAAAUAGUUUUAUUUGUCCGGUCGACCAAUAAUAUUAGAAUGUUUCUUAAUAUAUAAAAUAAUUUUUAAAAUGUAAAAUAUUAUAUUUAUUUCUUUAAUAUAUUUUAUUUAUUAUAAAAUUUUUAAAUAAAUCUAUAGGCUAAACAGAUUUACGUUUAAUAAAAUACAUCUCAUGUACUAAUAGAAUUAAAAUUAUUUUAUAUAAUAUUGAAAAUAAUUUAAAUUUGAAAUUUUUAUUUUAAAAUUAUGUUUUGAUUUAUUCUGAAAUUUAGUUUAAUAUAAUUUAAUAUUGUAAAGUAUUAAAAUAUUUUAAAAUUAUUAAAAUAUUUUAAAAUUAUUAAAAUUAUUUUAAAAUGUAUAUAUUGUUACAUUUAUUUGAAUAUUACACUUCUAUUUAUUAUAAAACAUUGAAAAGAAAAUUUUAGUCAAAAGAGAGUUUUAGUUGCCCUUACUAAAAAAUGGAGUACAUAACCAUUUCUUUAAACUUUAAGAAGUGUACAUAUUGUUUUUCCUAUUUUUUUUUUAUAAUCACUUGAGUUAAAAGAAUCAUGUGGCCCAAAUAAAUUAUUUUUAUUUAUAUUUUCGAUCAGCAGAUAAUAUGUCAUACCGGUUUGUAUAAGUGUUUAUGAACAGGAAAAAGCGAGGUCAGGCACUAGACGGGUUGGCGAUCAAGCCCUCCAACCCAUGUAUAGUGCUAGUUGGGUAAGUUGGACUUUUCUCAAAGACCCAUUUUCUGUCUUUGAAAUAUUAGUAUGAAAUUAAAAAAAUUAAAAAAAAAUUUAAUUGAAACAACUAAAAACAGAAUACAAAAUUACAAAUAAUAACUAUCCCUCUGACUUCAUUGUUCAUAAUAUAUAUAUAUAUAUAUAUAUAUAUAUAUAUAUAUAUAGGAGGCUGUUCCAAUCCGGAAUUCCGGAUUGGAACAAUAUACGGGAUAUUAAGAGUUGGGUUGAAAAUUUUCAACAUCAAACAAAUACAGUUGGUUUUCUCCACCCCUAAGAAAUUAGGAGCUGGCUUUUUACUUGAUUUUAAGUAGAGAAAAUGAUCAAAACGACCUUAUUGUUUGUUAAAUUUAAUCAUUUCUCUUUUAUAUUUCAAAAUCAAUUAAGAAACCUUUAUAUAUAUAUAUAUAUAUAUAUAUUGAACAUAUGGCAUCUUUCACUAUCUUAUCCCCAUAAAUUUUUUAAUCGAUCAACAGUGGGUAAAAUAGUGAAAGCUGCAAUAAGUUGAAAGCAAAUAAUUUUCAUCCCUAGAAUUUUUCCACCAAAUCAUGGUAAAAGAAUAAAAAUCGCAAUUUUUAUAACAAGGCAGCAAAAUAAGAUGAUUUAGAUGGCAUCGGCAUCUGGAGUAUUGUUGGUCUGUAGUCCCUCAUUAUCUACGCUCUGAUCGCUCCCUAUGUAGUGAAUCGACAACAGCAAAUUGUAGCACACGUUCACAGCACUAAUAACUGUUAAACUCUUAUAGUACUUGUCAAGCCUACUAUCACCCAAGGUUUCGCCAAACUCGCUUUGUUUGCCAAAAUGAAAAAGAUGUUAAAAAUGCUUCCUAUUCCGACGAAAAAAUAACUUAUUGCUGAUACAUGGUACUCCAUCCGUUCAGGAAAAUGAGAGCUCGAGUAUUCAUCACAUCCAUGCCAAGCAAGACCUUCCAUUAGACCUAAUAGACAGAAUUGUGGAACAAGCCAAAACAUGCUCAUAUUUUCCAAUUGUUUGAGCUUUUCCAAUCUGCGAGCCUCAACCUGCCAUGCCAUUACACAGCAAACUGUAGUCAUCACCAUUCCAAUGAAUGUUCUCAACACUUGAGCUUGUCUCUUUUUAGUUUUUGGAACAAAAUUGGAAAUUAAUUUUUUUGACAGAUAAGAGAUCGUUGCACGAAUUAUCCCUUUAAAAGUUCGUAGAAAGAUUAAGUAACUUUCAGAAAUCAUGUUGGCUCCCUGCUUAGGAAAAAAUGUAUUUCCUGCUGACAGAACCAAUCCAAACACAAUGAAGCUAGACCACAAUGGCAACAAUUUAAGAAGAGAUUUUGACUCCCUGAUCUGGGCCACAGUGCAAAGUGUGCCUGCCUCUUCUUGUUCUUUAGACGUACUUGAUGUCUCUAUAAUUGCCUCUUUGUCUAUCCAUCUGCAAUUCAAAGAAUUAAUUUAUUGGUAAUUUUUUAGGACAAUAGAAAGCGACAGCUCAUGGUUUGGCAAAAUGAUCACACAGACGCUUUUAUAAAUACGCCCUUUUGAACAAAUCUUGGAGGUCCGUGUGACUAUUCCUGAACACAAAAGGGUAUUAAUGUGUCCAUAAAGAGGUGUAUAUAAUUAUUAAUAAAAAUAAGAGGGUCUCCCCGACAAUUUUGCCAGACCACGGCCGGCUGUGGGUGUAUACAUGUUAGGCAUAUACCUGAGUAAUUUGAUUCUGGGUGACAAGUGUAAUACGUUUCCCUCAUCAUUACUGAAGAACAGCUCCGGAGAAAGAGGAUAAUUGAGAUGCUUUUUCUUCAGGGAGGUUUUAACAACGCGGAUUAUAGCAAAACGGUCAAUAGGAGGUAUUUGUCUACUAUGAUAAAAGGGAAUACCCAACAACAGGAGGAUCAAACUGCCCCCCAUAAACAACAAUGUGAACAUGAAAGUCUUCUUCCAUGUCUUAAUAUUAUUUGCAUAGAAUGCCGCAGCUGCACCACAGCACCAGGGAAACCGCCACCACACUCUUUUCUGAGCCAUUACCUGAUCGUCAUUGGAAUUUUCUGUUCUCCCUCCUUCACCAUGUUCUCUUAAUUGAUCGGCAGGAAAUGGUCCCAAAAGAGGCGCCGCUCCAACUUCACCCACUGCUAACAGGAUAAUUCCUAUAUGUUGAGUAGCUCAAAGUUGGUUUCUGAAAAUUCUCGGGACGCUGUAUAGAACAAUAGCCCCAAUGCCUGAAACAAAAAUUGUUGGAACUAAUUGUAUAGCAUAACAUUAUGAUCCUAGAAAUGCUUUUCUUAAUCAUUAUUAUAAUCAGGAGUGGAACCAAAAUAAAUUAGUGUCACAUCAAUUGUAACUUAACUAUUGAGAUCUCUAGCAUUAUUUUUAUAGGGGUAAGGCUCCUAAUAUCCUCUUAUUAAGUAUAUAUAUAUUUUUUACAUGCUGUGAAAUUUAACAUUUACUGCAAAAUAAUAAUUUUUUAAUUUAACCCAAAGUACUACAAAGUCCUGGGUCUGCCCCUGAAUAUAUGUAUUGCUUGCAAUGGUAGACAUAUGUUUUGAUUUCGUCUCUGUUUGGAAAUUUAGCAAAUUCAAAACAUAUUAACUUACAAGGAUGUAGGAGACAGUUGAAAAAAAUGAGGAUUCUGAGAGGACGAAUGGCAUAACACGAAAUCCAGGCGGCAACAACCGUAAGAGUUGCUAAUAUUACAUCCUGAAUAAUCGUAAAUAUUGCAGCUUUCUGAAGUGUGAAUACUUCUGAAUAUUCGGAGUCGGAGAAGUAAGUUAUCAAGACGCCCACUAUAGCCAAGUCUACCAGUUUGCGGCUUAUCAACAAACUUGGAAUCAAAAUAAUCAUUAGAAAAAAUGUUCGUGCUCACUAAAAAAAGCAUACACAUGAAGACUGCAAGAACACGUGAGGGAACUGUUGCCAUGUUUUUAUAAUUUAGCCCAACCUAAUCAAAGAUCUUAAGUACACCUCUCUUAACUGAAAUUAAUCGAGGGGAUUAUCUAUUUAGGAAUCUCAAAGUUCAUGAGCUCUUAAUACACACACAGUAUAUACAUACAUACAUCAUCAUGUUGUUAAAGUAAUGAUGUUAGUAAAAUACAAAAAGAAUAUACGUGCAUGCUAUUAAAUUGUAUGAUUUAAUAAAAUGAGUACAGAUAACUAAAUUACAUGAUUUUAUAGUAUUGAAAAUUAAUUCUAUUAAAUCAUACAAUUUAAUAGUGUGUCUAUAUUAAAAAAAUAAAUAAAGACCCCAUAUAUAUGUAUACAAGUUUAUAUUCUAAAUAAAUACAUUUUUAAAAGAUAUGAUUACCUAAGGCCCCACGUGCAAAAUUACCUGACAUAAAUGCAGCAGCCUUACAAAAACAGACGUAAUAUCGUACCCAAGUUUUGAACCUGUUUUGAAGCUUCAACAACUGAGAAAAUGGAAACAUUGUAGUUUCUGAAACUGCUUCUUUUAUCUGAAAAUACUUCUACUUGUGAGCUGUGAAUCCCGAGACGAUGAAGAUUUUGUAAUUAUACCAAAGUCUUCGCUAGUCUUCUAAAAAGUUAGUUUAUUCAAAUUAAAAAAUAAUAAGUCGCACUUCAAGACCAGCUAUUGGUCACAUAAGUCAAAAUAAUGACUUACUGUACAGCUCAAUAAUUUUAGGUGGUAUGAAACACGUUUGAUGAGACGGUCAUAAUUAGACUGUACCAUGAAUGAUCCUUAUUGAGUAUAUAACCCCUUUCUUUUUUCAAACAAGAUUUAUGCUUUAAUUUUGGGAGGUUUGCUAAGUUCUUUCUUUUUGUAAUGGUUAAGGAGACUGACAAUUUUCUAUUGAAGUUAUUUAUACAUGUAUUUCACUUUUAGAUAAAUAAUGUUGUACAAACUAAUGUGAUAUUUUUUAGAAAAAAGUAUAUGUAUAUCCUUAAGAUUUUAAAAAAUGGUCAUAUACAUUCUGAAUUUUUAAUAAGGGACACCAAAACACUUUUUUACUAUAGUAUCCUUAAUAGAUAGUAACAAAAAAUAUUGACUAAAUAUUUUAAUAAAUAUAAAUAAAAUUUAAAUAGUUUAAUUUGUCUAGUAGACUAAUAAUAUUAGAAUGUUUCUUAAUAUAUAAAAUAAUUUUUAAAAUAUAAAUUAUUAUAUUUAUUUUAAUAAUAUAUUUUUACUUAUUAUAAAAAUUUUAAAUAAAUCUUUAGGUUAGAUUUUAAAUUUAAUAAAAUACAUGUCAUGUACUAAUAAUAUUAAAAUUAUUUUAUAUAAUAUUGAAAAUAAUUUAAAUUUUUAAAAUUUUAUUUUAAUAUUAUAUUUCAAUUUAUUUUGAAAUUUAGUUUAAUAUAAUUUAAUAUUGUAAAGUAUUAAAAUAUUUUAAAAAUAUUGAAAUUAUUUUAAAAUGUAUAUAUUGUUACAUAUAUUUUAAUAUUAUACUUCUAUUUAUUAUAAAAUAUUAAAAAUAAUAUUUUAGUCAAAAGGGAGUUUUAGGUGUCUCUUAUUGAAAAAAUGGAACGUACAUAACCAUUUUUUCUAAUUUUUAAGGGUGUACAAGUCAUUUUUCCUACUUUUUUAUAAUCAGUUGAAUUAAAAAAAGUCAUGUGGCCACAUAUAGUAUUUCUUACUUAUAUUUUCAAUCAGCAAAUCAUAUUGUGUCAUAUCUGUUUGUAUACGCAUUUAUGAACAUAAAAAAGUAAGGUUAGGCACUAGUCGGGUUGGAAAUCAACCCAUCCAACCCAUGCAUAGUGCUAAUUGGGUGAGUUGGACUUAUCUCGAGACCCAUUUUCUGUCUUUGAAAUAUCAAUAAGAAAUUAAAAUAAUUAAAAAAUAAUUUAAUAGAAACAACUAAAAAUAGAAUACAAAAUUACAAAUAAUAACUAUCCCUCAAACUUCAUUGUUAAUAAAAAAAAUUAUUUGUAUAGGAUACUAAUCACACCAUAAAAAGUAAUAGGGUGAAUUCAAGAGUUGGGUUUGAAAAUUUUCAACACCUAGGAAAUAUAGUGCAUUUUCUCCACCCCUAAGAAAUUAGGGGUUGGCUUUCUACUUGAUUUUAAGUUGAGAAAAUGAUCAAAACUACCUUAUUGUUUGUUAAAAUUAUAGGUUGAAUUUAAGAGUUGGGUUUGAAAGAUGCAAUGUGUUCAUAUAUAUGGAAUGUGCUUUCUUUAGCACUUAGCCGAAAGCUUCAAAUUUCCAUUAAUAAGACGGUUAAUGAUGAAUUCAAAGAGCCAAUAAGAUUUCAACAAAAUACAUUUUUUCAACUUUGUGUGCAAAUUAAUUACGUCUGUAUUUGGAUGGUUAAUAUAAACUAGUCAUAUAAUUAACCACGCAUUAAUUAAUCAAAUUUUUAUUAUUUAAUAUCUUUGCAUCAGAUGAUCAUUGAUCAAUUAACAAGAUAUUUUCCUUUUGUGCAUGUAUCCACAUUGGACGUCAAUAUAGUAAUUUGUUAUGAAAAAAAAUUCAAUCAAAAUUAUUUUUAAUAUUUUUAAUUUUCUAUCUAACUUAGUGCUUGUUUAGUAUAAAAUAUCUAACGCCCAGCAGUAGGAUAACUCCAACAAUUUCCCUCACACAUCGGGCCUUGGGUCAAAAGAUAAACACUCGUUCUCUUUAUUAGAUUGUUGGGCUGAGAUUGUUGAUGAAUGUGGACUCUGAUACUAGUGUUAGGUAGUCUUAAACUUCUCUCAACCCCAAAAGUAAGCUUAGGGGUGAGAUUUUCCUGACAUUUAUAAAAUCACCAAUAGCCCUUUUCACAACCCAUGUGGGACAACUUCGAUAGUUUGAUUGUAUUUUGAGUAUAACUUUUGAAGAUUAAAUAAAUUAUUUUGCUUCUAUUAGUAAAACCUUAAAAAUUAGAUUUUUGAGAGUGAUGGUCAUAGUACUUAAAGAAUAAAUUGUGUAGAAUAACGUUUUAUAUAUUUAAUGAUCUUAUUCCAUUCCUUUUAUUUUUUUGAUUUCUUUUAUUUUUUAACCUAACAAAAACCUAGUCCCUUCUCCACCCAUUUGAGUAGGGUGCGAAUCUCAGAUCUCUUGCUUUCAACCAGAUGAUACCCAUAAAUUAGAUCAAAUCCUUUUCAUAAUAUCACUUGCCGCAAUAGUAAAAUUAAACUAAGCAAAAGUACUCUUUUUAACACCAAUACAAAAACAAAACAAUCAUAAAGCGAGACACAAAAUAUUAAAAUAAAAAUCAUAAUAUUGCAUCUAUCCACAUGCCACCAACAUUUUCCAUCAACUGUUUGAAAGAGAUCCUCCAUCUCAUCCUGCUUUGGAAGCUAUUCUAAGGAGACUUGCUUGAAAAUUUUAAACCACUCGUGUGUAAGCUAGGGAAUUUUUAAGAUUCAAAUAGCUUCACUCCCUCUGUGCCUCCAUUUUGUAUAACUUUUUAAAUAGAGUUUAUUUAAAUAGGCAUUCAAUUAGUAGAGUUUUUACAAAUAGAUCUUUUACCAAAAAAAAAAAAUUGUUUAGUUCAUCAGUUGUCCAAAGAGAUUUUAUUAAAAAUUAAAAAUUAAUUUCAAUGUACAAGUUUUCUAAGUUAUGUUGUGAAAUGGAUACGAAUAAAAUAAGAAUAUAAAAUAAAUAAUGGGCAUAUUAGAUAGUUUAAUAAUUUAAAAAAGCUUUCUAAUCUCUACUCCAAAAAAUUCAAAAUUCAAAUUUUUGCUAAUAGAGUCAAUAUAAUUUAUUUAAUCCCAAAAACUAAAUUCAAAAUAAAAUAUGACCAUUAAAUAAGCUAAUACUAAACAAGCACUAUACCUUUGAAGGACUUGCAACCCAUCAAAACUCUAGGUCCACUAAGCCAAUAUUGUUCUUGUCCAGUGCUAAAAAACAUUUUUCCAAACAGCUCCACCCUGCCGCAAUAUAUAUAAAUAAUAUGGAUAAGAUCCUCUCUUUCUUUCUUUUUUUUUUCCCCCCUCUCAUAUUCUUCAACAAUGUUGAAUUAACAAGUGAUCCUAUUUUUAAUUUAAAAAAGGAGUCAUGUUUUUAUUAAUUUUCAAAUUACAUCUAUGUUUUGAUUAAUUAAAAAGGCCAGCUAAUGAGAUCAUUAAUUUGGUCAACUACUCAGAUAACCGUGCAUCAAUUAUACAAUAGGCAUUUCUUUCCCAAAAUAAUAUAUUUGCGUCAUGCAUGACGAUCACGGAUCACUUGUAUUAGAGAGCUUAGGUGCCCAGCAAGUCAAGUUGCAAGCUGCUGUCUUUGGCCAUACCUUUGAAGCACAAAUACUUCUUUUUAUUCCUGUUUGAUAGUACGGUUAAAAUCAAGGCAUCAAUCAGGAAGUUGCGCAGCAAGUCAGGUUGCCCAGCCGCUGUCUUUGACUGUACCUUUGAAGCACAAGUACUUCUUUUCAUUCUUGUUUGAUAGCACGGUUAAAAUCAAGGCAUCAAUCAGGUGGGUGCCCAGCAAGUUAGGUUGCCGAGCUGCUGUCUUUGACUAUACCUUUGAAACGCAAAUACUUCUUUUCAUUUUUGUUUGAUAGCAUGGUUAAAAUCAACGCAUCAAUCAUGUACUUAUUGUGAAUCGUUGAAGUAGAUGUACAAUGCAUAAUAAGUAAUAUUUAUUUAAAAAUUGAAGCUUCUAGAUAAUUUCGAUAUAAAUUAAGUUCAGUUUUUACUUCAUCAAGGUGAAACAUCAUAAAGCUUGUAAAUCUAACACAUGAACGUAAAAGCUUUAAAAAAAUUUGAAGUUGCUUGAUAACAUAGAAAUACAAGCAAAAAGAGAUGCUAAAGAAUACAGCCCGAAUUUUUCAUUGGGUGGGAUUAUUGAUCAUGCUAGCAUAAUGAUGAGUUGCCCGAUAAUACCCAAGACUUUCUCGAUAUUAUCAUGUAGAAGGUCAGGACCGCCCACCUACAACUGUUGUUCAGCACUCAGAGAGACUUUUCACCCAGUUCUUAUGGGGUGACUCUGAGACUGGGCAAUAGAUUAAUUGUUGUGGAUGGAUGGCAGUUUGUUAUCCAGUUGAUAAGGGAUGCCUGGGUAUACAAUCUUUUAAUGAUAUGGUUGAGGAUUUUGAGCUUAAGCUUUGGUUGUGUUUUUAGGAGCAGCUUUCAUUAUGGGCUUCUUUUAUGAAGUCUAAGUAUUGUACAGCUGCACAUCCGAGUAUGGUUUAGUUUUGAUAUCCUACCUACCCUCUUUGGAGGCACCUAUGCUUGAUUCAAUAUGUUGGUGAGCUUCAUGUGUGUUGGCUGUUUGGCCGAGGGUUGUUUUUGGUAUGAUUGUUAGCUGGGCUCUUGUCCUUUGGCCUUUUAUAAUCAUGUGGUGGCUUUUCUAGGGCCGAUUUCGAGAUUAUUAGCAAGAUACAGUAUGAGAUAGGGGUAAGCUUCAGGAUGUCCUGCCCUUUUUAAUUGUUGUGCAUAUUCUUUUGAUUCCUAUCUCUAGUGGGGAACCAGAUGUGAUUUUGUACGUGGGACAUUUCUCCUGAUGGUAGUUUUUCCUUGAGGACUACUUCGGAUAUUGUGCAUUGGAUAAGGCCGAGGGAUGAGGCUUUUUUUGUUAUUUGGCAGCGACAUAUCUCUUCGUGGAUAUCCUUUUUUUCUCUAGAGGUUGUGACACAAAUUCUUGACCACAGAUGAUGCCUUGUGUUCGGGGGAUUUCUACAUACUUUCUUAGUAUCUUUGUGGUCGGGCUUCUGAGACUUCUAGGCAUUUAUUUCUUGAUUGCCCUCGAGUUAGGCCGGUUUGGGUCCAUUUUCUAUGUACUCUUGGUUUGCGCUAUGUUGCUUUUCUGUUCCCCUAUACUUUAUUUCUUAAUUGGUAGUGAUAUGCCCUUUCUUGAAGCCAUAUUCAAGUUCUUCUUCCUUGUUUCAUUUUGUGGUAAGUUUAGAAGGCUUGUCAUGCAUUGAAGUUUGACUCAAUGGCCUUUUUUGUUGAUGCCAUUAUUUAUCGGGCGAUGUUGGAUCUUAGGCUUGCUGGUUUUGCCUUUGGUCUUAAACCAUUCCAAUUGUGAAGAGUUUUAGGUUCUCGGUUUGCAGAGUGCUUGAGAGUUGUUGUUUCAUCUAGGAGGCCGAUUCUUUUAGUUUAUUGGUUGUGGCCACCACCUGGGGCGGUGAAGCUGACUAUCGAUGGUUGCUUUAGGAGUAAUCCUAGGAUCUCUGCUUUAGAUAGUAUUUUACUUGAUCAUCGAGAUGUGGCUUUGGCUGUUUUUGGUUCCUUCCUUGGGCGCUAACCGAUCCUUCAUGCAUAAUUCAUGGUUGUUUUUAGGGGUUAGAGUUGGCUGCUCAGCUCCAUUAUUCUGUGCUUGAGGUAGAGUCAGACUCAGCCAUGGCGGCUUCUAGGAUUUUUUUGUAAGGCCUUGUUCAUUCGGACUAUACCUAUUCUUUGCGUCGAGUGUGUAGUUUGACAUUUUCUUCUACUUCGUGGUUAGUCAUGUGCUUCGGAAGGCUACUUCUACUGCUGAUUUCGUUGGCCUGCACUCUUCAAGGUCAUCGGUGUUUCUUGGGUUCUCAGGAUAUCUCUGCUAGCUUAUCUAAUAAUCUCCGUUUGGAUAUGUGGGUAAUUUCUCAUAUCAGGCAAUAGGAUUUCUUAUUUCUGUAUUCCAUUUUUUAUCUUGUAUUUUUCUCUUUUCCAUUCUUAUGUUCUUGCAAUUGCGGUUUUGAUUUAUAUUCAUCUCCUUAUGUAUUUGAUUCAUUCUAUGAUUUAUAUGAAAGAUAGGGGUUCCACCUAACCCCACAUUUUUUGUGGUUAAAAAAAAAGAUCAGGAAUUCAACCUAAGUAAUCAAGGUGAAACAUCAAACAGGUUGUAAAUUUAACAUAUGAACGUAAAAGCUUAACAAAACAUUUGAAGUUGCUUGACAACAUAGAAAUACAUUAUAAAAGAGAUGCUAAACAACACAAAAAUUUGAUUGGGGGGAGUAUUGUUCAUGCUAGCAUAAUAAUGACGUGCCUGAGAAUACCUAAGACUUUCUUGAUAAAUAAUAUCAUUUAAAAGGUUAGGAAUCACAUAUGAUUGUCCACGUAUGAACAAACCUAGCUCAAAAUGUGAAAUGUGUUAAGAUUUUCAAACAUUUAAAUUAAUAAUUAAUAAUUUCAGACAAAGGAUACUUGGAAACCCUAAAGUUCACUGAUUCUAUGUUAUGGCUCAUUGUCUCUCUUGACAAUUUAAUUUCUAGAUUAUUUGGCUCCUAUCUAUUAAAAGACAACACCGUUACUAAAAUUAUAAAUUAUAACAGUUAAACCUAAACCUACGUCGUUUAGCAAUUUACAAAAGAAAAAAUAUAACAAAAGCCAAUUGUUGGAGUAGUAACGUGCCAACGAGAAAACCUCAAGCCAUGUAAUAUCCAGUGUCAACAACUAAAGAAGAACAAACCACCACCCUCAAGGCCGUCGCUGCACUAACGCUGGACCCGAUUUGAAUAGUUAGAAGUUGUAACAUUAAUUAGGGAUUGAGGGUAAAAUUUUGGACUUUGAUUUAAUAAAAUUGAUUUAAAUGAGUCCCAAUAGAAAUAUGAUUAUAAAUAUAUCAAUACAAUUAUAACAUGUGUAAAAGAAAAAAGUUUAUUUUCACACAAAACAAAAAACACAACCCUUGGAUGGGUUGUGUGAUGACUCUUCUGCAAAAAUUAUUUGAUCUCUCACUUUAUGAAGUACGAUUUGUCAGGUUUAAUUAAACCUGUUCCACUCCUUUUAUGUUACCACUUUAUUUUAAAAAUCCCAAAAAAUCUCCUAUCAAGUUUAAUUGCUUCCAGUGGUUUCUUCCUGCUCUGACUUUUGAAUUUCAAAACCAAUCAAAUUUUUUCAACUGUAGGCUUCACGUCUUUUUUUUUUUUUUUGACAACUGGACGUUUUCAUUCAUACUUUAUUCUCUUUCAUUUUGCAAUCCCCAAAAAAAAAAAAACUUUUUCUCUUCCUCUUCCAAUCUCUAACGCCCCCUCAUCUCCCUUUUUUAUUUUUUUUUUAUUUUGUCUUUUGCUUCUUUUUCCUUUGGCUUUAUUUCUCAUUACUUUUUGGCUUCGAAUUUUUCUUCAGCUUCUCAUAUUCUCCUGGGCGCCAUUAUCAUUCCACAAACAGGUAAAAGAAUCUUCAUUUACUUCUCUUUUUCCUUUCUUCUUCAUGGCCCACCAUUAUUCUUUCUUUUCCUUUUUGCUUUUCUCCCUUUUCUCUCCUCUUGGCUGGACUUCUUUUUUUUUUUUUUUUUUCUCGGCUGGACUCCUUCUCCUCUUUUUUUUUUUUCCUUUUUCUUUCCUCUUGGCUGGACUCCUUCUGGCAUGAUUUCCGGCGAGAUUUCUGGCGGUUGCCGCGGCGGUCUCCUGUACCCGAUCCGUCUGGUAUGCGGUCGCGUCUUGCGGCUCCCGGUGGGUUUGGCGCGGUGCUUCUCCGGUUCUCCCCGCACAUUGUUUUCUUUACUUCUUUUUCUUCCUCUCUGCGUUUUCUUUGGCUUUCCUCUUUUUUUUUUUUUUUUUGACUUCCUCUUCUUUGCUUUUUUUUUUUUAUCUCCAGGCUUCUCCCUUUUUUUUUUUGUACGUCCAAGCUCCUUCCUCUUUUUUUUUUUUAUUAUCUCUAACAUGUUUUAUUGUGUCUAUGACAGCCUCUGCACUGCUCCAUCUUUUGAGCAACUUUUGGCGAUUUGUGACUUCUCUUGGCGAUUUAUAGUCUAAAACUUACUUAUUGGCGACUGAAAUUUGCUACUCUCGGUGAGAUAUAGGUAUAAAAUUUUUCAUACCUAUUUUUGACUUCUUUAUUUUGAAGAAUGAUGUUGUGGCUUUGUUUCUGGUUUUCAUGCAAAGUGUUGGCAUUUUCCUUUUUUGUUUAUGCUUUUAUUGGUGGAUGUUGGUGUUUGGCUUGUGAUGGAUGAGGUCUGAAGUUGUGGGGGUAUAUUUUGAUGUGGAGUUUUUCUUUUUCAACUUGUGUCUUGUGUUUUUAGGAGAACAAGAUGGGGAGAAAAACUGUUGGGAAAAAGGGUCGUAAUGUGGUCAGGGAGCCGGGGGAGUCGAGUGAGGAGGCUCCCCUUUCUGAUUCAGCCCCUCAUAUAUCCCUUAGUGACGAUGAUGGGUCCCCUUCGGCUAGUCCCAAGUUAUCUCGAACCAAAACUAGUAAAAAAUUAAAGAUUAAAGGCAAACACCCAGCCAAGUCAGCCCAUAGAAAAACUCGUGCAAAGACAUCCAUACCCAAAUCUCCUAUUCCUGUUAGCAUUCCAGAACCUCCCCUGAUCUCUCCCUCUGUCUCUGUAGCUCCUAAGCUCUAUGCACUAGGGGGUAGGCUGGCUACUCCGAGAGAUUUAGAAAGGGUUAAAGCCAAAUACAACAUACCUCAUUCUGUCCACCUUAGGGUACCUCGCAAGGGCGAGCGCCCCGAGCACCCUCAUUCUGAUGGUGUUGCCCUUCAUACCGACCUUUUUGACUUAGGUCUCCGUUUACCUCUUCAGCCAUUUUUUAGAAAAAUGUUCACUGAGAUGAAAAUUGCUCCCGGACAGUUAUCCUUACCCGGUUGGAGAUUGCUCACGAGUCUGGAGGUUUUGUGGCUAGAUAUUUUUGGGGAGGAUAUUUCUUAUGGAGAUUUGAGGGGGCUUUAUCAGUUGAAGAAGCCCAUUGGUUUAUCCGUAGCCUAUUUUGCUACUUGGGGGGUUCAUGGUAAUUUGGUGAGACCGGAUCCCUUGCUGAAAAAGGGCUACAGAUAUGGGUGGUUUGUGGCUGAGGGCGAGUGGGGGAAGAGCAUUCCAGCGGGGAAUGAAGUUGUGCAAGUUCGAAACUUCUUCAAUGAAGAUAGUAUGUGUUUCUUUUCUCUUCUCUCCCUUUCUAUGUAUAUAUACACCUCUUCGCAUGAAUUUUCUUCUUAUUCGUUGUUUUUUUUUUUUUUUUGGAUUUUUGCAGACAUCACUUGGAUCAAAGGAACGUGCCCAAUCCAUGAAGUGGGGAGGAAAAUGAAUGGUGUUAUAGAGAAGUUCCAUAUUUUGCAGAGUGAGGGUGAUGUUCUGUGCACUUCCCGGUUGGCGAGAGCUGGUCUAAUUAAGGAGAGUUUUCAGUCUUCUUCAGGAGGCGAUUCACGUAUGGCUAUGUGGUGUUGCUGGGGUACCCCGCCUUCAUUGGUUCUGUGGGGUGCCCCCAUUAUUUGAACAAACUUUUUUUUUUUUUUUUAUGCUUUGGUGGCCAUCUCUUAUUUUUUCUUAAUGUGCCUUUUUACCAAUGACGACUCUAUUGUUUAUUUUCCUGAUUUGUCUCUUUGUCUUACCUCUUUUUUUUUUUGUUGGAUAGGCAUGGACCCUUUUGGCGAAGAUUUUGAUGCCUUCUUCAGUCGCAUGAGCGGCAGCUCCUCCGGUACCCUGGGUACCUCCGUAAAAGGUGACCGACCUCCCGUCGUUCCAGGCGGCAAAGGCAAAUUGCCCGUCUCCUCUCUUGGGGGUUCUCGGGGUACCCCGACUACCCACAAGAGAAAGCUUGGCUCUCUUUUCUCAGCUCCUAGAGACCUUAUGGAGGGCGAGCUGGAUCCGGUGGCUAACAAGCGGAUAUCGCACCUGACUGAUUGCUUCCUUCAUUCCUCUGAGAGUAUUUCCACAGACAUGGCAAUGGAGGCGGAUAAAUUAGAUUUAAAUGAGCGCUAUAGCCGAGCGCUCAAAGCUUGUCAUGACGUGAGCGCCUCUCACUCUUUUCUUUUCCUCUUCUUUUUUUUAUAUCGUCCUGACUCCUUUUCAUUUUCUUUAUUAUUAUUUGUGUAGGCGGCUUUCUACCUUAGCCACGGUCUCCGAGACCUUAGUGGUAUCUCGGCUGCACAGACCGAGGUAGAGACACUGCGAGGUGAGGUUAGGCUCGGCCAGUCUCGGGAAGAGAAGCUAGGAGAGGAGGUCAGGGCUUUGCAAAGGUGCUUGGAUGACCACGCCCGGGAGAACAAUCGAUUGUCUAGGAAGUUGGAAGAGGUGGAAUCUAAGCACGGCGAGCUACUAUCUCGCCAACCGGAGAUGAUGGACAAGGCCUUCACUCUUAUCAUGACUGAGGUCUAGAGCGUUGAGCCUGAGUUGGUGGUACCCCGGGUGGAGAAAUGAGUGGACAAGUCGGCCAUCCUGAAAGCGAUAGAGGAUAAAAGGGCUACCCAAGCUCCACCAUCCUAUAGCCCGCAGCAAUCUUCGGGGGUACCCCAGGUGCCCCAGGCACCCCAGGCGGAUCUCCCUUCGGCUAGCGCUAUUCCUAUAGAUAGUAGCUAUUUGGCCGCGAGUGUUCCUAUUGACGCCCCCGUUGAGGGGAACGGUGGGGAGGAUGUCCCCCCUUCUUCUUGACCUUACUUGCUAUUUACAGCUUUAUCUCGAGAUGUCUUAGUGACUUUCUUCCUUUGCUUCUGUACCUUUGUAGUAUGAUAUCAUCCUUUUGAUGUAUUGGGAUACUUGUCUUUUGGAAGGUUGCCUCGGUAAUCUUGCUACUUAUUUGUAUUAAACUUUUGCAAUAGACUUUAUUCGGCUUACCAUUGAAUUCCUUGCUUAUGAUUGAUUUGUGUAGACUCGUGGGGGUUCCUCGGGUACCCCAGGUACCCCCCUGAUGUAUUUUUGGCACUUGCAUGGUGAUUUCCGUAGAUGUGCUCACUGCUCGUCUUAAUAAAGAUCAUGGCGUAUCUCAAAAUGAUUUAAUAAUUUGCACAUUAUCAUAAGAUAAAACAAAAUUCAUAUUUGGCGCAACUAGGAUUAAAUAAAGAUUAUGGCGUAUCUCAAAUAAACUUGUGGAGUUUCUUGGGUAUCCCGGGUACCCUUUUUUUUUUUCGAGGACUUUUUUGGCCCCCUUUCUUGCAUAAAUGGUAAAAAAUAUGCUUAUUUUGCCAUCCGCUUCUAGUCAAUAUUUAAUAAAAUAAUGCGAAUAGAGGGGCAUGCUUGCCUACCUCGUUUCGUUUAUCUAUUCUUUACUUGGCUCAAGCAAAAGAAUGGAGGUGUGGGCGUGUGCAUACCGUAACGGAACCUCAUGGCACUAGGGUAUGCUGGUUUACCUCGCCCUCGGGCCUUCUCUGACCCUCCCUCUUUAAAUUUGUUGUAUUAUUUCUUAUUGGCGUUGACCUCGAACAGAUCUUCACGAUCGAAUCGAGUCAGAUACCUCAGGUUCCCCUAAUUAUCUUGAAAUGGAGUAAUUAUAGUUGAAUAAGACAUGGCGUAAUAAGAGAGAGUCACAUUAAUGGCAAAAAUUUAACCAUAAUCACAUUCGGUAAUCAAAAGGAGAACAUUACAUAAAAUUGACUCAUUGUCCCAAUGAGAAUAGGAAACCAUAUAGAUAUCCACUCUCUAGGACUUAGGGAAUUAAAAAUUUCACUUGCACAUGUGGGGUACCCUAAGUACCUUUCAUGGCUUUACCACAUUGCACACAUAGUAAAGAAAAUAAGAGAUAGAUAAAGUGAACGAUAAGGUUUAAGACACUGUCCUCAUGUUAGUAGUACUUCCUCAGCAUUGCGGCAUUCCAGGGAUGCUUGACGAUUGUUCCAUCCAUGUGGAGUAGUCUGUAUGCCCCUGAACCUACCGGCUUGUCUAUGCGAUAUGAGCCUUCCCAAUUGGCUCCGAAAGAGCCCUCCGAGGGUACCCGGGUAUUCUGAGUUACCCUUCGUAUGACUAAAUUCCCUUUCUUGAAUGAUCUGGGGUGUACCCUCUUGUCAUAUAAAUCUAAAACGCGGUGCUGGUAUAUUGCAACCUUCAAUUCUGCUUUAACCCUUUUUUCUUUAACAAAAUCAAGAUUGGACGCAAUCAAAGAGGCAUUCUCGGCUUCAUCGAAGUAUGCGGUUCUGUGAGAGGGUAUCCCGAUUUCAGCUGGAAUGACUGCAUCAGUCCCGAAAGCCAGAGAAAAUGGGGUUUCCCCAGUUGAAAUAUUCUGAGUUGUCCGAUAGGCCCAAAGAACGCCGGGUAACUCGUCUACCCAAGCUCCAUUUCUUUCCUCCAGCCUCUUCUUUAGGAUACCCUUGAUGAUUUUGUUGAUGGCUUCCACUUGUCCAUUAGAUUGCGGGUGAGCCAGAGAAGCAAAUCGGUUGGCUAUCCCAAGCUCCGAGCAAAAAUUCUGAAAUUUUUCAUUAUCGAAUUGCUUCCUGUUGUCGCUGACAAUUGCAUUAGGGAUACCAUAUCUGCAUAUGAGGUUCCUCCAAACAAAAUCAGUAGUUUUUCUCUCCGUAAUGCUUGCCAACGACUCCGCUUCUACCCACUUUGUAAAAUAGUCAACGGCUACAAUUGUAUACUUAGCUUGUCCUCUACCAGUUGGUAGUGGGCCAAUGAGAUCUAUGCCCCAAACAGCAAAUGGCCACGGAGAAGACAUGACAGUUAACUUUUCUGGUGGAAGGUGGGGUACCUUGGCAAAUCUCUGGCACUUGUCACAACUCUUGACCAUAUUUUUGGCAUCCUCCCGCAUCGUAGGCCAAUAAAAUCCUUGACGAAGGGCCUUCUGUGCCAAUGAUUGUGCUCCAUAGUGGUUACCGCAUAUCCCUUCGUGUAUCUCUCUCAUGACAUAUUCGGCAUGUUCAUUGCUUCAUUCUUGUUUGAGGGCAGAUCCCCACUUCUGAGGUAUCCUAUGAUUGGUUGCAUUCAGGGUACCCCAGCAGUUAUCGACCCUAUUUCUUCUGGCUCAAAUAGAUUAACACUUGGUGUAGGUACGUACUCAGCAGUGAUUGGACCAACCGACUGAGUUGCACCGAAGGAAGCCAUUUUGGCGAGGUUGUCAGCUUCACAAUUUUCUAAUCGUGGAACUCUUUCCACCUUGACCUCAGCAAAUUGAGAUAUUAAUUCUCUUGUUCUCCCGAGGUACCCCUUCAUAUUUUCUUCCUUAGCGUGAUAUUCUGAGUUGAUCUGACCGACCACCAACUGAGAGUCACUCUUGAUGUGGACUCUUUUUGCGCCUAAGGCCUUCGACAUCCUUAGCCCCGCUAUCAUAGCUUCAUACUCGGCUUCGUUGUUUGAGGCCUUGAACCCGAAUUACAAGCCAUAACAUAGCUUCACCUUAUCCGGAUCGAUGAUUAUUACUCCCGCACCGCUUCCGUGCGAGUUGGAGGAACCAUCCACAUAAAUUUCCCAGACAUGCUCUUCUUCAAUAGCUGAUGUAGUUUCGCCCGGGUACCCCGAGAUCUCCUCACCCCCGGAGUCAUUGGCGAAUUCUGCAAUGAAAUCGGUGAUGGCUUGGGCUUUAAUAGCUGAGCGUGGCUUGAAGAUGAUGUCGAACUCACUCAAUUCAAGAGACCAGCGAAGAAGUCUUCCAGACAUGUCUAACUUCUAGAGGAUUUGUCGAAGGGGAAGGUUUGUUACAACGGCAAUGGUGUGGGCCUGAAAAUACGGCCGCAGUUUCCUCGUAGAGAUUACCAAGCCAAAACCAGCUUCUCUGUGGCGGGGUACCUCUUUUCCGCAUCCACCAUUGCCCUACUAGUGUAGUAAAUAGGCCGUUGCACCCCGUCUUCAUCUUCUCUAAGCAACAUUGAGAUAGUGGCGUGCUCAGAAACAACGAGAUACAACAGAAGCACUUCUCCAUGCUUAGGCUUGGCGAGCAAUGGUGAAUUAACGAGAUACUCCUUUAGCUUCUGAAAAGCCUCUUCGCACUCGGCGGUCCAUUGGAGCUUCUUUCCCGCUUUCAAAGCUUUAAAAAAUGGCUUGCACUUGUCGGUGGCCUUGGAGAUGAAACGACUCAAGGCGGCUAUCCGGCCAGCUAAGCUCUGGACUUCCUUAAUGGUACUUGGUGACUUCAUCCCAAGAACCGCCUGGAUUUUAUCGGGAUUAGCCUCAAUUCCCGCUGUUGUACCAUAAAUCCAAGGAAUUUACCCGAAGUCACCCCGAAUGCACAUUUCUUAGGAUUUAGGCGCAUCUGAUGCUUUCUCAAAAUAUUGAAGGUAUAUCUGAGGUGCCCCGAGUGAUCACUGGUGUACACCGACUUUGUUAUCAUAUCAUCGAUGUGCACCUCCAUGGUACGACCGAUUUGUUAUUUGAAGAUCUUGUUCACCAAACGCUGAUAGGUGGCGCCUGCAUUCUUCAAACCAAAAGGCAUAACCUUGUAGCAGUAUAACCCACGGUUGAUGAUGAAGGCCGUUUUAUCUUGAUCAGGCUCGUACAUUGGAAUUUGGUUGUACCCGGAGAAAGCAUCCAUGAAACUAAGCAUCUCGUGCCCAGCAGUAGCAUCGACCAGCUGGUCUACCCGGGGAAGCGGGAAGCUAUCCUUAGGGCAAGACCUGUUUAAAUCCGUGAAAUCUAUACACAUGCGCCAUUUUCCGUUAGACUUCUUAACCAAUACAACAUUUGAGACCCAAUCGGGGUACACCGCCUCCCUAAUAAACCCCGCUGCUAGUAAUCGGUCCACUUCUUGUUCAAUGGCGUCAUAGCGUUCCUGGUUGAAAGCUCGACGUUUUUGCUUGACAGGCCUAUGAUGUGGAUCGACAUUGAGCUUGUGACAGGCGAUAGAAGGCGGGAUACCCGGCAUGUCCGCGUGAGACCAAGCGAACACAUUUAAGUUUUUCCUUAAGAACUCAAUAAGCUGCUCUCGGUGUUAGUCAGAGAGGUUGGAGCCUACCUUGACCAUCUUGGUUGGGUCCUUAUUGCAGAUCAAAACAGACACAAGAUCCUCAGCCGGUGUUCCUCGCUUUUCAUCUUUCGGUACCCGGGGAUCCAGGGGUACAUUGACUUCUCCCAUUGAUGCUGAAUUGGGACUUUGGGGCACCAGUGGUGCCCUGGGAGCUACCACGUCCACUUCCAUUGGCCCAGCUUCAUACGGCGCUUGGGGUACCUGGGAGUUCGUGGACCGUUGAGCUUUCUUACGUGCAACUCUCCGGCGUCUAGCCAGUGCCCGCUUGGAUAGGCUGGUAAAUGAACUUGUGCUGACGGGGUACCCCUCCAGGAACAUAUUGGUGGCGAUUUGGUAGCUUACUUUCGAUGCGAUCGAGUAGCACCCUCGAGCCGAUUGCUGAUCCUCUUUGAUCGUGAUAAUUUCUCCAGCGGUUGGAAUCUUCAUGGCGAGGUAAUGCAUGGAGAUUGCCGCCUUAGUUGUUGCUAAGAAUGGUCUUCCCAAGAUGAUAUUAUAGGCACCUGGGUGAUCCACAAUAAGAAAAUCAAUCAUAUGAACAAUACGGUGAGGUACCUUACCAAGUGUAACGGGCAGCGUAAUGAUGCCCUUUGGGAUAACCAUAUCGCCGGCGAACCCAAUAAGAGGUGUAGCACAUGGGGUGAUCUUUGGCGAUUCAAUCAAUAGUUGAUCCAAGGCGCUUUUGAAAAUGAUAUCAACGGAGCUGCCGGUGUUUACAAGAGUUCUUGCUACCUUACCAGUAGCAACCUUCAACGUUAUUACUAAGGCGUCGUCAUGGGGGUACGAGACAUCUUCAGCAUCUUGCUCUGUGAAAAUGAUAGAUGGGGGAUGGUGGGGUACCCCAGAUACCCUAAGUUGAUUUUGACAAGUGAGGUUCACUUCUUUUCCAGGGCGAUCCAAAAUUGGUGGCUUGCUGUAACGUUUGAUGGCCCGUCUAGAUUCCCCAGCGAGGGUAGGACCCCCUGCUAUCAUUCGAACAUACACGUCUUUCUUAGACCCCUGGGGUAUCUCAGCUUCUGGAUGAGGGUUAGCAACUUGUUUACCAUUAUCUUGCUCCGAGAACUUCAUUGCCUCACGCAUAUCAGCCACAAAUUCCUUGAGAUACCCACUCAGAAUCAAUGACUCAAUUUCUUCCCUCAAGUGAAAGCAUUCGGCGGUGCUAUGGCCGAAAUCUUCAUGAAACUCACAAUACUUCAAGCUACGCUUCAUAUUGGGGUAUUUCCGAAUUAGCUUAGGUGGGCGAAGCAUCCCCGUAUCCCUAAUAUGGUAAAAAAUUUGUUCUGGAGAUUGAUUCAAAUGGUAGAAAGAGUCAUAUCUGGAUUUUUGUGGUGCUUCCCGUUGUUCUGGCGGUAGCGGUGGGCUAUGUACUCGGGGUGCUCGGGAUGGUACCUGAGGUACCCGGGGUACCCGGGGUACACCAGGGAUAUUCAGUCCUCUCCCACGUGGGGUUGGACGAGGUGGGCUGUGUACCCGGGGUGCUCGAGAGGGUACCUGAGGUACCUCGGCUCUCUUGGGUUUCUCCUUGUUUCUCACAACUUCGACUCUGUCUUCCUCUCGCUUUAGGUUACACUUCUCAUCCAUUUCUAUUUGUUGCAGGGCUCGAGAACGAGCUUCCCCAUAUGAAAGAGGGCGGUGUUUUUGAAAUGACCGCCAUAACUUCCCCAAACGCAAAUUCUUUUCAAAAUGAGUGAGAGUAUGUUGGUGACCAAAUGUACCGGUACGCAACACCUCUUGGUGGAAGCGGGUUACGUACUCGGCUAAAGACUCCGAAUCCCCUUGUUUGAUGAAAGCAAGCUUGGAGGAUGUUAUAUCUUGGGCGGAUGCAUAACCAAACUCAUGAACAAAAUCUUUUAGGAGCUGGUCUAGGGAGGAUACACUACCUGCCUUCAACGAUCGAAACCAUGACUUGGCUGGUCCGGUGAGGGUAUGUGGGAACAUCCGGCACAUAGCAUUGUCGUCCACUCCUUUAAUCAUCAUCUGGUCACGAUAUAACUCAGCAUGUUCCACGGGAUCCGAGGUACCCGAGUAUUGUUGUAUUUGAGGCAUGGUGAACGCUUCCGGGAGAACCGCUGUCCGAAUCUCCAUGGUGAAUGGCGAGUUAUGCACUGCUGGCGCUAGAGCAUUGGUGGGGUUUUGUUUUUCAGAAAGGAGCUUCACUUGGGCUUCGAGGUACUCCAUUUUUUCCAGGAACUCGCGGGGUACCCCAGGUGCACCUGAGGAGGCCGUUGUUGUCGUUCAACUUGUACCGGAGAUCUUCAUGGGCUUUUUGUUUGCGUUUGGUACCCUGGCUACUACGGGAAUAACAAGAGGCAGUAGAGCGUUCUUCCCGGGAGCCGGCGGCUUGACACUUUGAACGGGUGCCCGAUGGCCCAUGCUUUGGUCUACUUCCCUCCGGUAUUUCAAAUCUUGGUAUGAUCUGUUUCUCACCUCGUGGAGGCUGGACAUCUUGAGUUACCGGAGAAGUAGCUGCUUCGGGUACCCGAGAUCCUACUGCUCUGAGAAUCGCAUGAGCUAAAUCCUCAGUGUUUAUGAGUGACGGGCUCCUCGUCAGGUUGAAUACCAGCUGAUUGCUUAACUGAUUUGCCUUUCUCUAGGCGGGAUGCCCUUCUUGUCGAGUCACCCCUCUCAUCACCGCCGUGGUCCUCUGCUCCAUCAUGACCUAGCAUUUGGUUAUCAGCGGGUACGUCAGGUGCCAUGGUUUUGUAAGCACACGUACCGACAAGCUUAGCACCGUGUGGAGGCUUUUUGCGCGCUCCCCACAGACGGCGCUAAUUGUUUGUGGCUGAUUUUGGGUCAAUGAAUAAAAAACCACAAAACCAACCCAAGAGCAAUAAAUUUAUAUUUUGUCGGGGAGCGGGGUACCUCGCUUAUUCGGCACGUACGGGCUAUUUAGGCUUUUUGUGGAGUGAAGGAGGAUUGAGCCGACGGUGGUUAUGGAGGGGAUCUGACUUCAGGUGCGGAGGGCUGGUGCAACUCGCCUUAAACCUGCGAAACAACCAAAAAAGAGGUCAGAGAUGGAGCCGGGGGUGGCCGGCGACCACACUCCGACGCUCAAGUCAGAGUUGGGUUAUCUUAGGUUAGAGAGCUUGCAAGCUCUCGGUAAUAGAGGUUUUGAGGUUGAAGAAACCCUAGUUUUUUCUGGUGAGUGUGUUUCCUCCCUUGAUAAAAAUCAAACCUGAGUAUUUAUAUGGUGUACCCCAGUCGCCGUGCCACCUGGCGCUAUUUUAGUGGCGUUCCCUGUUGUCAUGUCAGGAAUAUUCUUAUUUUUAUGCGUAAGGUGGCUUAGACGUUUCAAAAAUAUCAGUGGAGAGCAAGUUUGUGGCGUAUUCACGUGCUGGGCGUAGUGGAGUGGUCCCGCGUACCUCUGCAAUUCCGUUGUAAUUUUGUAGGUGUAGCAGGAAAAGCUGGUGGUCCCAACUGUCACAAUAUCACACUUUUGGCGGAUUCGCUGGCGUGACAGGCGGCAGUCUUCUCUUUUGCGGCACAAGAUUUCCUUAUUUUUCGACACGUAUCAAACCGAUCUUUUUUAGAUUCAGGGCCCACAUAUCCCUUCACAUAUUUACUAAGAUUUUUAUAUCCUUUCAUGGUGUACCCGAGGUACCCCCGAAGUCCUUAGAGUAGCCGGGGUACCUAGAGUACCCGAGGUACCCGAGACAAAUUAAUCUCUUAAAUAUCGACACGUGGCGCUUCAUCAUUGGUCUCAUAUUUCCUUCCCAAACAACCACCUUGUUGCUAAAUGGACUCGCCCAUCCCCCGUGGAGCUUCACUUCAGCCAUGUGUCUGAGAUCGAAUUUGAAUAUGUUUGUGGUUGUUUUGCUUAGCUGAUGAGUUAUUGCAUACGUACAUCUGAGUUUGAGCAGGGAGCUUCAUAUUUCCAAUUUAUUUAAUAAAAUGAUUAAAUUAAGUUGAAUUCAAUGAGCUAAUGCUGCGACUUUUUAACAAUUCUGUUAUAUAUUGAUGAGCAUAAUUUAUAUACAUAUUUUACCCUUAAUUAUAUAAUUACUAAUUAUUUUUAUUUGUUAUUUUUAAUUAAUUAAAUUAUUUUAUUGAAUAGGGGAUUAAUUGAAGAUUAUGGAUAAAAAAGGAUAUAAGGGAGCUCAAUUUUGGAAGCGUUAAUUAAUUGAUUUUAGAAGCAAUUAGACAUACAUGCAUGUGGAAGUGAAGCCGAGGAAACCGAAGCUAGUAAAUUAAUUGAUCUAGCACAUGAAGAAGAAUUUAAGCAUAACAUUGGCUUUAGCUUAGUUAAGUUACACGUGCAUGGCUUUGUAAUAUUUGGAAAGCAAUUUAAAUGGGACCCGCACUUGGCUUUCAUAAUUGGAAAAGGAAUCCUAAAGCAAUUCCAAAGGUGGUCACGUGUGAGAGCUAAAGGAAAUAAAAGGGCAAGCCUUUUGGUUUUAGGAUUUAAGAGAUGGGGCCCAUUUCAAAGAUUAUAAAAGGGAGUUUUGGCUUUUGGAGAAGGAGGCGGCCAGAGGACAGAAACAAAAGGCUGGAAGAGAGCAAUCGGCAGCAGCAAUAUUUCGGCUUCCCCAUGGCUGAAUUUAUUUAUUUUGUUGCUCCCAAUUCAAGUAUGUCUAGCUAAUUUUCUUAUACUGAGGUUAAGGAUGAAACCCUAUUCAAUGAAAUAAUUAUCUUUUUAUUUAAUUAAUUCCCUAUAUAUGUUCUUUGAUGAUUAUGGUUUUUAUUUCACAUGAUUAAUUGGAUGUUAAUAAAAUCUUUUCAUCAAUUCUGGCGUGCAUUAUUGAUUGUUAUGAUUAAUAUUCGAUUAAUUCUAUGCUUGGAUCUAUAAAGUUUAUACAUGAUUAUCUUUGAUUGUAUGUCUUUCAUUAAAUUGUUUAAAUGGAGUGCUUAGGAAACUUUGACUCUUUGUUAUUCAAUAUGUUUACAUGGGAUGCUUAGAUGUCAUAUUAUUAAGCAGAAAAAGAACCUACAUAAGAUUAAUUUUAUUUGGGCUUAAUUGUUAUAUCCAUGAGAUGACAUAGAUUGAUUUCGAGUUGUCACUCUAAAAUUGAGGAUUAAUUAAUAAUUAGAUAAUUACUAGUUGAAUAGUGGUGGAUUCUGAAACCUUGGUAAUUCUUAUCUCAUUAAAUUCUCCUUUAUUUUAAUUUCCUUAGUUUAAUUGGUUUAAUUUUCUUAAAAAUUCAAUUUGCUCAACUAGGUUAGAAUUAAUAUUAAAUUUUAGAUUUAAAUUAGACUUUUUAAUUUAUAACAAUCCCUGUGGGAUCGACCUCGUUACCACUAUUCUAUUUCUAGAUUCGUGCGCUUGCGAGUAUAUUAAAAUUUUCACAACAAGUUUUUGGCGCCGUUGCCGGGGAUUGUGCUAGAAAGUCAGUUUAAUCUAGGUUGAUUUGAUUCUUCCACUAGUUAUAAUUUAGGUUGUCUUUUAUUUUUUUUAAUUAAAAAAAAAAACAACAACACAAAAAAAAAAACUUUUAUUUGUCUUUAAAUUCAUUGUUUAGUUGUUUGAUUUCUUUUAUUUUUAAAUUUCGUUUAUUCUCAUUUUUGUUGGUUUAUUUUAUUUUAUUUUUUUUUCUUUCCUUGUCUAGUUAGUUUAUGAGUGUUUGGGAACGUGAUUCAACAAAUCGUUUGGUUAAAAGAGAGUCGAAAAUUGAUAGUAGUCAAGCUAGUUCUUUAGAAGUGAUGGAUGACCCAAAUAGAUUAUUACCAAUACUUCCACCAGUGCAAGCAGAGAAAACCCUUAGAGAAUACUUUUCACCACUUGCAGCCAACCAACCAUCUUGUAUUGUGUUGCCACAAACUACAGCAACACACUUUGAACUUAAGCCCUCAGUCAUUCAACUUUUACCAUCUUUCCAUGGGUUAGAGAGAGAGGAUCCAUAUUUGCACAUUAAGGAAUUUCUUGACAUAUGCUCUACAUUUCGUUUUCAAAAUUUUAACGAUGAGUCAAUUAGGAUUCGUAUGUUCCCUUUCUCAUUAAAAGACAAAGCAAAAGCUUGGUUGAAUUCACUUCCUGCUGGGUCUAUUAGUACAUGGGAUGAAUUGAGUAAUAAGUUUCUCACCAAGUUUUUCCCUAUGUCUAAAACAAAUGCCCUUAGGAGAGAGAUAAGUGAUUUUUAUCAAAGAGAGAGUGAGCAAUUUUACGAGUGUUGGGAAAGAUUCAAUGAUUUACUCCUCAAGUGUCCCCACCAUGGUUUUGAAAAAUGGAGACUUAUACAAUGCUUUUAUAAUGGCUUAACCAUGUCAAAUCGUCAUAUGGUAGAGUCUAUGAAUGGUGGGAGAUUUUUGAACUUACAUGAAGGGGCAGCAUGGGAUUUCUUUAAUUCACUUUCUGAAAAUUCUCAACAGUGGGAUUUUUCAAAUCAAAGGGAAAAAUCAUCUCAAGUUUCUAGAAAGGGGCUAUAUGAAGUUAAGGAUGAUUUAGAUAUGAAAUCCACUCUAGCUACACUUUCUAGGAAAGUAGAUGCCUUAGUUAUGAACCAAUCCAUAAAUCAUCAUCCCAGUGUAGCUAAUGAGGUUUGUGCUAUUUGUUCUAACUUGUCUCAUACAGCACAAAAUUGUCCAUCAUUACCAGUCUAUCCAGAUGCUUAUUCUGAGCAGGUACAUGCCUUACAAUCAUAUGAGAAAACCUCCAAUAGUCCAUAUUCAUCCACAUAUAAUCCUAAUUGGAGGAAUCACCCUAAUUUUUCUUGGAAACAAAAUCAACCUUUGUCAAACCAAGGAGGGCAACAAUUUAACAUGCCCAACCAACAAUUUGUCCCUCCUAACCAAGUAUAUCCUCAUGCCCAACAACCUAUGUCUCAAUUUGUUGCACCCCAACAAAGAAAGCCUUCUUUAGAGGAUACACUUCAAAGUUUCAUUCAGUCAACCCAACAAGCUUUUCAAUCAAAUACUCAAGCUAUUCUGAAGCUUGAACAUCAAUUGGGUCAAUUAGCAACUACUGUAGCGGAGAGAGAAAAAGGAAAAUUCCCAAGUCAACCAAUUCCCAAUCCUAAAGGAGUGCAUGAAGUUGGAUCGAGUUCAAGCCAUCUGCAUGAAGAAGCAAAAUCUGUUAUGACCUUGAGAAAAGGAAAAUUAUUUGACAACAAAGUGGAGGUUCCAACAAGGAAGAUAUCUGAGCCUACUUCUUCAGAUCCAGUUCCAUCACAAGAGUCGUCAACAAAUGAUCCAGAAGAGAGUGGCCCGCCAGCUUACAUUCCUAAGGCUCCUUUUCCUCAAAGGUUAGCAAAGGUAAAGAAAGGGACUUCAACAGGUGAGAUUAUGGAAAUCUUCAAGCAAGUAAGUAUAAUUAUCCCUUUACUCGAUGCUAUUAAGCAAGUUCCUUCCUAUGCCAAGUUUUUGAAAGAUUUAUGCACUAAAAAGAGAAAUUUGCAUGUCACUAAAAAGGCGUUUUUAACUGAACAAACUAGCAACUUACUCCAAUGUAAAAUGCCACCAAAAUUUAAGGAUCCUGGUUCUCCUACUAUCUCAUGUGUUAUAGGGAACCAAUGUUUUGAUAAAGCAUUAUUGGAUUUGGGUGCUAGUGUUAAUCUCUUGCCUUAUUCUGUUUACAUGCAACUUGGAUUAGGUGAGUUAAAAUCAACUCCUAUUAUUUUGCAACUUGCUGAUAGAUCAAUGAAAAUACCUCGUGGUAUUAUAGAGGAUGUGUUGAUACAGAUUGAUAAAUUUUAUUAUCCUGUUGAUUUUAUUGUUAUUGAUACUCAGCAUGUACAUGAUCCUAAGAAACACACCCUAGUUAUUCUAGGUCGUCCUUUCUUAGCUACAGCUGAUGCUCUUAUUAAUUGCAGGAAUGGAAAUAUGCAGCUAUCUUUUGGUAAUAUGACCAUGGAAUUGAAUAUUUUUAAUGUUACCAAGCAGCCACAAGAAGAAGAUGAAUUUGUUGAAGCAAAUAUGAUAGAGGAAUUAGUAGAAGAUUCAUUCAUUUCUAACCAUACUGAUGAUCCAUUAGAGGCAUGUCUAACUCAUCCUGAUUUAUCUUUUAAUGAUGACAGUGCAAUUGCAGAAGUCAGCGCUUUACUUGAUGCACCUCUAAUUACGGACACAACUAAAUGGAAGGCAAAGUCAGAAUUACUGCCUCAUUCUGAGAAGAAAAUUGGCCCAUCUGCGGAGGCACCACCAAAAUUGGAACUCAAAGCACUGCCCGACACUUUGGAAUAUGCAUUCUUGGGAGAAUCUGACACUCUACCUGUUAUUAUUUCUUCUUCCCUCGAUCUUGAGCAAAAAGGUAAGUUGUUAGGUAUUCUAAAAGAGCAUAAGGAGGCAAUAGGAUGGACCAUCGCUGAUAUUAAAGGUAUUAAUCCAGUAGAUUGCAUGCAUCGUAUUCAUCUUGAAGAAAAUGCCAAACCUAUUAGGGAGAUGCAACGUAGGCUAAAUCCUAACAUGAAAGAAGUGGUAAGAGCUGAAGUAAUCAAAUUAUUAGAUGUAGGAAUUAUUUAUCCUAUUUCAGAUAGCUCUUGGGUUAGCCCUGUGCAAGUUGUUCCUAAGAAAUCUGGUGUUACAGUAGUUACUAAUGCUAAUAAUGAAUUAAUUCCCACUAGAGUAACUACAGGUUGGCGUGUUUGCAUUGAUUAUAGAAAAUUGAAUUCAUUCACAAGAAAAGAUCAUUUUCCUCUUCCAUUUAUUGAUCAAAUGCUUGAUAGACUUGCAGGUCAUGAUUUUUAUUGUUUUCUAGAUGGAUAUUCAGGUUAUAAUCAGAUCCCUAUAGCUCCAGAGGACCAGGAGAAAACUACUUUUACUUGUCCCUUUGGAACUUUUACAUAUAGGAGAAUGCCAUUUGGUUUAUGCAAUGCACCUGCUACCUUUCAAAGAUGCAUGCUUAGUAUUUUUUCUGAUAUGGUUGAGAGAUUUCUUGAAGUAUUCAUGGAUGAUUUUUCUGUUUUUGGAGAUUCUUUUGAUGAAUGUUUGCAGCAUCUAACAUUAGUUUUGCAGCGAUGUAAAGAAAAGAAUUUGGUUCUAAAUUGGGAAAAGUGUCACUUCAUGGUAAAACAAGGUAUUGUUCUUGGUCAUAUAAUUUCCAGCAAAGGUAUAGAAGUCGACAAAGCUAAGCUGGAUUUAAUUUCUAAUCUUCCACAUCCCAAAUCCGUAAAAGAAGUAAGAUCUUUCCUUGGACAUGCUGGUUUUUAUAGAAGAUUCAUUAAAGAUUUUAGUAAAAUUUCUAGACCCUUAUGCAAUUUACUUGUUAAGGAUGUACCUUUUAUCUUUGAUGAAUCUUGUCUUGAUGCUUUUGCAAAGCUUAAGAAAUUAUUGACUUCUUCACCUAUCAUUCAGGCACCUAAUUGGGAUUUGCCUUUUCAAAUUAUGUGUGAUGCAUCUGAUUAUGCAGUAGGAGCAGUUUUAGGACAAAGAUUAGAUCGUGUGCCUUAUGUGAUUUAUUAUGCUAGUAUGACACUCAAUGAUGCACAGUUGAACUAUUCAACUACAGAAAAAGAAAUGCUAGCUGUGGUAUUUGCACUUGAUAAAUUCAGAUCUUAUCUUAUAGGUUGUAAAGUGAUUAUUUUUACUGAUCAUGCUGCUUUAAAAUAUUUGUUUACUAAGAAAGAUGCUAAGGCAAGAUUGAUUCGUUGGGUGUUGCUUUUACAAGAAUUUGACAUUGAAUUUAGAGAUAAAAAAGGUUCUGAAAAUGUUGUGGCGGAUCAUUUAUCUCGCCUUGAUCUUAAAUUUAUUCCAGAAUCUUUACCUUUGAAUGAGUCUUUCCCAGAUGAGCAACUUAUGAGUGUAAAUGUUGUACCAUGGUUUGCUGAUAUAGUUAAUUACCUUGCUACAGGUCAAAUCCCAGAGCACUGGACUAAGCAAGAUAGAACAAAGUUCUUAUCUAAAGCGAAAGACUUCUUUUGGGAUGAUCCCUAUUUAUUUAAAUAUUGUGCUGAUCAGAUUAUUAGGCGAUGUGUUCCCGAUAAUGAAAUUCAAAGUGUUAUCUCAUUUUGCCAUGAACAAGCUUGCGGAGGCCACUUUAGUGCUAAAAAGACAGCAACAAAAAUUUUACAGUGUGGUUUUUAUUGGCCUACUCUUUUUCAUGACGCUUAUGUUUUCUGUUCUUUGUGUGAUAGGUGCCAACGUAUGGGUAGCAUUUCAAAGAGGAACAUGAUGCCACUCAAUCCUAUUCUUGUGGUUGAGAUCUUCGAUGUAUGGGGUAUUGAUUUCAUGGGACCUUUCCCUCCAUCUUUUGGUUAUCAAUAUAUAUUGGUUGCAGUGGACUAUGUGUCGAAGUGGGUUGAAGCUAUUCCAUGCAAAACCAAUGAUCAUAGGGUUGUAGUGAAAUUCUUGAAGAGUAAUAUUCUGUCUCGUUUUGGUUUUCCUAGAACAAUCAUUAGUGAUGGUGGUACCCAUUUUUGUAAUAAACCUUUCAAAACUCUUUUGGACAAAUAUUCCAUUACACAUAAGGUUGCCACCCCAUAUCAUCCUCAAACCAGUGGCCAAGUAGAGAUUUCUAAUAGAGAGAUCAAGCAGAUUCUAGAGAAAACAGUUAGGCCAGAUAGAAAGGAUUGGUCUUUGAGACUUGAUGAUGCAUUGUGGGCAUAUAGAACUGCUUUUAAAACACCAAUUGGGAUGUCACCUUAUCGACUUGUGUAUGGAAAAGCAUGUCAUCUGCCAGUAGAGUUGGAGCAUCGUGCAUAUUGGGCUAUCAAGAAAUUCAAUUUUGACAUGCAGCAAGCUGGGUCCAAGAGAAGAUUACAACUAGCAGAACUUGAAGAGAUCAGGAAUGAUGCAUAUGAGAAUGCCAAGAUUUAUAAACAGCGAAUGAAAGUCUUUCAUGACAAACAUAUUUUGAGAAAAGCCUUUACACCAGGUCAGAAAGUACUUUUAUAUAAUUCCCGAUUGCAUCUCUUUCCAGGUAAGUUACGUUCUCGAUGGUCUGGUCCUUUUAUAGUUCGUACUAUCUUCCCUUAUGGAGCAAUUGAAAUUGAAAAUCCUAAAAAUGGUGAUUUAUUUAAGGUGAAUGGUCAAAGAUUAAAACCAUUUUUAGAAUUAAAAACACCAGAAGUUGAGGAGAUACUUUUAGAUGAUCCUGUUUAUCAGGAUUAAUUAAGUUCAUCUUUACACUCUUGUUUUAUUUUAAUAGUCGGUUUUCUUUUCUUUAUUUAUUUUCUUUUCUAAUAUAUAUAUAUAUUUUAAUGUUUUCUUUUCAUUUGGCAUUUUCUUUUAAGCUUUCCCAGCCCAUCCAGGUGUGUUCUCUCCAACUUUCUUUUUAUUAUUUAUGUUUAUUAUUAUUAUUAUUAUGAUUAUUAUUAUUAUUUCUCUUUCAUUUGUUUGCAUGCAUAUCUUUUGUUUAUGAAACAUUGAGGACAAUGUUCCGAAUAAGUUUGGGGGUGGGAAUAGUGUGUGCUUUGUUUGUUAUUAAAAAAAUAAAAAAUUAAAAAAAAAAUUUCGUGAAAAGCCAAUGAUAAGAACUUGAUUGACAAUGAAUAUAGUUUUUAGAAAGGGUUGAAUAUUGUCUUAGUUUAUACUUGAUUCUUGUGUUAGUUCCUCUUGAUUGAGAUUCUUUAAACCAUGAGCACUAAUAUCAGUUCUUUCAUAAUUUUAACUUGAAAUUUGAGAUUGACGCAGCCUGAGUUGAAAAUUUUAGAUAGAGUAAAUGACUGUUUGUCUUGAUUCUUAUCUCCACAAUACAAAAUAGUAUACACGGGCGCCAAAGUCAGAAAUAGCUACCUAUAACCCUUAAGAGUGAAGCUAUCCUUGAGUAAUUUGGGCCUAUGUACCACAAGUAUGUAGAGGAUAAUCUACCAUGAGAAGAAGGCUACCUUAAGGGGUAGAGUGAAAGCUCCUGACUAUGGUUAAAAAAAAAAAAAAAAAAAAAAAAAAGAGAAAAAGAAAAAAAAAUCAAAUCAAGUGCAUGUGCUGAAAAAAAAAAUCAAAGGAAAGUGCACAUAAAAGCCUGUGAGAGAAAAAAAAAAUUUUGGAGAUCAAGAUGAUAAGAUUAGUUUGACCUACUCUGUUCUUUGUUUGAGGCGAAGGCUGUUGAUGUUGAAGAUUUUGGGAAUGGAUUUGAUUGAAUUGAUUUCACACACACACUACAAGAAUCGAAAGAGAGAUGGGAUUGAUUAUUGAAUUAAAGUUAGAACUUUGCCAAUAUUUGAAAUUUUCUUUGAGCUAUAUAAUUUUUGCAAUCUUUGAGGCUAUUUUGCAUGUUUUAUUUAAAGUUUUUCGUUCUUUUGAUUUAAUUUAAUUUAUUAUUAUUAUUAUUAUUUUUAUUUUUUUUUUUAAAUGAUGUUUGUGGGUAUCAUCACUGAAGCCCUCACGAGACUAUAACUCGUCCACUAGGGCCGCCUAGGGGUUUAAAGGCUUGUUGCAUACGCUAAAUGCAAUCGCGAUUACCUGCGAAAGUGGUUUAGUUCGGAUUUACUUUUUGUUUCAUUAUUUUUAUUUUUUUUUUAUUUUUUUUUUGUUUUAGUUUUGCUCGAGGACUAGCAAAAUCUAAGUUUGGGGGUAUUUGAUGAGCAUAAUUUAUAUACAUAUUUUACCCUUAAUUAUAUAAUUACUAAUUAUUUUUAUUUGUUAUUUUUAAUUAAUUAAAUUAUUUUAUUGAAUAGGGGAUUAAUUGAAGAUUAUGGAUAAAAAAGGAUAUAAGGGAGCUCAAUUUUGGAAGCGUUAAUUAAUUGAUUUUAGAAGCAAUUAGACAUACAUGCAUGUGGAAGUGAAGCCGAGGAAACCGAAGCUAGUAAAUUAAUUGAUCUAGCACAUGAAGAAGAAUUUAAGCAUAACAUUGGCUUUAGCUUAGUUAAGUUACACGUGCAUGGCUUUGUAAUAUUUGGAAAGCAAUUUAAAUGGGACCCGCACUUGGCUUUCAUAAUUGGAAAAGGAAUCCUAAAGCAAUUCCAAAGGUGGUCACGUGUGAGAGCUAAAGGAAAUAAAAGGGCAAGCCUUUUGGUUUUAGGAUUUAAGAGAUGAGGCCCAUUUCAAAGAUUAUAAAAGGGAGUUUUGGCUUUUGGAGAAGGAGGCGGCCAGAGGACAGAAACAAAAGGCUGGAAGAGAGCAAUCGGCAGCAGCAAUAUUUCGGCUUCCCCAUGGCUGAAUUUAUUUAUUUUGUUGCUCCCAAUUCAAGUAUGUCUAGCUAAUUUUCUUAUACUGAGGUUAAGGAUGAAACCCUAUUCAAUGAAAUAAUUAUCUUUUUAUUUAAUUAAUUCCCUAUAUAUGUUCUUUGAUGAUUAUGGUUUUUAUUUCACAUGAUUAAUUGGAUGUUAAUAAAAUCUUUUCAUCAAUUCUGGCGUGCAUUAUUGAUUGUUAGGAUUAAUAUUCGAUUAAUUCUAUGCUUGGAUCUAUAAAGUUUAUACAUGAUUAUCUUUGAUUUUAUGUCUUUCAUUAAAUUGUUUACAUGGAGUGCUUAGGAAACUUUGACUCUUUGUUAUUCAAUAUGUUUACAUGGGAUGCUUAGAUGUCAUAUUAUUAAGCAGAAAAAGAACCUAUAUAAGAUUAAUUUUAUUUGGGCUUAAUUGUUAUAUCCAUGAGAUGACAUAGAUUGAUUUCGAGUUGUCACUCUAAAAUUGAGGAUUAAUUAAUAAUUAGAUAAUUACUAGUUGAAUAGUGGUGGAUUCUGAAACCUUGGUAAUUCUUAUCUCAUUAAAUUCUCCUUUAUUUUAAUUUCCUUAGUUUAAUUGGUUUAAUUUUCUUAAAAAUUCAAUUUGCUCAACUAGGUUAGAAUUAAUAUUAAUUUUAGAUUUAAAUUAGACUUUUUAAUUUAUAACAAUCCCUGUGGGAUCGACCUCGUUACCACUAUUCUAUUUCUAGAUUCGUGCGCUUGCGAGUAUAUUAAAAUUUUCACAACAUAUAUUCAACGAGAAGAGGUAUCGUAUUUGACGGGAAUCUCUUGAAACAGUGCUGAAUUAACAAGUAAUCUUAUUUAAUUUGGUCAACUGGUCAGAUAUGGAUUAAUUAUAUAUUUGGCGUUUGUGCUUUUGACUUUACGAUGGGGUGGAGUCGUGGGGAUAUCAUCAUCCCAACUGAAGACAUAUUAUGAUAUUCUCCUGAAAACCUUGUGAGACUCAUUUACUCUACAAUUUUAGCAUUUUAGGCCCAAUAACUCCAUAUAAAUGACGUUUUGUUCCCUGGCUCCACCUCUUCUAUAUAAAUCCGAACACCUGAAAAAUGACGAGACGGGAACAACUCUCCGUCUUAAGUCUAUGUAAAUUUUACACACAAGAGAAAGAGAGGGAGAGGGGUGGCCAUGAGAGACAACGAUACAGAAAAGAAUAUGGAAAAGAGUUUAUUAAUACCAAAAGAGAGUUUAUCAUCAACAUCCACAACAUGGGAUUUGUUGAGUGGAGAACUGAAAAAGCAGGGUUACAUAGCAGCACCAAUGGUGGCAGUAACUUUAUCACAGUAUUUGCUUCAAGUUGUUUCCAUGAUGAUGGUUGGUCAUCUUGGUCAACUUGCUCUUUCUAGCACCGCCAUGGCCAUCUCUCUAGCUAGCGUCACCGGCUUCAGCGUCCUUGUGAGUCCUACAAUCCAUAUAUAGUUAUAUACACAAGAUUGUUUAUUCUUUCUUUUGAUAGGUAUUUGCAUCAUUGCAUGUGGGAUUUAAACAAAUAGAUAUGCCAAAUUUCUGAUGUUAAAAAACAUGCAAUUAACUAAUACCCUGUUUGUAAAAAUGCCAUUAAUUUUUAAAGGACUUGAUUUGCUCUUUUUUUUAAAAAAAAAAAAUUCUACAGCUAACUUGAAUUGUGUAAUAGUUUCUUUGAAACAGUUAGGAAUGGCGAGUGCUCUGGAAACAUUAUGUGGGCAAGCAUAUGGAGCUCAGCAAUAUCAAAGAAUUGGAACUCAAAUUUACACUGCAAUAUUUUGUUUAUUCUUAGCAUGUUUUCCGCUUUCCUUUCUAGGGAUUUACAUGGGAAGGCUGCUAGUUUUGGUAGGCCAAGACCCCCAGAUUUCACACGAAGUAGGCAAGUUUAUAAUCUGGCUUCUUCCAGCUCUGUUUGCUUAUGCAGCAAUGCAAGCGCUUAUUCGAUAUUUUCAGUCUCAAAGUUUGAUCAUUCCCAUGUUCUUAAGCUCCUAUGCCGCUCUUUGUUUGCAUAUUCCCAGCUGUUGGGCUUUGGUAUUCAAGUCUGGACUGGGAAACCUUGGAGGAGCAUUGGCAAUUGGUAUAUCGUAUUGGUUGAAUGUAACUUUCUUGGCAAUUUACAUGAAGUUCUCCACUGCUUGUGCAGAAUCCAGGGCUCCAAUUUCAAUGGAGUUAUUCCGAGGAAUUGGAGAGUUCUUCCACUUUGCUAUCCCUUCUGCAGUAAUGGUUUGGUAUGUUAAUUAUCUUCUGGAGUUUCAUUUUCCCUUCUCAUAGAUAUCGUAGACACGUCAUAAAUUUUCAUGCAUCUUCUUUCGUUUAUAAUUUUGCAACCUAGAAUGGUGGUCAUUUGAAUUGCUCAUUUUAAUGUCAGGGCUGUUGCCUAACCCACAGCUUGAAACUUCAGUCCUAUCUGUAUGGUAUGUUAACAUAGACUUUGUAUGUGAAAGUUCUAUGCAGAGAAGCACCUACCAAAGGAAAUAGAUUUUUUUUUCUUUUUUUCUUUUUUUUCCCGACUGCUCAUUAUUUGUCAACUUCUUUGGGCAGUCUCAGUACUAUUCAAACCCUCUCUGCAAUCCCAUAUGGACUUGGUGCUGCAGUGAGGUUUGUUCAUAACAAUCAUUUAAAUAAUAAUUGUUUUAUAUCUGUUACAAAAUCAUUGUAAUCCAUCUCCUAUAAUUCCUCUUCUCUGUAUAUUUUAGUUCUAUUUGUAUACGUUACUAGUUGUACACGAUAGACUAGAAUAUUUUGUAAUCCUAGAUUAGAAGUCUGCACUAUUUAACUCCCACGAGUUGGAAUAAAAGAAUUGAGCUGAGUAUUUCCUUUGAAUCUUAUUUCCUCUGUACCAUUGUUUUCUACUUGGUAUCAGAGCUUUGCUCUUAUUAUCGUAUCCGAAUUCUCAUCUGUUCUUUGUACCAUGGCCGAAAGUAAAUCUGAAUCGUCUACACCAAUCAUACAUGUUCAAUAUGAAAACUCAGGCCUCAAAGCUGGUGUUACUCUUACUGAAACUAACUAUGAUGUGUGGUCCCAAAUCAUGGAGAUGCACAUUGCAGGACGUGAAAAACUUGAAUAUAUUAUGGGUGAAACAGAUCAACCAUUGGAGACUGAUGCUUUCUAUACAAAGUGGUAUGCAGAAAAUCAAAAAGUCAAGGGAUGGUUACUGACAUCCAUGUCACCUGAAAUCAUGAAACGUUAUCUCAGAUUACGCACCGCAAGGGAAAUAUGGAAUGCUUUGGCUAAAGCUUUCUACGAUGGGUCAGAUGAAUCACAAAUCUUUGCACUAAAUCAACGAGCUUUCUCUACUAAACAGGUUGGACGUCCCCUAUCAACAUAUUAUGGUGAUCUUGUAGAGAUUUUUCAAGAGCUAGAUUAUCGUGAUAAGGUCAUAAUGAAAGACCCCGAUGAUGUCACUGCAUAUAAAAAAUCAGUUGAACGCUUGAGAGUGUACAUCUUCCUUAAUGGACUAGAUGCAGAAUUUGAACAACUCAGAGGAGAGAUCCUCAGGAAGGAUCCGGCACUAGACUUUGAAGAAACAUAUGCAUAUGUGCGGCGUGAUGCUAUGCGGAGGACAACAGUAAAUGAAGAACUUGAUCAUCAUGAGUCAUCUACCCUGAUAGCUCGUCGAAACAAACAGGGGCGUAAUAACCAACAACUAAAUUCUAGCUCUUCAAAACAGAUUAUUGAUCAACAUCAAUCAUCUGAAACGCAAAAUCGUAGCUAUGAAAUUGGAACGUCAAAAUUAGAGCGUCUGUGCACGUAUUGUGGUGGAACUAGACAUACCAAGUCAAGGUGUUAUGAACUGAUUGGGUAUCCGGAAUGGUGGGAUCCUACUAAAGCACCCAAACGGAACUCAAAGACAAAAAAUCAAGCUUCUCCUGCUGUGGUUAAAUCUUCGAACAACCCUGAGGAAUCUUCAUCUUUAAUUGCUACUUCAGGUAAUAUUGGUAAGACUCUUAAUACCUCUACACCUGAUAGUAAUAGUGCUUGGAUAAUUGAUUCAGGUGUUACGGAUCACAUGACUUUUGACACUGAUCAUAUUUUGUCUAUGAAAUCAUCCAAACAAACUGUAGUAUCCACAACCAAUGGUACUCCCUCUCCUGUCAUGGGAGAAGGUUCAAUUACUCUUACAAAAAAUUUGAAUUUGGAAUCAGUUCUUGUUGUUCCCUCUCUUAACUAUAACCUAUUAUUUGUUGCUCAAAUAACACGUGUUUUGCAUUGUAUUGUGAUUUUUUGGCCUAACCUUUGUGUUUUUAAGGACAUCCGAACUCGAAGGACAAUUGGUUAUGGUACUAGAAAGGGGAAGCUCUAUUAUCUUGAUUUGACUACAGCAAGUUCAGAUCAAUUAUCUCAAGCAUUCACAACUGAAAGAUCGGGCAAAGCACAAAGUUCUGAAAUUUGGUUGUGGCAUAGGCGAUUAGGCCAUGCUUCUUUUGGAUAUUUAAAAAAAUUAUUUCCAAAGUUGUUCUCCCAUUUGGCUAAUUCAAAUUUUAAGUGUGAUAUUUGUGAAAUGGCUAAGAGUCACCGUGUCUCUUUUCCACCUAGUAUGAAUAAAAGUCCAGCACCUUUUAUGAUUGUUCAUUCAGAUGUAUGGGGUCCUGCAAAUGUUUCCUCUUUAAAUGGUGCACGCUGGUUUGUUUCAUUUAUUGAUGAUCACACACGUAUGACUUGGGUUUGUUUGAUGAAGUCAAAAAAUGAAGUUAGUUCUUUGUUCCAGAAUUUUCACAAGAUGAUAGCAACUCAAUAUCAAUCUCACAUAUAGGUUCUCCGCACUGAUAAUAGUGGAGAAUUUGUUAAUCACGAUUUGAAACAGUACCUCACUUUACAUGGCAUUGCUCAUCAGACAACUUGCUCGUAUUCUCCUCAACAAAAUGGGCUUGCGGAGCGCAAGAAUCGUCAUCUUCUUGAAGUCGUACGUGCAUCAUUAUUCGGUGCCCACAUGCCUAAGAGUUAUUGGGGUGAAGCUGUUACAGUUGCAGCCUACCUCAUUAAUCGUGUUCCGUCAAGUUCAUUACAAUUUCAGACUCCUCUCCAUGUACUUCAUGAGACUAUAAGUGUUCCCACCAUGCCGAAUCAGCAACCUAGAGUAUUUGGGUGUGUAGCCUUUGUACAUCUUCACAAAUCCUUGAGAAAUAAACUAGAACCUCGAGCUGUUCGGUGUGUAUUUGUCGGCUAUGGUUUGUAUCAAAAAGGCUAUAGAUGUUAUCACCCUCCAUCUCGUAAAACGUAUACUACACUUGAUGUUACAUUUCAUGAGGAUGAAAUGUAUUAUUCUAUCCCUGAGACUUCAUUUCAAGGGGAGAAUAGAGUUGAAUUGCAGACUCCAGAUUUUUUAGAAGAUUUUACAAGCAAUAGCUAUCGGGAGAAUUGGGAAACUCAAAAUGGAGUAGCUGAUCACACUUUAGAUGGUGAAAAUCCAAUGGAAGUAGUAACGCCAGCCUCUACAUCACCCGAAGUAACGACUUCCUCUCCUCAAUCUGUACCAUUUAACCAAUUGUCUCUCCAACCCGAAUCAAUCUCUGAAACUCAGGUACACUUUGAGCCUCAGCCCCAUUUAAAAGUGUUGCCUGAUCGAGUUACUAGAGGAAUACCUCGACUAAAUUAUGAACCUACUCUUAGCUCUAAAACUAAAUAUCUUAUGAGUAAUUUCGUGUCUUAUCAUAGGUUGUCAAAGGAAUGUGAAUCUUUUGUGAAUCAAUUAUCUGUACUAUCUAUUCCUAACAGUGUGCAGGAGGCUUUGAAAGAUCCUAAGUGGAAGGAAGCAAUGAAUGAAGAAAUGAACUCUCUCCAAAAGAAUUCUACAUGGGAGGUCGUUGAUUUACCCGAAGGAAAGAAACCUGUAGGAUGUAGAUGGGUCUUCACUAUUAAAUACAAAGCUGAUGGAAUUGUUGAAAGGUUUAAGGCCAAGCUUGUCGCCAAAGGGUAUACUCAAACUUAUGGGGUCGAUUACAUGGAAACAUUUGCUCCAGUUGCAAAAAUCAACACUGUUCGUGUUCUAUUAUCUCUAGCCGUGAAUCUUGACUGGCCACUGCACCAAUUUGAUGUAAAAAAUGCAUUUUUGCAUGGAGACCUCCAAGAAGAAGUAUAUAUGGAAUCGCCUCCAGGAUGUAAAAUGCAAGUUGAAGGAAGUAAACAGGUUUGCAAAUUGCGAAAAUCUCUGUACGGCCUAAAACAAUCUCCUAGAGCAUGGUUUGGAAGAUUUACUAGCUCUAUGAAGGCUUUUGGAUAUCAACAAAGUAAUUCAGAUCAUACCCUCUUCUUGAAAUAUAAUAGAGAAAAAAUCAUUGUUCUUAUCGUAUAUGUUGAUGAUAUGAUAGUAACAGGAAAUGAUCCGGAAGAAAAGGCUGCACUACAAGAUCAUCUUGCUCAAGAAUUUGAGAUGAAAGAUUUGGGUUCGCUGAAGUAUUUCCUAGGAAUUGAAGUGUCAAGAUCAAAGAAAGGCAUUUUCUUAUCUCAGCGAAAAUAUGCCUUAGAUUUAUUAAAUGAAACUGGGAUGUCCGCUUGCAGUCCAAUUAGCACUCCUAUGGAAGAAAAUUUGAAGCUAAGCACAGAUCCAAAUCAAGUUCCAGCUAACAAGGAACGAUAUCAGAGAUUAGUAGGCCGACUAAUGUAUCUUGGGCACACCCGACCAGACUUAGCGUAUGCAUUAAGUGUGGUCAGCCAAUUCAUGCAUUCUCCAAAGGAAGAACAUAUGAAUGUUGUUAUUCGCAUUUUACUGUACUUAAAAUCAUCUCCUGGAAAGGGUAUUGUGUUUACAAAAGGCGAUAACUUGGAUAUUAAAGGGUAUACGGAUGCUGAUUGGGCUGGAUCAAUUGAUGACAGGCGUUCUACAUCUGGUUAUUUCACAUUUGUGGGUGGAAAUCUAGUUACAUGGCGAAGCAAGAAACAAGAUGUUGUAGCUAGGUCGAGUGCUGAGGCUGAAUACAGAGGGAUGGCCAAAGGAAUAUGUGAAUUACUAUGGAUCAAUAAUUUAAUGCAAGAUUUACGUAUUCAACAAGUCAGUCCCAUGAAGUUAUAUUGUGAUAAUAAAGCAGCCUGUGAUAUUGCACAUAAUCCAGUUCAACAUGAUCGAACUAAGCAUGUUGAAGUUGAUAGACACUUCAUCAAGGAAAAGCUGGAAGCAAAAAUCAUCGAGAUUCCUCAUGUCCGGUCGAAAGAUCAACUCGCGGAUGUGCUAACCAAGGCGGUAUCCAUCCAAGCCUUUAAUAAGUGUCUCAACAAGUUGGGCAUGUGCGAUAUAUAUGCACCAACUUGAGGGGGAGUGUUACGAAAUCAUUGUAAUCCAUCUCCUAUAAUUCCUAUUCUCUGUAUAUUUUAGUUCUAUUUGUAUACGUUACUAGCUAUACACGAUAGACUAGAAUAUUUUGUAAUCCUAGAUUAGAAGUCUGCACUAUUUAACUCCCACGAGUUGGAAUAAAAGAAUUGAGCUGAGUAUUUCCUUUGAAUCUUAUUUCCUCUGUACCAUUGUUUUCUACUAUAUCAACUAAUUAGCAGAUUAACCAUUAUUUCCUUCUAUAGUACUAGAGUUUCAAAUGAACUAGGAGCUGGGAAUGUGCAAAGAGCCCGUGUAGCUGUCUAUGCUGUGGUCUUUAUGGCAGUCAUGGAGACUAUCAUAGUAAGUGCAUCUCUCUUUGCCAGCCGGCGUGUUUUUGGUUAUGUUUUCAGCAAUGAGGGACAAGUUGUGGAUUAUGUCACAACCAUGGCUCCUCUAGUUUGUUUGUCUGUCAUCAUUGAUAGCUUACAAGGAGUCUUUUCAGGUUAAAUUAACUUCUUCAACUCUGUCAAUUGCUAAAUAGUUCUCUUUAAGUAGAAAUAAAAUUUUUCAGGUUUCUAAAUUCUUUUUAUUAUUUUUAAGGUGUUGCAAGAGGAUGUGGGUGGCAGAAUAUAGCUGCUUUUGUGAAUCUUGGGGCUUAUUAUUUUUGUGGAGUCCCAACUGCUGCCAUUUUGGGUUUCUGGUUAAAGUUUAGAGGAAGGGGCCUAUGGAUUGGGAUACAAGCUGGUGCUUUUACACAAACACUUCUGCUUGGCAUCAUAACAACAUUUACAGAUUGGGAAAAACAGGUCUGUUUCUCAACAUUUAAUCCCUUAAAAAUGAGAGAAGCUUAUUGGACUAUAUAUGUAAAUAUGUAGCAAUUUUUUUUCCCAAUAAGUAUAUGAUGCCUUAUGACUGAAAGUUCAAGAUUAAAAUCACUCAGCUUGAUCUGAAAUGGUUAGUAUUAUCAUCUUAUGCAGAAAUGGUUUUGCUCAUUGAGAAAAUGAUAUUCAAUAACACAAAUGCAAACUCAUUUGAAAAUUUUGCCAUUGAGAAAAUGAUAUUCAAUAACAGACAUGCAAACUCAUUUGAAAAUUUGCUUUUUUGCAAGAAUUAUAACCAUUUUCUAGUUUGUUAAUUGUUACGUCUUCUGUGUUUCUAAGGGGUUUCUCAUGUUGCAGGCAAGUAAAGCAAGGAAAAGAUUAUCAAAGGGAAGAUCUUUAGAAGAAAAUAGAAUAGUUUGUGAGUGAGCAGAGUCAAUCAAUGAGCUGAUAUAUACAUUUUCCAGUUGAAAGAGAUAAUCAUUGCUUGAGAAAAUGAGCUGAUCAUAUGUCAAUCGAUGGCCAAGAAGGUUCCCCAAUCUGAUCUACGGAGCAUGGCAUUUCAUAAAACUCUGUUUCUAGAGAAAAAAAAAAAAAUUAACAGCUUCUUAGGAUUGGAGCAUCAGGUGACUUAGCAUUUCCAGUAUGAAUGAAUUAUAAGAUAGAUGAUGCUGCAAAAAUGAAUAGAGAUAAAAUUAAGCAAGAGAAAAUGUUUGAAUGUUAUUAUUGAAACCUUUUCCAGUGAUUGUAGAGAUAAUUUUCUUUGUAUUGAAACUUUCAGCAUCUGAAAGAUAAGGAAAAUAUUAAAAGAAAAAAGAAAAUUCUUAAAUCUUUUCCAUGUCACUCCAGCAAAGUUGAAUUGUGAUUCUAAACCCUACACCAAAGUGUAAGGUGGCCUGUGGCCUAUAGGUAAUACACAAUUUGACAACCCCAUAUAUUUAGUAAUCUAGGUGGAUGCCAUUAAUUUUUUUUUUUUAAAUUUUUGUUCAUUUUUAAUGCAAACAACGCCUCUUUCAUUGAGGCAUUGGAAUAUAUAAAGAUUUGUAUACUGAUUUUGGACCAUAAUUCACAAAUAAUGCGACGCAUAUCUUUCUUUCAGUACUUCUUCAGGAGGAUAAGAUACAGACAUUGUUGUCUUUUUACCUGAAGCAAGUGCAUGUGCAUGAAUUGUUGUUGUCUGUUAAUCUGCUGCCACUUUGCUGCCAAAAAACUUGAAAAAUAAACCAGGAAAAUUUUCAAUAAGCAAAGCCAAAACUUUUAAACACUCAAAUAAAGCACAUAAGUAAAGUAUUUCUGUCACAUUAGCUUUCGAGUGAGGUUUGAUUUACAUUUAUAUCAUAUAUACCAAGUGUUUUUUAUUCUUUUAAUUAAUUUAUAUCACAGCUUGGAAAUUCUAAAAAUUAAUCAUGCUUAAUCUUGAGCAACAAUAUCUGUAAUCAUCAUACGAGGUCAAAAGUGAGGAAAAAAAAGGAAAAGAAAAAGCAAGAGUUAGUUUUAUGUAUAAAAGUGAAAGGAUCUGUUAUACAGUAUUUCUGUUGCAUGGUUUUCGGAGGCAUAGCAUUGUCCACAGCAUUUGGGCUUUGCUUCUGAUUCAAUGGCAUUUAGAAUUUGGUUUCAUCUGAGAUCAUAUAUAGCUUGAUCCUGAUAUCUUCCAUUUUGGAGGCAUUCAGUUAAAUUGAAGAAGUUUGAUGUUCCAGUUCAAAUUGGGAUUGCUGAAGAUAAUAUAUAUAAUUCUGUAGAGGUUUUCUAAUUUUUAUUUUUAGUAAUGUAUUCAUGUCCUGUCAUUCUUCUUUCUGCUUAAAUCCAAUUGCCCAUGUUGGAAUUUCUUUUCAGCUUUUGUAUUCUUUUUCCUUUUUGUUCAAUAAUGCUAUAGACGAUGCUCUACCAUUUAAAAGAUAUAAAUAACAAAUUUUAUAAAUUUUUACUUCGUCAAGGUGUGAAACCUUAUAAAAUUUAUAAAUUUAACUUAUGAACAGAGAAGCAUAAAAAAAAUGUUUGGAGUUGCUUAAUACCAUAGAAACAAAAGCAGAAAGAGAUGUUCAAGAACAAAACCCAAAAAUUUUCAUCAAGUGGAGCAUCGAUCAUGCCAGCAUAAUAACAUAAUUACAUAAUGCUCGAAGAGCACGCAUGACUUUCUCAAAAAAUAAUAUCACUUAAAUGAUCAAAAAACAGAAAUAAUUAAUUGAUUAUCCAUAUAUAUAAACAAGCCUAGCUCUCAAUGUGAAAUAUAUUAAAUCAGCAACUAUAAGAUUUUCGGUGAUGAUAUUUCCACCCCAUAAAUUUUAUAAACCCACCCAUUUUUUUAAAAAAAAAUUAUUAUAAUAAGUUCACAUCAUUUUUUUUAAAUUUAAAUUAAGAAGAAAUUAAAAAAUUAAUCAAUUAAAUCUAUAUUCAUUUCUUUUUUUUUUAAUUAUGUUUCUUUAUUAAAUUUCAUCAAUAAGGUUGCUUUAACAUAAAUUAAUAUGACUAUUUUACCCUUAUAAGGUAAAAGUACCAAAAUAUCUAAAAAUUCACUUUAACUUUAAUAAAAUUUUAUGCAAUUUUUUUUAAUAUUUUAAUGAUAUAUAAGUAAUUGUUAGUACAAUUAUUAUUUCUCCACUAAACUAACAAAAUAUAAUUAGGACAUGUGGUGGAAUGAAAAUAAUUAAAUUUUAUAUAAAAACCUAAGCAAUUAGUUACGAUAAAUAUAUAUAUAUAUAUAUAUAUAUAUAUAUAGUAAUUUGGUUAUUUUAUAUUAUAAGGGUAAAAUAGUCAAAUUAAAUUUAUCUUGAGGCAACCUUCAAAAGUUAAAGAUUGUUAAAAGCUUAAGUCCAAAAAAUAAAAAUAAAAAUAAAAUUAUAAAAUUGAUUUAAUUAAUUAAUUAUUCAAAGCUUUUAUUAAUUUGUAAUUUUAUAAAAUAAUGUAAAUUUAUUGUAAUUAUUUUAUGGAGGUGGAGGGGGUUUAUAAAAAUAGUGGGGUGGAAAUAUUCACACCCUUCAAUUAAUAGUUAGGAUAAUUUUUAGAUACUUCCCCUAAAGUUUGGCUUUGCUUCACUUUUAGAUCAUUUUUAGAGAGAAUGUAUCUAUCUAUUGACAAGAGUGAUGAUACAACCAUAAAUUUUUAUACAAAUUUAUCUUGUAUAAAUUUAUUUGUCAUUAAUUCAUUGGUUGAAUAAAAAUGUAAAAUAAUAAAAAUAUAUCAUGUGGGUCCAGAGAUAUUUAAUUCAAGUAAUUUCAUCAUAUCACAUCAAUUUAUACAAAAUAAAUUUAUACAAAAAUUUAUAACAUUAUUAUCUAAUGGAUAAUAUACCCCUUGUCCGUGUAUAUAAGGGAUAGGCACUGAUUAAGUAGUUGCAGUAUUUUUUUUUAAAAAAUCUUACAAAAGCUAUUAUACUGUAACUAAUCAGCUAGUGAAACCCGAGGGGAUAGUAACCCAUUUUCAUUGUCAAUGCCUAGCUUCAUUUUUUUUUUUUUUUUCUCACUUGAUGAGUGCUUACCUUCAUUUCGAAGGUCGUGACACCAACUGAUUUUAGCAAAAGCAGAGAUACUUUGUGAUGCAGUAAGCUAACAAGUUUCUGAAAUCAACUAUGUUUUGAACCAAAUUUCGACGACGACCAGCAGCUGAAAAGCCGGUGAUUAAAGGGCACACUAGGUGCGUAAUUCUAUCAAAGCAUAAAACUGAAGUUAGGUUUUAUUAUUUUCUUGCAUUUUGUUGAAAAUUGCUGUUAGUUAGGUCCUUUAUUCUUUGUUCCCAUUAAUUGAGAAAAAUGUUUAGGGUUUAUAGAAAUUGAAGUAGUGACCGAAUAUAUCUGAAAUGAUUUUUGAGUUGAUAGUCAUUCGAAAUGUUGUGUAAACCAUGCAAAUGAUUUAUUUUUUGAUGAUUUUGGACUGUGGGUUUUGAAUGCUCACUGAAAUUUGCUUGAUAUGUUCUUUAAAUUGAGAAAAAUCCAAGCUUCUUCUAAGAAUACAGAGGUGUUGCUGAGAAAAUGCUUAUGGUGUUGUUUUGUUUCUUUUUUUAUUUUACAAGUGGGCAGUUCAUGUAAGAUUGAGACAGUUGCUCUUGUUGCUUUUUGAUGUUUUGUAUAGACUGAUUCCAAUCACUGAUUUCUGUUGGUAAAUGGAUGCUAUUUUUUUUUUUUCCUUUCUUCACAUAAAAAUUUGUACUUCCCAACAUAAAAUUCAGAUGCUUGCCUAUUGUUUUUUGAGGUUCUCAUUAAGGUGUAAGAGAUAAAUUAAUUAUAGAGCUUGUAGGCAGUUGGUUUAUUGAAGAACCAGUACAGUUGAGAAAGUGUCUUUUGGGACAUCCAUUUUAAUACACAGAUUAACAGAUUUAAUUACAUAAACACAAGACUUCAUUUGUUUAUCAAAGUAGUACUUUUGAUGCUUUCGUAUAAUGAAUGCCAAAGAGAUGACAUUUGCAAAAAGGCCAUUUGAAUGUACCAAUUGCUAUCCUUGUAAACCUCUAUUGUGAUUCUGUUAUCAUUAUAUGUUGUUUAAUGAUCUGAUGAUUUCGAGAUAUCAAGAUGAGUUUAUGGUAGUACAUGUUCAUUUAGCUACUUUAGGUACUAAUACAUGGAUUUAUUGUAUAAUGCCUACUUAGCAGCCAUAACUACACUCAUUGUUGAAGCUACAGCAACACAAAUGAGAAAAAACAUGCUGAGGAACAACAUUGUCUUUAUAUCAUUGCAUUUUACUCCAUUUACAAAUCUUGUUUGAAAAUCGAAUGAAUUUAAAAUAUUAUCGUUUAUUGUUUUUUUGUAGCAUUUACUAAUCUUCUGAUAUUCAGUAUUGUUUUUAUAUAAAUUAAUUUAAAAUAUUAUCAUUUAUUUAUCUUAUUAUGUGAUUUUACACUAUCAAAUUAUUUGUUUUAAGGGGCAUUUUGGUCUUUUCAGCACUCAUUUGAGUUUUGUCUUAUUAUAAGAAUAUGUAAUGUCAACAGCAAUUAUCAUAAGAGUAUAAUGGCCUUUUCACUGCUCUACAAACCCCCCCCUCCAACCCCGCGGCCAAAAACAAUUUCGCCCCAAAUAUAAAGAUCAUCUACCGUGUCCAAUAAUUUUGGCAUUCAUUGAAAUGUGUACUGAAGGGCAUUAUUGUAUAUUCACUCAACUACCUAACGGGUGCCUAACCUUCAUACAUGGCCGGGGGGUAUAUUGUCAAUAUAUGGAUACAUUCUCUCUAAGUGUAUCAAAGCCAAACCUCAGGGGAGGUUUCUAAAAGUUUUCCUAAAUAGUUAAUAAUUUUGUACAACAGAUUCCUGGAUACGCCUCAAGUUCACUGAUUCUACGUUAUGGCUGACUUUCAAGAAAUUAAAUUCUACAUUAUGACCCCCAGUGAAACAUUGUCGCCGAUAAAAUUAUAAAAUAUAUGUGUAAUAGUAGUCAAACCUAAACCUACGUCGUUUAGCAAUUUACAAAAUGAGAAAGACGACAAAAGCCAGGUGUUGGACCGGCAACGAGCCAACGAGAUAAGCUCAAGUUCACUGUGUUUUUUAUGAACCCUCUGAAGACCCGAAACUCUGGGUUUGUUUUUUACGUUCCCUAACUGUUUGACUACAUUUUUAUUCUUUGCUACAUUCGUUAUGAACUGUUCAGGCUAAGUGCUCGACGAAAUUCCUAAGUGAGUAUGUAUAAUGGUUUGCUCUUGUAUUUAUUCUGUUAUAGAAGGUUUUGCUUUGGGUGGUUAAAUAGAAGAGACUAGACAUUGAACUUUAUGCACUUGUAUGUUUUCAAGUAAUUGGUUGUUCAGGGACAUGUACUUUGAAUUGCUUCAUUCAUCUUCAGAGAUAUCAUAACUUUUGUUGUUAAUUUGUCCAAAGUGAAGGCUUUUUUAACUUUUAUUUCUUUGAUUUAUUUAUUUAUUGGUGUAUCGAGGUUCUGUGUCUAAACUUUUAUUUGAUAAGUUCUUUCAGACUACUAAUUAGAAGAAAAAAGUGCUAGAGAGUGAGUAUGAGAGGGAAUGAUGUUUGGGCAAGGGGUGAUUGGUUCACUUGGCUCAUUAAGAACCCCAACUAUAAUGGCAUGUAUCAAUUUCGCAGCCUAAUUGGCAGGUAAGCUCAUUUCUUGAUUUCCUUCAUUUUUCACUUCCAUUUUACUGUUUUCAGGUAGCAGGUAAUUUAAAUAAAAGUAAAAUCAGUAGUGAUUUGCUUCAAGUGCAUAUGGAUAGUAUAUCACAUGUGAGAAGAUUGUAUUUGUUAUAUGAAAAUCCUUAAUAACUUUAAUUAAAAAAUAUAUUCUCAAACCUGAUCGUGGAAUGUACUAUUUCUUAAUAUCUGAGUUUGGAUCAACACAUUUUUUGCCAUGCAAUUUGGCAAGUUGUCAUGUCCUCAUUCUGCGCUAUUAUAAGUUUUGCCAAUCUGCAUAGGUGUUUUUAUAGAUUGAGUUAAUCUAGUUUCGAGAACAUGCCUUACUAAAGGGCGUCGAGUUUCUAAGUGAAGGCAAGUGCAACUAUAAUUAUCUAUUUCAUAUCCUCCCUGUUACCUCAAAAUUCUUUCAAUAACUUGGGGACGUUAAUCCUAUUAACGACAGCCACAUAUUAUAAGUUGAGAAACUGAUUUUUUGAUUAUUGAAAAAUUAAAUUUUUUGUAUUAUUCUAUUAAUGAUAUCAGUAACCUACCUGUUGCGGUUGUCUUGUAUGGAUCAUUGUUUCUCUUUUAAGCUGUUAUAUUGACAAUUUUUAGCUAUUAUUGCAGAUCUUAAAGUCAUUGCAAGCACAUGCUCCAUUGAUCUCCAUAAAUUCGGAUACAUAUGUAUAGUUAGCUAUUCGAACAACCACACUGGUAUUCAACUUCAAUAUUCAGAAACAUGGCUGAAGUGAAGCUUCAUGGGGCAUGGGCGAGUGCAUUUUGUUACAGAGUGAUAUGGGCUCUGAAAUUGAAAGGCAUAGCAUAUGAUUACAUUGAAGAAGAUCUCUCCAACAAAAGUGCUUUGCUUUUGAAGUAUAAUCCAGUUCACAAGAAGGUCCCAGUGCUUGUUCAUGACGAAAAAUCCGUUUGCGAGUCCAUUGUUAUCCUUGAAUACAUUGAAGAGAUGUGGCCACACAAUCCCUCCUUGAUGCCAAGUGAUCCUUAUGAUAGAGCUCUGGCUCAUUUCUGGAUUAAAUUUGCCGAAGACAGGGUUUGCUUCAGAACUCUAGCUAAUGCGUUUAUAAGUUCAUUAUUUUCAUGUUUAUUUGUUAUUAGAGAAAAUGAUCAGUAUCCCCCAUUGUAUGUCAAAAUUAAUCAUUUCUUCUUUUAUGUUUUAAAACCUAUCAAAAUCUCCAUUGUUGUUCAAAAAAUUCUGUUAACUUUCAACUUUUUGUGUCUUUUACUAAUUUACCACUGGAAAAAUUUUUAUUAUUAAGAAGUUGAAAGUUUAUUAGAAUUUUUUUAAUGGCAGGGGAAAUUUUGAUGGCUUUUGAAAUAUGAGGGAGAAAGGAAUUGAUUUACCAAAACAGCAUUGGGGUUUUGUUGUUCAUUUACCCUCUGUCAUUCGAUGUAGUGGUUAACCUUUGGUAUAAGGAUGCUUGACAAGGGUAUUUAGGUCCAAGUCUUUUAGCUCAUAUGGAUUGCUGGGUACUUUCAUAUGGAUUUGAGUAAUAAAAGGGACUUGACUUUAUAUUUAUGAAUUAUUGCAUGUAUUUCGUUAAUUAUUAAUGGACUACUAGCGGUUAUGUAGUGUUUGGAAGGAAGUUUGAAUGCUAAGAUGUACUAAUGACUUAAUGACAUGUGGCAAAAAAAAAUCAGUUAAGUCAACUCGAUUGAACGAAUGGUAAUAUAGCUCUCAAAAGUUAGAAGAUAAGCUCCCUAUGAAAAAAGAUAGUUUCGGUAAUAUGUCUAACAUUAAGGGGUAUUAUCGAAACUUUAAAUUUUAAUGGUUAGACCCAGUAUGUGAACAGUGUGUCAUUAUUUUUAGGGUUAUAUUUUGCUAAGAAUAACGAGCCAAUAGAACUUUAGAGACUUUUUUCUAGAUCUAAUUUCUUGAGAGACUUCUUCAUCUUCUUCAUCCUCUAUUUUUAGGGUUUCUUUCUCCAUUUUAACACCACCAUGGAAAAUCUUAACCAUCUCAUCUCCCAAAGAAACCUCUUCCCUUACUCUUCUCUUGGAAAACUCUCUAAUCUCUAUGAGACUCAUAUCUCCCCCAUGUCAUUAUUCCUCAUAAACAAUCUUUAAUAAGAUUUUGUCGAUAUUAUAAUGCAAAUUAUGUAAUACUUCAUUUAUAUAGUGGAUUGGAUAUGAGUUACUCUUAUCGAUGUAGAUCAAAGGGCCAACCACCUAAAAUCUUGUGUGUUCUUUAUUGUUUAUACUUAUUUUCUAUUUAUUAGGAUGAUGAUAAUGUUCAGAUCGUAUUUCAUAUAUGAGCUCACUAGAGGCAUACCACAAGCUCUAUUGAGUUCCCUAAAUAAGCUCUCUAGUUAAAGCUAUCCUUAAAUUCGCUAGAACUACUCCCUAAACUCUCUUGACCUCCGCAAAUCAACUCUUUAAACUAAAUCCCAUGAGCUCCACAAAGCUUACCUCCCAACAGGCAACAGCAGAAUACCAAGCUUACCUCAAUUCAUCUUCCAGAUCACCUCAGUUAUUUCUUUUGUUUCUAACAGUAGAAAAACACACUUAGAUUUUUACCAGCCCAAUCUCACCUCAAAUAUAAAUUUAUUUAUUUAAAUUGUCUUUGACCUAGAUCUAGUGAGGAAAAUGAUUCAAAUCAGAUCCUAGAGGAAAUCCGGUCAAAACAUGUAUCUAUGUAUAAUAUUUAACAUCAUCCUAACGAUCAAUCCGAAUGCACUUGGAUUUGUUCUUAAUAGUACACAAAAGUGGAAAAAGCAUAGCAAGCAACACUUGCACACUCGAGGCUGAAUACAAGUACGAACGACACAAUUCCAAGCAACAAACAAUGAUCAUCAGUACUAAUUUUUUCUGCAAGCCACAAAAUUGGAAAAUACCGCCAAGUAAUUAAUUAACCACUGUGACUUGCCAGCUUAAGCUUAUCCAAUGCUGAGAGUUCAUUAUUCUUCAAGGAUUGGUUAUUGUAAAUGUCUUUUAGAGUAAUUUCAGGAUAGAGCAGAGGAUUUACUUCUGAUAGCAACUCUUUAAUUGGACCAUAUCGUCUCGAGCAACUAUUAUUCAUGAAAAAACUUCCGAUUGAAAUUCUGGAGCCUUCCUUAUUUGAUAACACUCUAUGAUAGGCACUCUUGAACUUAUCGUUGGUAAUCAGCUGCAUGAACACAAGCAUGUUGGUAAUCAGCUGCAUAAACACACACUUCAUAUAAACGAUAAUUAAGUUAUCUGAUAGAGAUUCAUGCUCAGGUGUAGACGUUCACAUGAAAUUUUGUGAGGACGAUUCUUUCACAGUAUUGUGAAAGUGUGUCCGCACAAGAUUUAGUGCGAAUGUCGCACCAGAGAAUUUUCAAUUCGAUGGAUAGUAUUUCUUAAUAAGUUAUCUAACACACACUUGCCUGCAUCAUGUAGCCUAAGUUUACAACUAGAGCUCCUGGAACAGGGGCAAUGUCAAACCACUGAUCUUCGUGAAAGACUUGGAGGCCACCAAUUUGAUCUUGUAUGAGCACAGUAACAAAUCCAGGGUCAGAAUGUGUUGCUAUGCCGAUGGACAAUUCUGGUUGAGGGCAUUCAGGGUAGUAACUAUUCCCAAUAGUCAUUUCCUCUACACAACCUAUGUCUUUCAGGUAAUUGGGGUCAAGCCCUAAAGCUUCGGAUAAAAGUUCAAACAGAGUGCCCCCUGUUUUCCACAUUAGGUUGUUGUAUGUGAUCAUUAUCUC
rnacentral:lncRNA from 1 species